rnacentral:lncRNA from 1 species
UUUUUUUUCCUUUUUCCUUUUAAAUUUUUUGCUUCAAAUUUUAUUAAUUAUUUUUAAAAAAAUGAUAAUUUAAAUACUCACAUAUUUUAUUUAUUUAAAAUAAAAUAACUGUAAUUAUUAAUAAAUGUUGCUAUCUCUCUUCACCAACAGAAGAGAACCACCACCAAAGGCGGCCGAAGGAAAGGAUGUUCCACAUAUCGAAAUGUAAAGAGCAAAAGCGGCAAAUUUAAAAAUUGAGGUGUUGGAAAAGGUGGUGGAUUUUGAAAAGUCCGACGAAGAGGUGUCGAAAUGGGGGUUAAGGUUUGCAAAAUGCUAAGAACAGUUAACACUGCCAUGAAUAUUUUACUACUAGUGAUAGUUAUUAGUCUUUAUUCGUGUGUGUUAAAUACUUACAUAUUUUAUUUGUUUUAAAAAUUUGAUAAAUUAAAUAACUAAGUAAAUAAAAUUUAAAGCAAAAAUUAAAAUGAAGAAAGAAAAACAUUUGAUGUUGUGGUGGCAUGCCACGUGAUAUACACCUCAUCUAAAUGUCAGGUCACAUGGCUCAUACUUUGUCAUGGUGGAGAAGUGUUAAAAAAAAAAUUAAUAACUUGAGAAAAUUAGGUGGGAAGUGACAAAAAAGUCGUUAAAUUAAAAAUGAUGAUAACUUUGACCAACUAAGGUUGAAGCUUCAUUUAAAUUCUGAUUAAGUUAAUUGGAGCGUAAUUUUUAAAAACUUUUUAAUUUUUUUAAAAGGGUAACUUACAUAAAUCCCUGAAUCUUUAAGUGAUAUUACAUAAAAUCUCGAUUAUUUUGCUAAUUACAUCUUAUCUCGAAUUUUUGAAAUGGUGAUACAUAUAUUAAGUGGUGAUACAUAUAAAAAAAGUGAUACAUAUGAAAUAGAUCAGUUCUUUAUUUAAGGAAGUAACGGAUUUUCUCUGAUUUCAACAAUGCAAAUCACGACAAAACUGUUACAAGCGCUAAAAACGCAAUUACAUUCAACAAGAGCUCAAAAUUGAAGCAAACCAAUAUUUUUUAAAGCAUACCGGAUUAUAAGGUCAAUUUUUUUGAAUUUUGGGGAAAAAAUCGAUCGUCUUUCUAAAAUUUCUGAUUAUUUUCAAUGGAACUCGUGACAGUGUUGUUGCGUCAUUCCGAAAAAUGAGUUUCAAAAAUAAGGUACGAUAACUAUCGAGUCAAUGGUAUUGUAAUUCAUGAAAAAAUAUCGUACCACGAUUUAAUGGACGUCAUAUCAAUUCAAUUGAAAAUUAACGUAUCUCUGAAAAGAAUUCAUGUCAAAUACGUUGUUCAGGACAAUUUAUCAGCAUUGGAGAUUCAUAAUGAUAUGGUUGUGAAACUUUUUUUCAGAUUUUAAAAGCUGAAACUAUAUUCGGGAAGUAUCCAUUGUGUAUUACAACGAGUGAUAUCGUAACUGACCAUGAUGAUUUUGACGCGGAUGAUAUGACAAUUGAGUGUUAUGAUUUUGUUGAGCCGUCUGAACUUGCAGUAGUUGUAAUUGGUAACGUUGAAUCCCUGCCAGUUGUGAAUAUGGGUGGUGAAGAACUAAUAAGUGAUUGCUACAACAGUGUUGUAAAGGUGAACUAAAAGUAUAAAAACAAAGCUACACUUGUCUUGGUAAUGCGUAACUAUGCAAUCAAGCACAGGUUCAAGUUCAAAGCUGAGAGAUCUAACAAGCAAAGGAUUGAUUUUAAUUUUUUAACGAUAAUUUCUGAUUUAUUUCGCAAUUUGAUACAUUCGGAAUUUGUAGUGAUACAUUUGCAUAAUAGUUAAUUGAUGAUUCAUAUAAUUGGUGAUUAACUAAUGAUUCAUUCCAUCUAAGGAUUCAUAUGUCAACGAAACUGGUGAUUAAUUGGUGAUUCAUAUAUCCGGUGAUUCAUAUAACUGGUUAUUCAUAUUAGUAAUGCAUAUAACCGGUGUUUCAUAUAAUUGGUGAUUCAAAUAACUGGUUCAUGUAAUUGGUGAUUCACAUUCGUGAUGCAUAUAAAUGGUGUUUCAUAUAAUUGGUGAUUCAUAUAACUGAUUUAUAUAACUGGUGAUUCAUAUAUGUGAUGAAUAUAACUUGUGAUUUAUAUUGGUGAUGCAUAUAAAUGGUGUUUCAUAUAACUGAUUCUUAUAACUGGUUAUUCAUAUUGGUGAUGCAUAUAACUGGUUAUUCACAUGUUAAAUGGCUUAAAUUUUGAUAUAACUGGUGAUUCAUAUGGUAUUUGCUGAUUCAUAUAAAAAUCGAUUAACGUAACUUUAUAUUGGUGAUAUAUUUUUUGGCAUUUAUUUCAGUUAUGUCUUGCUGUGCAAAUCUCCGGAAUGUUGUUGGUUAUUCAAGGCAUCCUAUAAGCUUAGUACUGAUACAUUCAUAGUACGUACGUUCAACGAUGAACACACUUGUCCCAUAAUGGGUAGAGUUUUUGAGCAACAACAUGUAACAAUUGCUUUUUUAGAGGGAAUAACAGCUCCAAAGUUGGUGAAUCACAAAAGAAUAAUCACCCCAAGUGACAUUAUUGAAGAUAUUAAAAGGGAACUUGCUUUGAACAUAGAUUACAUGAAGGCGUGGUGUGCUAAAGAACGUGCUUUAAGGAUAUUGAGAGGGCGACCAGCUGACGGAUAUAAGAAAAUGCCUACCUACGUAUACAUGUUAAAUUCUGUUUAUCCAAAUUCAAAUAUAAGGAUGCAUAAGUCUUCGGAUAAUUGAUUCAUGUAUUUAUUCGUAGCACUGCAUUCUUUUAUUAGGGGAUAUGGUUAUUGUAGGCUUGUUGUGGUAGUAGACGGUAGUCACAUGAAUGGACCAUAUAAGAAAACAUUCAUUUCAGCUAGCACACUUUAUGGAGCGGGUAUUGUACGUAGUGAUUCUUUUAUAUUUUUCUUACAGAUAUCGGUAAUUGUUAUAUAAAUUUUACAUAGUAAAUGGUUGAUGUUAUAUAUCAGGACAUAUAUUGCCCCUUGUGUGAGGGGUUGUAGAUUCUGAGAAUGAUUCAUCCUGGACGUGGUUUUUCCAGCAUUUUAAGUGUGCUUUCGAUGAGCGCGAUAAUAUGUGUGUUGUCUCUGAUAGACAUGAAAGCAUAAUCAAGGCGGUUAGUGUGGUCUAUUGCACGAAUUAUAGAAAGAGUAAGGACAAGCUGACCAGGGAGUUUUUCGCCAUGGCUAAAACGUACAAAUUGGAUGAUUUUGAUGACUUUAUGUGGAAAUUGGGAAAGAUUGACAAUAGAGUAAAGGUAUAUCUGAAAAAUGCUGGAUUUGAAAAGUGGUCACGAGUUCAUGCUCCAAUAAAUAGGGGGAGGAUGAUGACUUCCAACAUUGCAGAAUGUAUCAACUCUCGUCUUGUUGAGGUACAUGAAUUACCAAUUUUAGAUUUUCUUAAACAGGUCAGAAUCUUAUUUGAUAUGUGGAGCCGCAAAAAUAGAGACUGGUCUAGUUUUCUUGCUAAAAACUCAUUGGGAGGUAGGUUUCAACAAAUUCUUCAACUGAACAAGGCAAAGUCAUCGGGUAUGAUGGUAAGUUAUUUAAUAUUUAUUAUACUUAUGUAAGUUGAUUUGUAGACCUUUUCAACUAUCUGAUAACAGAUGUAUCAUAGUGAUACAUCUCGAACUCAUAUGUAUCACUUUGAUACAUCUGCACAAAUAUGCCUCCACUUGAAAUCUAGUUCAUUAUAUUUAAUUAUCUGUAAUAUUUAUGAUUCAUAUAAUAUAUUGAUUAACAUAACUCUUUAUGAAAUAAUAUUUUCAAAUUAGGGAAUCAACUAACUACAUAUACAGAGUGUAUGAAGAAGGAAGAAAAUACAUUGUUCGGUUGGAUAAUGGAACAUGCAAUUGCGGUAGAUUUCAGCUUGAUGAGAUACCAUGCAUGCACGCUAUUGCUUUUUUGAAAAGCAAACAUGUAAAGAAAAUGAAGUCAUACUGUUAUGAUUGCUACAAGAAGGAGACACUUGUGAAGACUUAUGAAAUGCCACUGUGUUCAAUGCCCGAUAAACGAGAUUGACAUGUACUACCGAAGGUGUUAGAAGAUGUGAUUUUGCCUCCAAAAUAUAAGCGCCAACCAGGAAGACCGAAGAAAGGAAGAAAAAAGAAAAACAGUGAAAAUUUUUCAUCAACCUUAAAUCGUUAUGGCAAGUGUGGGUAUGAGGGUCAUAAUAGACGCACUUGCAAUUUUUUUCAAUAGAGAUGUGGCAUUUUUCUUUGAAGUUUACUCAGACUUGUUUACUUUGUUCAAUGAUUUGAAUUCAAUAAUUUGAGUUAAAUACUCAAAAAUUUAUUGCUUGAGAUACUCUGUUUACAAUGGAUAGAGAAAUAUUUAUUUUAAGAUCACUAUUAAUAAUUAAUUAAAACUAUUAUAUUCAGCAGAUAUGUUAGAGUUCAUGAGGAAUGUUAGUGAUACAUUUCCUACAUGAAAUUAUAAAGUGAUACUUAUUAAAAAAUUUAAUAUUGUUAUAUGAUUCAUAUUAACUGUUCGAGAAAAUUAUAUGAUUUAUAUUAGUAAUUAAACUGAAUAGGUUAAUUGGUGAUAUAUUUUCAAAAUAUUGUUUUAAGUUGAUUCAGUAUUAAAAAUUUAAUACUUUUAUAGGACUUUUUAUUAACCGUUCGUUAAAGAUAUGUGGUUCAUAUUAUUAAUUAAGCUCAACAGGUUAAUUGGUGAUAUAUUUUCAACAUAUUUUUUUAAGUUGAUAUAUAUUAAAAAUUUUAAUACUGUUAUAUGAUUCAUAUUAACCGUUCGAGAAAAUUAUGUGAUUCAUAUUAGUAAUUAAAUUGAACAGAUUAAUUGGUGAUACAUUUUCGACAUGUUGUUUUCAGUUGAUUCAGUAUUAAAAGUUUUAAUACUGUUAUAUGAUUUAUAUUUACCGUUCGUCAAAGUAAUGUGCUUCAUAUUAGUGAUGCGUGAUUUAUUGUUAAGACUAUUAAACAAAAUUAAUGAUACAUUUUUGUAAAUUAAACUUCCAGCAACAGUUCUAAUACCACACCAGCUGUUAAAUAAAAUGUCAUGACACUAAAAACAAAAAUACUGAAAACUUAAUACAUAAAAUACGUCAUGAAAUAUCAAGAAAUCCCCAACCAUUUGUCAACUAAGAAAAAAAUCAAUAUCCUUUUGUCACACAACAAAUACUAGACAACUACGACUCAACAUCAAUCAUCUUUGUAUCCUCAUAUGGAAUAAAUAUACGUUUAGAUCCAGGCGAAUCCUGAUUGUCACUAACAUAUUUAUUGCAUGCCUGGUUCACACCAUAAUCCCAUAAAAAGGAUGUAUAUCUUGUAUGAUGCUUUUCUGGAUCAAAAUCUGAAGAAGGUAUUUGAUGUCGAUCACUUAGAUAUUCAGCAUAUGUUGCAACAAACAAGCCACAAUCACUGAAAAAUAAAAAUAAUAUGUAUUUUAUGAAUUUCUGUGAGCUGUUAUGUAAAAGAAUAAAUGAUACUUACAAUGUGCCGCUCGAUUGUUGCACAAUUUCAUCAACAAAUUGAACAUCAAAUGCAUCCUGGUCUGUCUUUUCCUUGUAUGCUUCUAGUAGGGACCAAUCUGUACGCUUUUUUUUCCCACAAAAAUCGGAUAUUGUCAAAUAAGUUGACAACAUUUCAACAAGCUCAUUUAUCUCAUCACCAUGACCUCUAUGGCCUUUCAAGGAGUCAUACACACGAAUGCAUCUUUCCUUGAGUCCUAUGACUGCCAACACCCAGUGAAACGAUCCCUUAGAAUUUAUUAGAACAUACACCUCGUCAAUCAAAUGCCAUGAAAUACUGAUUGGAAUGCAUAGUCCUUGAAUAAUCUCACAAAUUGAUCUCUCCAUCGAAGUCACUUUAUUUGAUCGAACAUUUUCGUCAUGUGAGCUAAGAUCAAUAUCCGAAUGACUUCGGUGAUAAUGAGUGUAUGUUUCAUGGAUGUAGUUUAUGAACAUGCAAUUCACAGUGGUAUAUCUAUAUUCACUGAUUUUGUCCAGUUUUGCUUUCUUUAUAAGAUAGUAAAAUACCAUAUCGAUGUGUUGUAAUAUAAAAUUAAAAUGUGUAAGAACAUGUGAUUCAUAAAAUCCAUACACAAUACUAAGUGUAAAACAAUUGAUACUUAUGAAUUUAAAAAACAUCGACUGAAAAAUACUUAAAAAUAUAAAUUUAUGUUGGUUAACAUCUGUAUCAUAAUGAUGCAUAUUAUUGUCAGAUAUAUCACUGUGAUGCAUGUGUUACCAGAAAAACUAUAUGCAGAUAGCAAAUAUCAAUUAGGUUGGGUAAUGUAAUAAUAUUCAGCUUGUGCUUAUAUAAAUAAAAUCAAUAAAACUAUUAAUUGCUAUAAAUAUUUCUUGACGGUAUACCUCAUCAUUCUAACAAUUACUUGAUUGGGUCAUGUCAUAAAACGAACUUUUUUUCACCGAGUGUACAACUAUAAAAUCAAGCUUUGAUUUUAGAUCAGCGUAUUAGGCCAUGUAGUACUCAUCUUGUCCUUUCAUGCAUUCAAAUUAUGAUUUCAAUAAGUGUUGAUACUAGUUUUUGUGUUGUACAGGCCAACUGACAUCCAAAGAGAGAACUUAGAGAAGACAUCUUCGGCAUAUGAUCCAUUAAUGUUGUGACCUUCAAACGGGUAGUUCAACUUUUUGCACGACUGGAUAACUUCUUUAUCUUUUGACACAGAAUCAAAAACACUUACAAAUGGUGAUUGAUAUAGUUUUGAAGGCUGUCUAUUUCUCUUAGAAGGUUUCUUUCUAACAUAUGUCAGAUUAGUCUUGCAGACAGGGACCUAAGAAAUAGCUGCAAUAGCUUUGUUGCUAAUAUAACACUGACUAUCAGUGUUGUCUUGCCGAUCGCAUGUGUCAAUAGCUGCAACAGUAAUAUCAGUGAUCCCUGUUAGAUAGGCAACAAUCGAUGGUGGUACGUACAAAGUAAUAGCUUUAGAUAAAUCUUCAUCUGUAUUGUGAAGGGCUUCUUCAGAAUCAUGUGUGCCAUAUGUAAAAAAUGAACUUAGUGUACAAUGAAGUUUAGAAUUAAAGUGCCUAAACUAUCUAUAUGUAUCAUAAUGAUACAUAUGGACAAAUAUGUAUCAUUCUGAUACAUCUGAAAAACUUAAAUAACAGAUAACCAAUUUUUGAUACUUGAAACUUCAAUCAUCUUUAAAUAAGAUUAAAAUAUUUUUACUGAAAAAUUAUUAUACCCUAGAAAAACUAAAAAUAAGGUUGUGACCAUUAUAAUGAACAACUUCAAUGUACCAAAUAAUUAAAAAUAAAUAUUUGUGAGAAAUUACAAAACAAAAUUCGUUAUAAAUAAAUCGAUAUUACCUUAACGCGUUUGUCCCUUAUGCCUUCAUCUACUUCCACAGUUGUAUUAUGCCUAUCUUCUUUUUGGACCUUUUCUGUUUAUUUUGUGGAAAUUUUGUCUUUUAAGAGUCACCACUUAAUUUAUUUGAAAAGAAAUUAAGAAAACCUUUGAAAGUUACUUAAACGAUCCAAAACAAAAAAAAAAAUCAUUUAAGUUUGAAGAUUCUGAGUAAGCGGUUCCUAUCUCUUGGAAGGUUGUUAAGGCAUCAAGAGUAUCCUCUAACUUGCGGUUAUCCAGACUAUUUGAAAAUAUCUUUUGACUAACUUCAAAAAGAAAGAUUGAUUGUUGAAAAGUAAUUGACUUUAGGAAAAGACUAGAGUAAAAUAGAUUUGGACGACUUAGCAGGGAUUUUAACUAAGUCUAAAUAAAUUAAUAACAAAACAUGUAAAAGGAAAAGGGGAGAAAAUAAAAGACUUAGGCCAUUGGGCCCAAAUCAAUAGAUCAUGUACUAAUCUAAUUGAGUUUUUGGCCCAUUUGCACCUGUCCUAAUCUAAAUAUUGGUCUUUUGGCCCACAACCUGUCCUAAGCUAGUUUUCAGACCUUUGAGGUCCAAAAUCCGCUUCACCUCUAUUUAUUUACAACUUUGGAUUCGAGACCCCGAAUAAAUGAAUAAGUAAAUGAUUAAAUGAAUAAAUAAAAAGAAGACAAUAAAAAUCGAGACUUUACAAGUCUCUUAGUGACCUCAUCAAUAGAUUUUGACUCAUUUCCCUUCUUCGUCUAUCUUCUAGCACCCGCACGCCAUAUAGUCGACCUAGGAUUUAAACUUCGAACUUGACUCGAAGAGGUGGGCCUCAUUGGUCCAUUACGAAAUGCAAGAGGAGAGAAGUCCAUUUAAACUCGAGAUAUUUUUUGCAUACAAAGAAAAGAUAAAGAAAUUAAUACACGUCCAAGGCAUAAAAGUGACAUAUUUCAAAGUAAAAGAUACUAUCAAGAACCAAUUUUUGAAUGACAAUGAUAAGCACACUUGCACAAGAAUGAGAGUCAACAAAUAAAAUGCGAAGAAAAGACACCCACUUACAUGCCUCAUGACUUAUGUUCAUAUAAAAAUGAAUAAAGGUAAAAAGAAGAAGAUCAUAUUCAAUGAAUUAAUGCGAGAACAAAUAACGCAAGUUUGCAAGAGUAAAGGGAUGGGGAGAUAAGAAAAAUACCCAUGACUUCUAAAAUUGAACAAACAUAGAAACUAAUUCAUAUAACAAAAGAAAAUAAAAGCUACUUUUCAAGAAAGUGAAUCUUUAAAUUUCAAUUAAGGAGAAAUUAACGAAAAUUAAUACAUCUAAGUCAUGGCCAACUUUAGGAAAAACAUGUAACGACAUAUGAUUUAUCGUUCUAAGACAUCGUUGAUUCUCUUUUGACAUUAUGACUCAAAGAGAGACAUGAAUCAAGUCUUUACACACACAAAGAACACGUAUAACAAUCCAAAGGGAGUAAGAAAAUUUGAAUAAAUGUUUAGCAUCUCUAAAAGUGAAAUAUCUUUCAACAAUCAUACUGUGCACGAGUCAAAAAUAUCCAAAUAAUUCUAUUUAGCCACAAAAAUUCAAACUUUCUCAUUAUUUUGACAAGACAACAAGCGAACAAAAGAGGAAUAAACAUCUUGGAUGGAAAAUAAAGCUAACACUUCAUCUCUUAUAUGAGGAUUUUGAAAUCCAUUAAAAUAAUUAGCAAGCAAAUGACAAAUUCUUGACUUAACUAAUUACUAUUUUUACGAAGGCAAAACAAACAAUAAUAACUAUUUUUUCAACAUAAAAGAAACAACUUUACAUGCUAAAACAAACAUAUCCGCCAACAAUAAAUUUAAAAAAGGCAUGAGUUCGUCUUUUGAGCAAAGAUCAAAACUUUAUACAUAACAAUCAAAGAAUAAAGAUAAAAGGCAAAACAAUCAAUAUUAACUAUUAUUUUCAACAUAAAAAAAAUAACUUUACAUGCUAAAAACAAACACAUCUACCAACAAUGAGUUUAAACAAGACAUGGGUAUGUUUUUUAAGCAAAGAUCUAAACUUUAUCCAAAAUAAUUAAAGAAUAAGAUCAAAAGGCAAAAUAAUCAAUAUUAACUAUUUUUUUCAACAUAAAGAAAAUAACUUUACAUGCUAAAAACAAACAUAUCCACCAACAAUGAAUUUAAACAAGACAUGAGUAUGUUUUUUAAACAAGGACCUAAACUUUAUCCAAAAUAUUUAAAGAAUAAGGUGAAAAGGCGAAGCAAUCAAUAUUAACCAUUCUUUUCAACAUAAAGAAAAUAAUUUUACAUGCUAAAAACAAACAUAUCCACUAACAAUGAGUUUAAACAAAGUAUAAGUACAUUUUUUAAGCAAAAAUUGAAACUUUAUCUAUAAUAAUUAAAGAAUAAAGUCAAAAAAAGGCACAUACAACUAUUGUUAGCUCUUUUUUAUAUCAUGAACAUGAAGAUAAUUAAAAUAUUGAUACCACAACCUUCAAGGCCAUAAACAACAAACAAUCCCAGCAAACAAAAUUAUAACUACGAACUAUGAAAAAGAUGAAGAAGAAAAUGAUACUAAAACUAAAAAAAAAAAAAAGGUGUGUUUACCUUUUUUGGGGCAAGAAAACGAGACUACGAGUUUCGUCGGAAUCAACCACCACCGAAAAACGUCACUGGUAACUCAAAAAUUUUGAUUAACCGACCAACUUUAUGAAAUAAGAAUUUUUACUAAAUAAAAAUAACUAUUUUGCCCAAAAGGAAUUUUUCACCUUUCUAGCCUCUUUUAUUUAACUUCUCCACCCCUCUUUUCUACCAAAGUAGUGAUAAUAUUUAUAGGGGAGAAUGGAUUUUUUCUUCCUUUUCUCCACCAAUGUGGGAGAAAAAUAUUUAUAGGAAAGGAUGAAGAUUUAUUUCUUGUCAUCCAUCAAUGUGGGAGAAAAGAUAUUUUGGGGUGUUUUUUUGGAAUUUUAAAAUUAAAGAUAAGAUGAGGUGGGAGAUAAUGUGGGGGGAAUUGUACCAUAUAGUACAAUUUUUGAAUUUCAAAAUUGUGAAAGGACAAAGUUGGGGGGAAAUAGUACAAUGUAGUACAAUUUACAAUUAAUUUUUGGUGGAAAUUGGGUAGAAGUUAUGAAAGUUUUUGGAAAUUUUAGGGUUAUUUAAAAUAUAACCCCAAUAGGGAUUUAAAAUUUAGCCAAAUUUAUUUAAUUUUGAUCAAAUUAAAAAUCAAUUGGCGCAUUGCAUUGCAAUUAUGAUCAAUUUUAUUUCAAUUAUGGACAAAUCUAAUAGAUUGGCUAAAUUAAAUUAAAAUUUGAUACGAAUUAAUACUUCUUUUAAUUCCGAGCUUCUUGAUUUAAUAAAAUCAAACACAUAUUUAUCCAAAUAAAUUAUUUUUGAGAAUAAAUUAUAUUUAAAUCAAGAUUUUAAUCCUUUGAAUUUAUUUCAAGACAAACCUUGAUUAAAAUCCGAUAUUUAUAAAAAUGGAUAUUUAAGUAAUAAAAUUAUAUAAUUUCGUGUAAUUGAAUACGAUAAUAUAUAAUCGCUACUUAAAAUGAUAAACUUAUCCAGAUAAAUAUUUUGAAAAGCUUUUUAUUCGGAUAAAAUAAAUAUUAUAAUUUUAUUUAAAAAAUUGAAGAAACUUGUAAUUAAACUUAGUUAUGGAGGACAAAAAUUAGGUGUCAACACUAUUUACGAACUCUCAGCCUCCUAUUUGACACAUGUCAAAUUUAAUUUUGUGUGACAUUUAAUUUAUGAUAUAAAUCGAUUUAAUUAUUUGUAUGUAUCAAAUUGAUAAAGGUUGAAACAAAUGUAUGAAAAUGAUUCAUUUUGAAAACAUAAGGAACACAUAACAAAUGUGUGUUACUGAAAAUCUUGAUUAAAUUGUCUAUAUGUAUCAAGGUGAUACAUAUGAUGUCUGAUGUAUCACGUGAUACAUAUGAGUAACUUAAUCAAUACAUAUACACCGAUAUAUUAACAGUUUCAACAUUUCAAAAAAUAACAUUUAAACUAUUUGAGGCUAGUAUUUUGAGCAAGUUGUAACAAAUCGAUCAUAUACUUAAGUCAAUUUAACUACCUUUAAGCAUUCCUCAGCUCCUCCUUCAUUGCCACCUACUUUAGAUGAUUGACCGACAUCAUGUACGACAUUGUCACUUUUAGCAUCCAUUUUGUGCUCAUUAAGAGAUUGAGGAGGAUCCCCUUCUCUAUCCGGGAUACCUUUUUUCACUUUCAUAUAGUGGAUAUUGAGCAACCUGCAAUAUCACAAAUUUGAAUAAUAUGAAAACAUAUUGAUAUUAAUGACAAAUUAUGAAUACCUUGCCAUAUGAAGCAAAACCUUUUUUCACAACUCCAAAAAAUCCUGUAUAAUGGUCCACCAUUAACUUUUGAAGAUCAUUGAAUUUCAUGUCAAUCUACAUUGUGAAUAACAUUUUGAAUUUCAUGUCAACUAAUUCUUGUUUCUUCAUAGGAGGGUGUGAAGAUGGACCAGCAUCAAACCUCAUCUUUUUGAGAAAAUCUACAUUUGGAGUAGUACUGAAAUCAUCAAAUUCAUCUCCAAAUUCAGUAGGAGCAGUCCUUUCAGAUUAUUGUUGUACAGAUACUGCCUGUGCUAUAUUUGCAUCAUGAUUUGUUGGACCAAACAUCAAAGGAUUGGGCAACUCAAGAUGGUUCAAUUCCUGUGGUGAUGGGGUUAGAUUCCUGUAUACAAGCUGCAACAAAAAUAACACACAGGAUCAAAAAUUAAAAGUACCUUAAAAAUUAAAAAUAGACAUACAAAAGUAUCACGGUAAAAAAAACACUAUCUUACUAAACAUAUCAUCCAUCAGAUCCUUGUAUCUAGGCUUAGGUUUAACCACCUUCCAAUUCACCAUCCUUGGGAUUAAAUUGUGAACAUGAAAGACAAGUGAUUCAUCAACUGUGGCACAACAUUCGUACCACCAAAUCUGAAGCGCGUAUGGCAUGCCACUUAGACGGUAAACUUUUGGACAUCAUUCAUCGAUCGACUAAUAGAAACCAUCAGUUUCUCAAGAGCCAUUUUUCCCUAUGGAAAAUGACUAGAACUUUCAUCAUCCACCAUGUGAAAGUCUCAGGCAGGGAUAUUGGUUUUAUCUAAUUGGGAGAACACAAAUGUGCGUAUGAAGUACAAUAUCCCAAUUUUUAUUGCAUCUUUCACAUUUUCCCCACUUGUUAUUCAAAGAAAGCUUGACCAACUCACCCUUUUUCACAUUUGCUGUCGAAUUUGAAAAAUAUUUUUUCUGUAGUCGACAUGGUGGAAGGUCUGAAUAAUUAAAAUCAUCUACGUUGCCGAUGCAUUUCAAUCCUGUAACGAUAGCAAACUUGUACAGUAAAAAUCAAAGAAUUGUAUUGUUGACCAACGCCCUUAGUUGAUCCUGAUAUGAGUGUUGGACCUCUAAGAUCAUCAAGAACCUUGCUAUCAAUCCUUGAAAGUUACAAUUAGGUAGGUUCAGAAAUGACCCAAAACAAGUACUUCUGAAAAUUCUGAUUUCUUCAUCCUUCAAAAUCACGUUAAGCAUAUCUACUACAUUAAUGUUAUGUGCACUACCAAUCCUUACGUUGUGGGAAGGUCAUUCUUUCACAAUCAAACUAACAUUCUGCCAACAGAAAAAAAAGAAGUUGAUUCAUAUGUCAAAUGAAUCACAUGUUUAUAAAUUACAACAACAAUAAAAUGAGAAUAGAAAGUGUUAUCACAUAUGUAUCACAAAAAAAAUGAUACACAGAGAAUCGCUCUUAUUCUAUAUGAAAAAUGUGUAGCUGUAACGCCAAUAUGAAUCACCAGCACAAUAUAUGUAUCACCAAUUAAAAUAUCAUUUUAGUGUAACACCCAUAUGAAUCACCAGCACAAUAUAUGUAUCACCAAUUAAAAUAUUAUUUUAGUGUAACACCCAUAUGAAUCACCAGAACAGUAUAUGUAUCACCAAUUAAAAUAUCAUUUUAGUGUAACACCCAUAUGAAUCACCAAAAAAAUACGAAUCACCAAUAUGAAGUUAGACUGUUAAUCUGUUAUUAUAUGAAUCACCAAUAUGAAUCACAAGGUAUUUGAAUCACUAGUUAUGAAUCACUUGCGAUAACAAUACUUGCUCCGACGGAGAUUUGGGGAUAUGUUCAAUUUCAUCCUGAUGUUUCAUUUGUUUGUCGGAAUCUCGAUUUUUAGCAACAAAAGCUUCUAGGGUCAUUUCGCUGCUUUGAAUGAUUUUCACUAAAACCUAACUUGGUGUAAUUAAAUUUGCCCGAAGUAAAGCCCAGAACUUGAUUACUAUCAUGAACACCUUUUUGUGUUUCAAUUUGUGAAAUUCCCAAACUGAAUGAGGGUAAAUCUUCAUUAGCUAUUGAAGAUUCAACAAAUUAACACAAAGAAAUUUAAAGAAUAUAUAGAUAUUGACUUCUCUUGUUAAAAACUAACUUAAAACCCACAUAAACAAAAAAUUAACCUCUUUGAAGUAAUUGACAAAUUUUAAAAUUUAAUGCUGAAAGAUUACGUUUAAUUAGUUGAAGUAGUGGAGAAAGAAGUUGACUCAAAAUAUGCUAAAAUGAGAGAGAUUUAAUGGGAGUAAUUUGUGGAAAAAAAGAAGAAGAAGAUGCGUAUAAAGAUGAGAGAGAAAGACGUUAAUGGAGGAGAGAAAAUAGAGUGUGAAAGUUAAAGCAAAUGUAUCACCAUAAAUAUGCAAAAAAGGAUUUUAUGUAAUUUUUAAAAUAUUAAGGGAUAUUUGAUAAUAUGGUGCCUUAAGUUUGGAGUUUUUGUAAUUUAUCCUUUUUAAAAAGUCCUCAACUCCAAAUUUCAAAUUUUAGAAUUUCCCCCUUUUUCUUAUCUUUCAAUCUUUCUUAAUUUUUUUUCUUUCUAUCUCCAAAUUUCUUUAUCCCCAUCUUCUUCUUCUUAUUUUUUUUUCUCUCUAGAUUUUCCUCUUCUUUCAUCUUCUCUUCUUUUUUUUCUUUCUCUUUUCAUUUCAUUCUUCUUCCUUUUUAAAUUUUCAUGGAUAUUUUUUAAAAAAACAAUUGAGAAGUUUGAAAAGAAUUUUUUUGAUUUCUUUUAAAAAUAAAUAAAGAAAUAGUUUAGCAAAUUCAGCAACUACCAUAGUUGCUACAACAGUUACGGUAAUUGCUGCAACAACUACUAUUAGUUGUUGUGUUACAACAAUUAUCGAAAUUGCUGCAGCAACUUCAAUACUUAAUUUCUGAAAAAAGAUGUGGUUGGAGGAUGAGCUCACAAAAAAGUGAUAUUUUUGAUAAAAAGGAAGGUGAUGGUGCUGAUGGUGGUGAUGUCGAAUGAGAAGAUGACAUUUGUUAUGGUGUUGAUAGCGAUGGUGGUGAAGGAGAAAGAAGAAAAAUAGGCGAUAGUUAUGUAGAGGGAGAAGAUAAUGGUGAAUCUGAAAGAGGUGACAAUGGUAGUAAUAGUGAUAGUGGAGGAAGAGGAGGCAGCGGCGACAACAAAAAGGGUGUGGAAGAGGAUUGAUGGUGAUGGUGUAGGGAUCUUUGUGUAAAUAUAAUAUAGGGAUCUUUGUGGAAAUAAUAAAACUUGAGGAUUUUAAAAUUAAUGUUAUUAAUACUAAUCUUAAAAUUAUCACCUCUACUCACUCAAUAUUUAAGACUUGUGUCACUCUUUUUAGUUUUGAAAUUUAUUUGUCACCCUUAAUUAAUUUGCCUUAAUAACUUUACUAAUAUGGAUAUAUUUGGCCCAAUAAUUUAACUAGGUGUAAAUUUAGUUAAUUUAUCAAAAUAUUGGUUAUUUUUGACGAAGUUAUUCAUUCAAGAUAUACACGAAGGAAGAACAACAAAAACGGAAGAUCAAAUCAUUUACUAGUCGAUGAGCAAAUUUUCUCCAGGGAAUUAGUGGCACCAUUAAAACAGGUUCUUCUUCUUCCUUCUUACACCAUUUUUUUGUUGCUAUAAACUGUGAAUCUUGUAGUGGAAAAUUUGAUGGACAUGUUUCUAUUAACCUGUUGACAUAAACAUAUGUAACCAACAAUAUUCGUAGCCGACAAAAAUAUCUCCACAGGCGACAAUAUUAUGAAUAAACAGUAACUUUAUUUUGCUUGAUACACUUUGUAUAUAAUAGUAUUCAAUUUGGUAAUUGAAUUUUUGUCACACCAAGGCUGUAACCUAGCUGUAGAUGUUGGAAUUUGUUUGUCCAAUAGUUAUUUUAUUUUAUAUUUUGCGAAAAUCUAGUGACAGCUUGCUGUUAUGAAUUGUUAUGCUGAUCAUUUCUCAUUUGAUCUGAGAGUUUGGUGUAGUAUUGUUUCAUGACGCAUUCAUAGAGGAGAUCAUUUUUAUCAUAAUCUGUAAUGACAGUAAUGUAGUUCAAUGUUAGCCUAGUAGAAGCAUGUUCAAGCUUCCUCUUCUCAAUCCCAAAUUCCUUUAACGUUUCAUGGAAGGUUUGAGCAGUUUUACGCUAAAACUAAUUGAUGUUCGAGAUGCUUAUUUCUUUUCUUUUUGGAACGAAAGUUUGAGUGUUUGAUUAAUACGUGGGUUUAAAAAAUGAAAAUUCAGGACUAGACAAUCAUUGGAAUACAUGAAAAAUCCACUCUAUUAUCAGCUCAUUCACAACCACCUUACAACGACAUCAAACUAUGAAAUUUUGAGAACAUUAUGAUAUUCACUUUCCAGGAACAAAGUUUGUGGCGUAGGCCCAGGCAUUGUUGUUUACUGGAUCUGCAAGGUGAUCAGCAAGGUUCUCCAAUGGGCCCUUACCGGUAACAAUUGCCUGAACAAAGAAUCCAAACAUAGAGAACAUAGCAAGUCUACCAUUCUUAAUCUCCUUUACCUUGAGCUCAGCAAAUGCCUCUGGAUCAUCAGCAAGACCUAAUGGGUCAAAGCUGCCACCAGGGUAGAGUGGGUCAACGACUUCACCAAGAGGCCCACCAGCAAUACGGUAUCCCUCAACGGCUCCCAUCAAGACAACUUGGCAAGCCCAGAUGGCCAAGAUGCUUUGUGCAUGGACCAAGCUUGGGUUGCCCAAGUAGUCAAGUCCACCCUCGCUGAAUAUCUGGGAUCCAGCCUUGAACCACACAGCCUCACCAAACUUGACACCGUUACGGGCCAAGAGCUCAGGGAAGACACAUCCAAGAGCACCAAGCAUAGCCCAUCUGCAGUGGAUCACCUCGAGUUCUCGGUUCUUGGCAAAGGUUUCGGGGUCUGCUGAAAGUCCAGCAGUGUCCCACCCGUAGUCACCAGGGAAUUCACCGGUCAAGUAGCUUGGGGCCUCACCGGAGAAUGGGCCCAGGUACUUAACACGGUCUGGGCCAUACCAUGGGCUGCCAGAUGAGGCAGGCUUGGAGACAGCCUUUCUCAUAGAGAUCCUUCCAUUUCCAGUGAUUUCUGAGGGAGAGGGUGAGAGUUUCACUGCCUGUCCAGCAAAAGAAGGGGAAGAAAGAGCCAUUGUAGAAGCUGCCAUGGCUUAUCAAGAGAAAAGUAAGUGUUUGAUGGUAUGAAAUAUUGUUGAAGCUGGUUGUCAUGAAGCUGAAGUUAGUUGGGUUUCAGAAUAUAUAGUAGUAAGUAGAGAGAAAGAAUCCUCUUAUCUAGUGAUGUCUAUAGCUAAAAUCUCAUUGGGUAUCAAGAUCCCAUGUAUAGCAAGUAAUGCACUCUUGGCAAUUCCAAUCCAUCAAUUUUCCAAGAUGUUCACUAAGGGGGACCCAACCAAUUUUGUCCUCCUAUAUGUGGCUGCAAGGCUUGAAAUCUAUUCUAUGAAUUCUCGAGCUUCAAUAUGAUAUCUUUUAUCCAUUGGGAAUUUCUCAAGAUUUUAUCCACCAUGACUAUAGCUCAUUCAGUGUAGAACUAUGGUUUGGCAUUUCACUAAGUAAAUUGAGGAAAAACUGAAAUUCACUUGUAUUAGAUUAUCAAUUACUGAUGUUUGUCAAAAGAUUAACCUGUAAUGGCUUAAUGAGCAAAGGUGGAUCAAGAUUUGAAUUUUAUGAGUUUUUAAUCUAGGACUAGACCUUAAGUAGUAUAUCCGUUGUCCCAAUUUGUGUGGCACAAUUGCAAUUUCGAGAGCCAACCAAGUUUUUCUUUGAUGGAAAUUUGUUUACAUGUCUUUUAAAUAUUUCAAGUUAUUAAUUAUUGUGAUUUAUAGUAGUACUUUUUAUUUUUAGAUAACCGUGGUAUCCAGUGUUUGCCACCUCCCACCAACAUGGGAUUUGAACCUAAGAUCACUAAGGUUCUCAACCCACUUCAUUGACCAUUAGCCCAUAACCUUGAGUGCAUUGUGAUUUAUAGUAUUGUUUACAUAGUUUCCAAGUACAUAGAUUUUAUUUCAAAAAAAUUAAAACUUUUGUGUCCAAAUUGACUGUCAAAGUUUAAAAGUUUGAAUUUCAAAAUUCUAAAACAGAGGGAGUAGUAAAUAGAUUCUGAAUUUGAUUACAUACAUAUUUAAUGAUUAUUGUAACACAUACAUUAUUUGGGCAAAAGCUAAUUGGUUCUGUCAAACAGUAUGCGGAAGACUACCUCUGUCCCUGUUAAUAAGUGAUAUGAUUGUAUUAGUAUUUUUAUAAUGUCAAUGCAUAGAACUUAAUUGCCUUUCUAGUAAGUGUCAUGUAUAGCUUACUUUUAUCUUCUUCUUACUAUGUCCUUUUGGCUCUGGUCAUUACUAUGUGCCAUGUUUCGAAGGAUGCCUGCCUCUGUUAAAUAAGCCGUCACACAGGCAUGCAAGGAAGGAAGGAAGAGUAUACAAGAAAUUUAUGAAUUUGUUCAAAUUAAAGAUGCUAAUUAAAUUAACGUACACGUAAACCUAAGUAUUAUGACCUGGAAACUCAUAUAGCAGUACUUGCUACAUUCAGACUACAAAACAUAUUGGUUUUCCCUUUUUAACUGAAAUGUCAUUGGUCUAGUAGUAAAAUAAUAUGAUGACCCUAUUUACUUUUGAAAGAAAAAUGAGGAAUCAUGUAAUAACAUCAUAUCGUUCAGCAUUAUUAUUUGCACUGAUUUUGAGUAUUGCUUCUUGAGAAUUAAUUGAAUUCCAUAAGUUUCUCCGGUCUGUAAAUUUAAGUUUUAAGCUUUUAACAGCUUUCUAGUUUUUCUAGUUACCAUAUCCCAAAUGCAGCUUCGGUCUUUUUGCUAUGCUCUUCUUUUUUUCCCUUUGGUAUGAAAAUUGAAAAUGGCAAUAUAUGAUUCAUGUCUUUGAAAAGUGAAACUCAGAACUACAUCAUCAUUGAGAUAUAACAAACAUUUAUUCUAUUGUCAACUCACUCACAACAACUUUACAAGGCCAUCAAGCAAUCAAAUUUUAAGAAUUAUAUUAUGAUAUUCAUUUUCCGGGAACGAAGUUUGUGGCAUAGGCCCAGGCGUUGUUGUUAACUGGAUCUGCUAGGUGGUCAGCAAGGUUCUCCAAUGGACCCUUUCCUGUAACAAUGGCCUGAACAAAGAAUCCAAACAUAGAGAACAUAGCAAGUCUACCGUUCUUAAUCUCCUUUACCUUGAGCUCAGCAAAUGCCUCUGGAUCAUCAGCAAGACCUAAUGGGUCAAAGCUGCCACCAGGGUACAGUGGGUCGACAACCUCACCUAGAGGCCCACCAGCAAUACGGUAUCCCUCAACAGCUCCCAUCAAGACAACUUGACAAGCCCAGAUAGCCAAAAUGCUUUGUGCAUGGACCAAGCUUGGGUUGCCCAAGUAAUCAAGUCCACCCUCGCUGAAUAUCUGGGAUCCAGCCUUGAACUACACAGCCUCACCAAACUUGACACCAUUACGGGCCAAGAGCUAGGGGAAGACACAUCCAAGAGCACCAAGCAUAGCCCAUCUGCAGUGGAUCACCUCAAGUUCACGGUUCUUGGCAAAGGUUUCUGGGUCUGCUGAAAGUCCAGCAGUGUCCCACCCGUAGUCACCGGGAAAUUCACCGGUCAAGUAGCUUGGAGACUCACCUGAGAAUGGGCCCAAGUACUUGACACAGUCUGGCCCAUACCAUGGGCUGCCAGAUGAGGCAGGCUUGGAAACAGCCUUUCUCAUAGAGAUCCUUCCAUUUCCAGUGAUUUCUGAGGCAGAGGGUGAGAGUUUCACUGCCUGUCCAGCAAAAGAAGGGGAAGAAAGUGCCAUUGUAGAACUUGCCAUGGCUUAUCAAGAGAAAAGUAAGUGUUUGAUGGUAUGAAUAUUGUUGAAGUUGGUUGUGAUGAAGCUGAAGUCAGUUGGGUUUCAGAAUAUAUAGCAAGUAAGAGGGAAAGAAUACUUAUCUAGUGAUAUCUAUAUCUAUGAUCUCAUUGGGUAUCAAGAUCCCAUGUACAACAAUUAAUGCACUCUUGGGAAUCUCCAAUCCUUCAAUUUUCCAGGAUGUUCACUAAGGGGACCCAACCAAUUUUGUCCUCCUAUAUGUGGCUGCAAGGCUUGAAAUCUAUUCUAUGAUUUCUUGAGCUUCAAUAUGAUAUCUCUUAUCCAUUGGGAAUUUCUCAAGAUUUUAUCCACCAGGACUAUAGUUCAUUCAGAGUAGAACUAUGGCGUAGCAUUUCACUAAAUAAAUUGAGGAAAAGCUGAAAUUCAUUUGUAUCAGAUUAUCAAUUACUGAUGUUUGUCAAAAGAUUAACCUGUAAUUGCUUAAUAAGCAAAGUGGAUCAAGCUUUGAACUUUAUGAGUUUUGAAAUGUAGGACUAGACCUUAAGCAGUAUAUCCUCCGUCCUAAUUUAUGUGGCACAAUUGAAUUUCGAGAGUCAACCAAGUUUUUGUUUGAUGGAAUUUCUUUAUAUGUGUUUUAAAUAUUUCAAGUUGUUAAUUAUUGUGAUUUAUAGUAGUACUUUUUAUUUUUAGAUAACCAUGGUGUCCGAUAUUCGCCACCUCCCACCAACAUGGGAUUUGAACCUAAAACUUCUGAGGUUCUCAACCCACUUCAUUGACCAUUAGACCUUGGGUUCAUUGUGAUUUAUAGUAUUGUUUAAUAGUUUCCAAGUACAUUGAUUUUAUUUCAAAAAGCUUAAAACUUUGGUGUCCAAAUUGAUGUUGACACCUAAUUUUUACCCCCCCACCCCCCAUAACUAAGUUUAAUUUCGAGUUCUUCGAUUCUUAAUAAGAUUACAACAUUUAUUUUAUUGAAUAAAGGAAAUUUUCAAAAAUAUUUAUUGGGGUAAUUUCGUCACUUUAAGUAGCAAUAACAUGUUAUCGUGCCCGACUAUAUGAAAUUAUAUGCUUUGGUUACUUAAAUGGCUAUUUUCUAUAAAAUAAUCAAAGUUUGUCUUGAAAUAAUUUCGAAUGGUUAAUCUUGGUCUAAACAUAAUUUAAUCUCAAAAAUAAUUUGUAUUUAAUCUCAAAAAUAAUUUGUUCAUAUAAAUAUUUGUUUAAAUUUUAUUAAAUCAAGAAGCUCAGAAUUAAAGGAAAUAUUAAUUGAUUUCGAAUUUUGAUUCAAUUCGGCCAACCUAUCAGCUUCGACCACAAUUGAAAUUAGAUUGGCCAUUAUUGCGAGCAAUUGGCCAAUUGAUUUUAAAUUUGGCCAAAAUUUGAAUAAAUCAGCCAAAUCCCUAAUUACAUAAUCCACCCAAUUAAAUCAAUAUUGUCUCAUUUUAUAAACUACAAAUAGCAGCCCACUUUCUUAAUUUAGCUUACUAGCCUUGCCAACCUAAUAGUUAAGAUCAGCCCUUUCCCCUUUCAGUUGGGCCGUUAGUCCAAAACUUUCAGAUGACCCAACAAUUUUCAAAUGACAGCAAACCCAACCCAUUUUCUCAGCAAUCUUUUUCUUUAAUUAUAUUGACCGCCCCAGCCCAACAACAACAUCCGAUUCAUAACCAGGCGCAAUUUCAGCAUCCCCACCAGCCUAUUUUCCUUUUUCCUAUUUUCCUUUUUUUUCUCAAGCAGGCCUAAAUCAACCACCUGUGACCCGAUCCAACCCAAUUCCCUUUACCCCCUUUAUGUUCUUUCUCUUCAAACCAAGGGAAAACCAAAAACAGCUGUAAUACUACAACACCACCACCUUCAUCGACAACACAAGCAACCAACAACGGCGAAAAACCCGAAUCCAUCAACCCGAUAACCCGACUCCACCAGCCCCAACCCUUUUGUUUGCUCUCCACAAGCAUAUCACGCGUUAGAAAGAUGAGAAAGGAAUCCAAGAAAAAAUCAGUCCCAAACCUUCUAGAACGAGCCUACGUGUCAUCCCCAAAGGUUCAAUCCCGUGUUUCUCGGAUAAGAUUGUACGAUUUCGUACAGAGUUGGAUGAUUUUCAUUGGUUCUUGGAAAGAGUCCGUUUUUCCUAAAUGGUAUUAGUCUACCUGUCGCAAAUUUCUCCAAAAAAAUCCAAAGUUGGUAUGUUUUGGGCUAAAAAAUGAGGUUGUGGGAGGAUGGGAUUCUGAAUUUCGAAUUUCUCUUUUUUUUUAAUCCCUAGAUUACCCCCAAUUCAUCCCAUAUAUAAGGAUCCAUCGGGUCACUGUGAUGGGGGGAUUUUUUUUUAGAUGGGACUCUCCUCUUUUUUUCUAGGUUCACAACUUUAGAGGUAAAGGGAUUCCAACUGGGAGGUUUGGAAAAUUUCGCAAAAGUAUCGAGGGUUUUGGGGUCGAAAAAUUUUAGGAAAAAAUUUCUUAAAUUAGGAAAUUGAUAGAGAGGGCUAAGUUCAGAAACCAAGGAGGAAGUUUCUAGAGAAAGGAAACAAAAUUUUUAAUAUAGGUGUCUUUGGUCGACGAUUACUUCGAGCUUUCGUGGUCACCGUGUUAAAAUUUCUAGUGGUGUUGCAAUCCUGUCGUCAGCUCAACAACCCAUUUUGCUGCUCUGAAACAGGUAAACGCGUCUUUUCCUUUGAGUUUGUUUUGCUUCUUCAUCUCAUCCUUCAUAGUUUUGUAAUUAUAGUGAUAGUGGGAUGGUUUGUUGUAGAUGGUUGUUAUGGCCAUAGGAUUUUCUUGAAAAGAUUGCCGUUAUGUUGGUCGUUGCAUAAAUGUCUACACUCCAAUCCUUCGCUCCACUUUCGAUUUCGUAUGUUUCGGUUCGAUCGUUUUGACUCACCAUAUUAUUUUCAUGCUGUUAGUUAGUUUCAAUCCAUUCUUAAUAGUAAUCAAUGUUGUCAUGGUGGUGUUUUUUUUUAGUAUAAAUGUUGCUGAUUUUUUCAGUUUAAAUAGUAUUACUUUCAAUCUAGAAUAUUGUUAUUUUCUGAGUCUAAGUAUUGUUGGGUUUCAACCCCAAAUAUUAUUGUGUUUUUUAGUCCAAGUAGUGCUGUUUUUAGGCCUGAUUAUUGCUGUUUUUUAGCCUAAAUAUCGCAGGUUUUUAGCCUGAAUGAUGUUUCGGAACUUAAAUAUUUUUCCCAGACCUUGAACAUCGUCGUUGAACUCUUUGGUUUUGUUUUGUUGCGUCAAACAUGUAAAAUUUUCUUAAGUAGCAUACAGUUGAGUCGGAUCUUAUUUGGUUGUCUUUAGAAUCGAUCAAUAACAUGUUGGUUGUUUUGUUUCGAUUUAAAUCGGUCUUCCUUUCGAAUUAUAGAUGACCAAAAUAGAUAAUGUGCUUCUUUCUUCUUGAAAAUGACGUUCAAAACUGUUUGUGCUUGAGGCGUUGAUUUAUUUUUGCUUUCCCCCUUUGUUAAAAAUAUGUCCAAUUCAUCUUUUUGUGUCGAUUAGAACAGUGGCUUGUCAAUAUCCUAUUCUUACGUUGGUCUGAUUUUCGCUCAUAGGCUUAAAACUCUUAAGGUUUUGCAAAGCUAUUAUGUAGAAAACAACGAUUCUAUUGUCUUUUGGAUACGAAUCUGCAUCCUCAAUAUUUCUUCCGAUAAAUUGUUUCGGAGUCUAUCGUUUUCUCUUUUUGUCUUUGUUAAUAUGUGUCAUUUGCUACUACUUGUUGAUUCUUUGUUUGUAAUACUUGUUUUUCGGUUAUCUUCUACCCUGUUUAAUUAUCUGGUUCAAUAUAUUAAUUUUUUUUAGCUUCAAGAAUCUUGUGAUGAACUAUCACUUGUUGGUCAUUGAUAUCAAAAUAAAUCAAGAUGUGUUCAAACCAAGCUAUAUAAUUGGUCUUUUCUCUUAAGUUUGUGCUUUCUGGUUGAUAAAUUUUAAGGUGAUAUUUCUAUGGGUGAAAUGAAUCAGGAGCUUUACAUGAUAUUUCUUUUAAUUAGAUCACACUAGUACUGUUUUAUUCAUGCACCAAAUGUAUUCUUUUCCAUGUCAUCACUUAUUUGUUAAGUAACCAACUUUCAAACAUAUAUUAAUUUUCUUACUUUUUACUUUGCAUGUGGAUACGUUUGAGUCCUAAACGGACUCCUUUUCACCUUUGCAUCCUCGCUAUGGGCCCUUGAGGCUCACCUCGUUGAACUAAGCCCAAAAGAAGGUCCAAAAGGCCAUCGUUUGGCGUAUGGAUACGAGAAGACGGGAGGAAAGGAAAUGGAUUAAAGCCCUACAUUUGAAGCGGCUAAGAGACAAAAGUCUCAUUUAUUAUUUCAUUCUAUUUAAUUAUUGUUGCUUUUUUUAUUUAUUUUAUUUGUUUGUUCAUUUUAUUUAUUCAUUCGGAUCACGAAGCCAAAGUUGUAAAUUUAAUACAGGUGGAGCGAGACUCGAGCUAAAGACUCGAAAAACAUAGAAUUAGGAUAGGUGCAAAUGGGUCGAAAUCCUAACUAGAUUAGGAUAGGGUCGACGGUUUGGGCUUAAAAGCCUAAAUCAUUACUUUCCCACUUUUUUCCUUUUUUCUUUUCAUUUACUUGUUUGCUUGUCUCUUUGCGAAGUUAGUUAAAUCCCUAACUAAGUCACUAAAAAAUUGAUUUUGAAAUUUUUUUUAUUUAAUCAACUAUUUUUCUAGCAAAUUGAUUUUCCGAAGUUAAUCAAAAGAAUGUUUUUAAACAGUCCGGAUAACCGCAAGUUAACGGACGUUUUAGGUGCCUAACACCUUCCUAAAAUGUUAAUAGGAACUGCUUACUCAGAAUCUAUUAACUUAAACGAUUUUCCUGUUUUGAAUUGUUUGAUGUAAUUCUCUAAAGGUUUCUUAAUUUCUUUUCAAAAUUAAGUGGCGACUCUCUUUCAAAAGUUAAAAUUUCCGCAAAAUAGAAAUGGCGACUCUGCUGGGGAUUUUUUGAACUAGGUUCUAACCAAAUGUUUGAUUUUGUCUUUUGAUUAAAUGUUUAUGUGUUUAUAUAUUUCAAUUCUAUAAAUAUUAAUUAUCGCAUCUCAUGGCAUAUCCCUGCAUUAUUUAAACUGUUUUGGGAUUUUGUGGAUGUUCGGCCCUUGUUGUUUAAUUUCAAAAUGUGUUGGAAAUACGAACAUCUUAUUUGCACGUGAGUCAUCUGAUGCUGUUCGUAUUUUCAAACUCAAGUUGUCCUUUUGAGAAUCAGUGUUCAAACCACUCUAGACACAGAGGAUAGAACGAAACCAAAAUCCUAUUUUAGGCAUGAGUGUAGGACGAUCCAGUACCCGAGUGGGGUAUUGGGCCCAUUGGAAAACCUACCCUACGUCUAUUGACCCCGAGUUAAUUACAGACGAAUCAUAUUUAUGUGUUGAAAAAAAUACAUGCUUGUCUAAUUCAAUCCAUUAUCCUUUGGGGUCUGGGGAAGGCUUAUCUUUGUCUGCUUUCAUGUAGGAUAUGGCUCAACUACAUUCCCACGAAAAGUUCAAGAUGGUUACUAAACCUGACGAUUUCUUGAAACUAUGGUGGGACCACAUGAGCGCAGGAGAGAAAAAGAUUGUUAGAACACACAUUGGGCAUCUUCCUUCUUUGAUCGAGAUGGACGCUUGGCCCGAAAUUAUCCAUGUACUAAUAACUUUUUGGGAUGAUCAGAAUAUAGUAUUUCGCUUUAGGGAUGUUGAAUUGACUCCUACCAUUGAAGAGGUAUUAUUUGUUACGAGAGUACAGAAAUGUGUUUUAAGAGAAGGGAGACACCUGAUAAGAACAUUUUAGUCCCGAUUGUGUGGGAUCGUCAAAAGAUCAAGGAGGUAUUUUUAACUAACGACGACACCUGGCUAGGAGAACGUGUGGAGAAAAUAUCACUUUUCGUGAGUUGUAUCGUCGGUUCGGGAGAUUCAAUGCUUUUCACAAAUUUGGGCAUAAAUAUGAGUCAGAAGCAAAAUGGAAAGAGUCGAGAGCCUUUGCAUUUGCGGUAGGCCUACUUUGAACCAUGGUGUUCCCACAAGGGGAAAAUGGCACAAUUCAUCCGAGGGUUGUCUCAGUGACCUAUGCACUCUUCUUUGGAAUGGAGUACAAUUAUAAAAAGGUAUUUCACAACUUAGAUCCUAUGAUUGUUGCCGACUUAUAUCGAACUUUGGGAAGGUGUCAAGUCGAUAAUCGUUUCUUUCAAGGCUGCAACCUUAUGUUACAAUGGUGGAUGAUGAUUCAUUUGGUGAAAAAUCCUAGAAUGACACAACCUGACCACAAAACAAGGUGGAAUCUGCUAGAAUCGCACGACAUGUGGUUGUUUUUACACAGGUUCAAAAGGGAAGCAUCUCAUGAAUUUUGGCUUAAGACUCUUGGAGAAUUAAGAGAUGACGAUGUCCAAUGGUCCCUUAACUAUCUUCAUUCAGGGAAAUACAUUAUUCAAGGGGGUGAGUGGCCUUUUCUAGUGCUUCCGGGUAUCAGGGGAACCUGUCCCUACAAUUCUGGUAGAGUUCUUAGGCAAUUUGAGAUCAAGAAGGAGAUGCCUCAAAUCGAUUCUAUGCUCAGAUUCUUCACCGAAUAUGAUGAAACCGAGCCCUCGCUCAAAGACUACAUGAUAAACGAAUUUAGAAGGAGAAGGUGGACGGAAGUCUCUUUCCAUAUAGGGUAUGUACCUGAAGUCAACGAUACUUACAAGGAGUGGGUAAAAAAGAGCCUCAGUGGUGCAUUAAUUUCGGGGCCAAACGUGCCCACUUGGGUCGUGGAUGUAGAAUUCGAGCAUCAGAUCCAACUCCACAGGCUUCAGGAUAAAUUUUAGAAAAAUGAAAUCGCGCACCGACAUCGCAUGUAGAAGAUGCUUUAACAAUACGUAUGUUGAGGGAAGAGUUGAAAAGAGCUAGGCAAGAGGCUGAUGAUGCUAGGCAGUGUUUAAUCGAUUUGGAUGAUAGCAUGGCCUCUCAACUCGAUAGUAUAGGGAAAAUGACUUACCACAGCAAGGCACAAUUAUACGGGAGUCAUCUGAUCAUCAAUAGGUAUCAAAUAGCACAGGAGGUGAACAAGGAAAAGAAGGCAAAGACAGACAAAGGAGCCUCCGUUAGCUAGUUUUUCUAUUUCCCCUGCGCGGGAACUUAUUUUCUUUCAUGUUAUUUCCCUUUUUUCCUAAAGAUUGUAUCCCUCUUUUCUUAUUUUUUUGAAGGCAUCUAUGCCCUUUUUCGUGUCUAUAUAAAUUAGGGGAUAAUGGAUUGACUUUAAGGAAGCAUAUAUUUUCUUCAAAAUCGUUAGGCCUGAACCCUUGGCUCAAAAAGGGUCACCCCAGUUAGGAUACGCAUUAUUAUAAUGUUUUGUGUGAUAUAAUUGUCUUAUGUUCUUAUGUGUGUUUAUUUGGAUCAACGGCAAGUUUAUUCGCUAUACUCCUAUGGAUGAAUUUGGCUAUGACUCAAAAAACUCUAUGUGAUUAUUUCUUGUCAAAUAUUUUGCAUUACUUAUCACAUACGGAAACUAACACAUCUGCCUUUGAGUUGUUUUACUUAACAGAUAGUAGAAACUACUCUGUGUUGAUAUAAGUUGGCAGAACAUCCCUACUUCACCCGGUCAAAAGCGCACAAAAUCCCAUCCUCUGACCAUCAUUUAAUAAUACUAGAAAUAAUGAAGAAAACGCAUUGACCAUCAGGGACAAUCUAAUAGUGGAACAGAAUGAGAUGAUUACGGAACUCGCAAGAAAGCUUGAAAUGCUUCAGGAGGAAAUAAAUUGUACUCGAGAUUUGGCUCACCUGGCCAUCACUGUUAAUGCUCCCGCUCCAGGAGGACACGGGACUCCACUCCAAAUACCUUCCCUUAGUACGCCUAUUCUCGGGGAUCAGCCAAAUAACAUAUCAUCCGUCUCUGCCCCUUCACUUGUCCAAAAUACCAAUCGCGAAAAUAACCCAGAUGCCUACCAUCCACAAAAUCCAUCUCUAACCCCACAAAACCCAUCUACGAAUCUAUUCCCAAAUCCCCAGAACACAUUUUCAAAUCAAGAAAAUUCAUUCCCAAAUCCACAGGAUUCACUUCCAAACCCGUAAAAUCCAUUAAAUCUAUUCCCGAAUCCACCAAAUUCGUUUCCAAAUCCGCAGAAUUCUCCUCCAAUUCCACCAAACCACUCGUAAAUUCCACAAAACCUUCCUAAAUUUUAAAACAUCAUCCCCACCUACCAAUAAACUUCCUUUCAUCUGCAAAAUCAAGCCUCCUUUCCAAAUCUCCCUCAUGCCAUCAUAUCCCCUGACAUCUAUAAUCCCCUACCUAAUUUUGAGAUGGACCAUUACUAAGAGAAGGAGAAAGAGUGGAUGAUCGAGGAUGAAAUUAGGUUGCUAGCUAUGAAUGAAGAGAUCAUGAGGAUCAAAGAAUCUCAUGAAGCGAGGGACCACGACGGUUUAGGGUAUGAUGACUUAUGUGUUCACUCUGGAGUAGAUCUACCAGAAGGGUACAAGGUCCCCAAGUUUGAAGUGUUUGAUGGUGCUGGGAAUCCAAUGGCCCAUCUGAGGAGGUACUGUAAGCAACUGGUAGGGAUCGAGAAAAAUGAGGUGUUAUUGAUGCGCCUAUUCAGCCGAAGUUUAAGCGGUGAAGCCUUAGAGUGGUUCAUGUAUCAGUAGCCAAAAAAAAUGGACUGGUUGGAAAGCAUUGGCUAAGGGUUUCCUCGAAAGGUUCUCAUUCAACAUUGAAAUUAUCCCGGACCGGUAUUCACUAGAUCGGAUCAAACAAAAGAGUGAUGAGAGUUUUCGAGACUAUGUUUUUCGUUGGAGGAAGGAAGCUGCCAAAGUUCAACCCUCCAUGUCUGAGGAAGAAAUGGUAUCCGUAUUCUCUCACGCUCAAGAAGGACAAUAUUAUACCAGGAUGGUGUCCGCUUCAGGGCAACUUUUGCAGAUUUGGUAAAAAUUGGGUAAUCACUGGAAGAAGGUAUUCGUACAGGAAAAAAUUGCCAAGACCCCAACAUCGUUCGAAACUGCUAUGUUCUCGAAGAAGAAAAAAGAGGAUGUAGGCACGGUUUCUGCUGAUUCUAUUGCAAAAACGAAAAAAAGGUUCAACUCUAGGAAUGUUUUCUCUUCUCCACCAUCACCAAACUUUCAGCAUGUAUUCUACACCCAACCCCAAUACCAAGCUUCACUUCCAAAUAUCCAACCUCAGUACCAAACUCCACUCCCAAAUAGUCAACCCCAGUACCAAGCUCCACUCCUAAAUGUCCAAUCCCAAUUCCAAGCUUCGCAGCCAAAUAUUUUUCCCUAAUGUCAAGUUCCACCGCUGAAUUAUCAUCCUAAUAUCCAAUCCACUCUUCCAAACAUCCGAAAAAACAUCCAAGCACCUCUAAAUUAUCAUUAAGUGCUUCCUCCUGCAAAUCAAAAUCAUUAUAACACUCCGCAUCCAAACAUCAAAAAUAAACCUCCCCAAAACUCCACGUUGCUUGCUGAAAGUCGCACCCAACUAUUUGAAAGAUUGAAGAAUAUCGGUCACUUGUAAUCGAUCCAGUUAAAUCUUGUCAAUCCCAACUCUCGAUUUUAUUAUCCUGAUCAAAAUUGUUCUUAUCAUUAAGGAGCAGCAGGGCACAGUACCGAGGACUGUUUUAUCUUGAAACAGAGGAUCCAAGAUCUGAUUGAUCAAAAGGUCAUCACGCUUCAGUCACCGACACCAAAUGUCAAUAGUAACCCAUUGUCUAAUCAUGGGGGAUCUACUAUUAACAUGAUUGAAAUGAAACGAGAAUGGGUGUCUGGCAAGACUAUUACUAAGAUGAAUUCAGAAGAGUGCAAAAGGGCGGAAGAGGUAGAAAAGAUAGAGAGAGUUGUGGCUACCUUAAGUGUCAACGAGAAAGCCCCAUUUAUAGUGAUGACGGCCCCUAUCCAAGUGUACACUCACCCGCCAAGGAAGGAAUUUAUUGUACAGACCGUUGUUGCCUAAGGGAUGAUGCAAUCGGGAUGAUGCUACAUCUCUAAAGAAUUGACCAACAAAAAAAAUUCACAGAAAAGGCCAACCACUAAAGGGGAGGAUGAGGAAUUUUGGAGGCGUAUGCAACCCAAAGAUUAUUCAAUUUUCAAACAUUUAGAGAAGACGCCGGCCCAAAUCUCCAUUUUGGCACUAUCAAUAAGUUCGCAAUACCACCGAUAAGCUUUAUCAAAGGUCUUGGAUGAAGCGUAUGUUCCCGUAGGAACGAGUGUUGAGAACAUGGUUGCGAUGAUAGAAAACAUUGUGGGGAAUCAUCGUAUAUCAUUCAGUGAUGAAAAGUUGCCUUUUGAAGGAGUGAUGCACAAUAAAGCCUUGCAUGUCACUGUCAUUUGCCAAGAUUAUGCGAUUAAUCAGGUAUUAAUAGAUGAUAGAUCUGGUGUGAAUAUUUGUCCCCUCUCCACGUUGGUUCAAAUGGGCUAUAAUUUGGGAAAAAUUCAUCAAAGCCACAUAAAUGUGAGAGCAUUCGAUGGAGGGCAGAGAGAUACCAUAGGAGAAAUUGAUUUGUACAUCCAAAUGGGACCUGCUGAGUUCAAAACUAAGUUUCAUGUUAUGGAUAUUCAUCCUAGCUACAACCUUCUCUUGGGAAGACCAUGGAUACAUGGUACAAAGGCCGUUUCAUCACCCCGUCAUCAACUAUUGAAAUUCAUUUGGGAGGAUCAUGAAGUAGUCAUCCAAGGGGAAGGAAGCCGAGCGGAUCGUCCCAAUGGUUAUGUGCCGGUAAUUGAAGAUGUUCCAAAGGGUAGUAGUUUCUAUACGGUUGAAAUUAUAAAUGCUGUGGAGAAGGAUCUGACGCUCAAAGGGACAAUGCCUUCUUUCUAUAAAAUAAUUGCGACGGUGAUGUUAAGAAAUAGAUUCGAGCCUGGUCGGGGUUUGGGUACGAAUCUACAAGGAAUUAUUGAGCCUAUUAUGAUCCCAGAGAAAGCCUUUAAAUAUGGGUUAGGAUAUCACCCUACCGAGAAGGAUAUGGUUGAGGAUAAGUUAGAGCAGAGUCUGUGUAGGCCCUUUUUGCUUUUAUACCAGUCAUUUCCUAUACGGGAGAUGUCGAAUGAUGAUGGUCUUGAGUAUGGGAUAGGAGAUUUGUUUGAGGGAUGCAAUGCUAUACCAGAAGAUUUCCCAAAGUCCGGCGGGGUGAAGAAGAUUGCGCCAGGGGAGGCCUUGAAAAACUGGACCUCCACUCCAACCCGUCGCCCAUCGUGGUAGAUGAAAGGGCAAUUCAGAAUAGUUUUAAAAUCAGUGAUGAUCUGGAAGAGGCCCCACGAUCCACACUUUAUAUCUCAAAACUUUAUUUUUAUAUUUUACUGCUUUCAAAAAGGCAUGGACUUGUAUUUGCACGAGUCAUGAGCCAUGGUUUUGUAAUUAUCUCGCAAAUUUCAUUGAAAAGGCCUUCAUUCAUUUAAAAAAAAAUUAUUAUUCCUGAAACAUUCCUAUUCGUAUAUUUUAUUAUUAUCUUAUUAUCAUCUAACUUGGUUUGUUUGUCCAUUACAGUAACAGUAACUUAAAAUCUGCCAAUGUCAUGUCAUAUCAAAGCUUAGACGAACAAAAUAAGGGGAAUGAUGAUGAUUGGAAGGACGGUGAUGAGGAACAAUUAGUUGAAGAUAUAGAGGAGUUUGAGAAUCGAGAAAAGCCUAACCUAGAGGAAACUAAAAUAGUCAACCUCGGAGAUCAAGAUGAAAUCAAAGAAAUAAGUGUCAACGUCCACUUGGCGGAAGCACAAAAGAGAGAGCUCAUUCACCUGUUACAGGAAUAUAUUGACGGUUUUGCUUGGUCCUAUGAUGAUAUGCCGAGAUUGAGCACCAAUAUUAUGUCGCGUAAGUUGCCAAUAAAUCCAGAGUUUGAUCCAGUCAAGCAAAAAAUACGGAAAUUCAAGCCAGAUUUAAGUCAAAGAUCAAGGAAGAAGUGACAAAACAAAUCCAGUCUAAGGUUGUGGAGGUCACAAAAUAUCCAACAUGGUUGGCCAACAUUGUCCCUGUGCCGAAGAAGGACGACAAUAUUCAAAUUUGUGUUGACUAUAGAGACUUGAAUAGAGCCAGUCCUAAAGAUAAUUUUUCGUUGCCCAAUAUCCACAUCCUCAUCGAUAACUGUGCAAAGCAUGAAAUUCAGUCAUUCGUUGAUUGUCUUGCCGGGUAUCAUCAGAUAUUAAUAGAUGAGAAAGAUGCAGAAAAGACGACUUUUAUUAAGCCCUGGGGUAUUUAUCAUUACAAGGUAAUGUCGUUUGGUCUCAAGAACGUGGGUACAACAUAUAUGAGGGCUAUGACGAUGAUUUUCCAUGAUAUGAUCCAUAAAUAGAUUGAGGUGUAUGUGGAUGAUGUAAUUAGCAAAUCCUGCGAGAGUUCAGAUCAUCUGACUCAUCUGGAGAAAUUCUUUAACAGAUUAAGAAAGUACAGUUUAAAGUUAAAUCUUGCUAAGUGUACUUUUGGUGUGCCAUCAGGGAAGUUACUGUUCAUAGUUAGCAGAAGAGGCAUCGAGUUAGACCCAUCCAAAAUCAGGACAAUCCAGGACUUGCCAUCGCCGAGGACUAAGAAGAAAGUUAUGAGUUUCAUGGGUCAUUUGAAUUACAUUAGUAGCUUCAUCGCUCAAUCGACAUUCAUAUGCGAUCCAAUUCUCAAGAUAUUGAAGAAAAAUUCAUUGAAUGAGUGGACAGAAGAAUGUCAGAGAGCUUUUGACCACAUCAAAGAAUAUCUAUCUGCACCACCGGUUUUGGUUCCACCAAGAGAAGGAAUUUCAUUAUUGCUUUACCUGUCAGUCCCAAAAAAUGCUUUUGGAUGUGUCCUCGAGCAACAUGAUGAGACCGGUAGAAAAGAGAAAGCCAUUUACUACUUGAGUAAAAAGUUUACGCCAUAUGAAGCCCGUUAUACUCUUGUAGAAAUGACAUGUUGUGCUUUGACUUGGGCUGCACAAAAGUUAAGGCAUUAUCUGUCUUCGUACACGACAUACAUCAUCUCGAGAAUGGAUUCAUUGAAGUAUAUAAUACAGAAGACUAUACCCACAGGAAAGCUAGCCAAGUGGCAAAUAUUGCUAAGCGAGUUUGACAUCAUGUAUGUAACUCAAAAUGCAAUCAAGGGGCAAGCUUUGGCAGAUAAUUUGGCAGAGAAUCCAGUUGAUGAUGAGUAUGAACCACUUCAAACUUACUUCCCAUAUGAGAAAAUUCUAUUUGUGGGAGAAGACAUUACAGAAAUUUACCCUGGAUGGAGGUUAUUCUUUGAUGGAGCGGUCAACUUCAAAGGUUCAGGAAUCGGAGCAGUGUUGGUCUCAGAAAUGGGUCAACAUUAUCCAGUAACUACUAAGUUGCAUUUCCCAUGCACCAACAACAUGGCCGAAUAUGAAGCUUGCAUCCUGGGUCUCAAAUUGGCACUUGAUAUGGGUGUUCGUGAAUUGCUAGUCAUCAGGGAUUUAGAUUUGCUGAUUCACCAGGUACGGGGAGAAUGGGCGGUAAAAAAUUCCAAGAUUACUCCUUAUGUUGAGCUGGUACAGGAAUUAUGUGGAAAAUUCAAAGAAGUUGAUUUCAGACAUAUCCCAAGAAUACAAAAUGAGUUUGUUGACGCUUUGGCCACUAUAUCCUCUAUAAUUUGGCACCCAGAUCAGAGUUAUAUUAAUCCUUUGGAAAUAAGCUUGAAGGAGCAACCUGCGCAUUGUGCACGUGUUGAAGAGAAGCCCGAUGGAAAGCCAUGGUACUAUGACAUUAAAAGGUAUUUAGAAUCUGGAAUAUAUCCUGAAGAGGCCAGCAACAACCAAAAGAAACAACCCAGCGUUUGGCAAAAAACUACUUUCCAAGUGGGGAAUUUCUUUUUAAGAGGACACCUGAUUUAGGAUUUUUAAGAUGCGUAGAUGCUGUGGAAGCCAAUAAAUUGAUAAAAGAAGUACACACAGGAGUUUGCGGACCCCACAUGAAUGGGUUUGUCCUUGCCAUAAAGAUCCUGAGAACCGGCUACUUCUGGAUAACUAUGGAGAAUGAUUUAGUAAGUAUGUGCAGAGAUGUCCAAAAUGCCAUACACAUAGAGAUUUGAUUCGAAUGCCUCCACACGAGCUUCAUGAAAUGAAUUCACUUUGGCCUUUCGUAGCUUGGGGCAUGGAUGUUAUCGGACCGAUAGAGCCAUCAGCAUCGAUAGGCAUAAAUUUAUUUUUGUUGCCAUUGACUACUUCACUAAGUGGGUCAAAGCUGCAUCAUAUAGAUUCGUCACUAAGAAAAUGGUUGCAGCUUUCGUUAGGAAUAACUUGAUUUGCCAAUUCGGAGUACUGUAAUCAAUCAUUACUGAUAAUGGGGCAAACUUGAACAGUCACUUGAUGAAAGAAAUUUAUGAUCAGUUCAAAAUUGUGCAUCGCAACUCUACCGCAUAUCGUCCACAGAUGAAUGGAGCCGUAGAAGCUGCCAAUAAGAACAUCAAGAAGAUCUUGAGAAAGAUGGUCAAAAUGAUAGAUCAUGUCAUGAGAUGUUACCUUAUGCUUUGCUAGGUAUCGCACAACAGUUCGAACCUCCAUCUGGUCAACUCUCUAUUUGUUGGUUUACGGGAAUGAAACUGUGAUACCUGUUGAGGUUGAAAUACCUUCCCUGAGGAUUAUUCAAGAGGCCGGACUAAGUAACAAAGAGUGGGUUCGCGCUCGUUGUGAACAACUCAUGUUGAUUGAUGAAAAGAGAAUGGUUGCCAUGUGUCAUGGUUAGUUAUAUCAGCACAAGAUGAUUCAUGCUUUCAACAAGAAAGUGAGAGCUCGAACAUUUGAAGUUGGGCAAUUAGUUCUCAAAUGCAUACUCCCUCACCAAGAAUAUUACAAGGGCAAGUUCGCUCCAAAUUGGCAAGGUCCAUACAUAGUUCGCAAGGUACUAUCUAGAGGGGCUCUGAUUUUUCUGAGAUGGAUGGCCAUGAGUGGACCAAACCAAUCAAUUUUGAUGUGGUGAAAAGAUACUAUGUUUGAAGGGCGUUCUAGUUUUAUGGUUCUUAGUUUAUCUGUAAUCGCCAUGUAAUAAUGUGUUUUAUGAUGUGUAAUUGCCUAGAACACUUUUCCCUUUAUGUACGAACUAUGUUUGACCUGAAUUCCCAAGAAAGGGAUACGUAUGCGGCCUAUGUCGGAUUCGGUCAACCUCUUAGAGAAUUUAUUCUUUCCCUUUAUGUAUGAACUACUUGAUGACCUGAAUUCCCAAGAAAGGGAUACGUAGGCGGCCUAUGUCGGCUUCGGUCAACCCAUUAAUUUGUUUUGUAUAUUCCUAGCGUAAUCCUAAACUACAUUUGACCUGAUUCCUACUUCAACGGGAUACGUAGGCGCCCCAACGGUUCGAUCAUAUAACCCCAAGAAAUGAAAACUGGGGCAGAAUUUUUGAGAAGGAAUCUCGAAAAUUCACAAGAGAAGAUCAACAUCCAACAAAGAGAACGAAGAUCAGCAAAGACUUUAGAUCCACUCAAGAUGAUAUCAUCUCAGACUACUUUAAACUGGGGCAGAAAUUUUAAGGAAGACCUCAAAAUUUCAAUCAAAUACUGGAAUAUAUUUUAGAUUCCCCAGCACUAGAGGUCAAAGUUGAGAUUUGAGAAUAACCACCUGUGAUAAAGUCUAGGAAGACUGAAUCUCCAUCUUUGAUAAAACCUCUGGUAGAGAGCCUCGACAAUCUUGAAUCCCAGCUAUCCUCCGUCAAACGUCAGACAUUGUCAGAAUCAAGAUAAAGAAGGUCGUUGAGCUAGCACAUGACAUGACUGGCAAAGAUUUUUCAAAGUUUUGCAGGAGUUCUCAAAAUUAUUUUCUAAAAAGUAAGAGUACUAAAAUCUAUAUAAAUCUUUUACUUAGUUAUUGCCUAGACAUCAAUUAGGACGGAGAGUCAUAAGUAGAAGUCCCAACACGACGAAAUACCUGAAAAAUGGCGAAAGGUAAAUCAAGGAUCGAAGGAGGUCAACACGAAGUAGUUUCACUCAAACUAAUCAUUUUUUAUGGGCGCAAGGACCAAUACACAAAAAUGAAAGUCUCUUUCAAAAAUCUCCGAGCAAAUUGGGAGCCACACCAGAGCACUAAUGCUCAAGAACAGUAUUUUUGGGUAGCCCUAAAAAUGGGUUUAGUACCCAUAUAUUGAAGACCUUUUAAAGUUGUCCAUCUCAUUUCUUGAGAUCAUGGAGGACAAAUAAAAGUGUCUUGUCUUCUUUACAAAUAUUGUAUUUAGAAUUUUUCUAAAAAACAUUCGCUAGCAAAAACGACUUUGUGUCUACUAAUCGUCUACCUUGAGUAUAGGUACAUGCAGAAAGCAAGAUCCUGACAAAUGAUUUCAGUUGAAACUAUUUUUAAUUUACCGGAAGAACCAUUGCAUAUCAUUGCCGAAAGAACAAUUUGAGAGAUUAUCUAUAAGUCAUAUUGUAUCCAAGGUCGGAUGAUAUGCAGGAACCCCUGAAAGCUAGCGAUUGGAGGGAUAUCUGUAAGCUGUCUCUUAUCCAAAGUCGAAUAAUUUGCAGGAUUACCUAAAAGCUAGAAAUUCAAAGGAUAUUUGUAAGUUUCCUCUUAUCCAAUAUCAAAUAAUGUGCAAGAUUAUCCAAAGAUUGAUAAUUUAAAGGAAAUUUAUAAAUCAAUCAUCGUCAAUAACCAAAAAGGUUAUCCUUCCACAUACAACAAGAAUUAUAGGUGACCGAAGAAGUUACCACAUCUACACAAGAUUACAUGGUUGUGAGGACCAUUCUUCAUAAAAUAUCAUUGAUGUCCGAAGGGCCACCCCACUUUGAAGAUAUAUUCAACCGACAAAUGCCAUAAUUAUACAACUAUCAAGAAGGUUGUUGUGCCUGUUAUUUCAAGUUAUUUCCUUUCAAACAGGUACAAGAAAGGAUGACUUCGCUUUUUAGACAACAACUCACGCGGAGAUAUGGUAAAAUACUAUAUACCUCUUUCGUGAGUUAUGCUUAUCACUAAUGAUUUUUGUUUGAGAUAUUGUCGAGAGCAUCCGAGAGGAUAAAAAUCUCAAAUCAAAACCACAAGUGAGGACGACUCCAAAAAGGACGCAGCACAACGUGGAACUCUUUCUUAGCAGCAAAACGGGACAUAGUCUAGACAGGGAUGUCAAACUCUCUGGAUGCGAGCUAAAUGAUGAUUACCACCACCAUCUAACCACACCCCUUUUAGAAGGCAUGUGGGUAUUUUGGGAUAUUCUGGUUUCAGCUUCACCUUCGGGAUAUUUUCUUUACUCAUACCGAGGGUAACCUUCUCUUUCUUUCAAAUUUGGGUGACAACAUACUUAGAGUUUUGAAAAUUAUGUCCAGGUAAGUUCUUAUCUAUGGAUGUGAAGGAUCCCACAUUCAUGAUUAAGAGGUUACAAACCUUUUUUCCGCAACUCAGUCAACUUGUCACUUAUCCUGAUCCAAAGAUUGUCUAAAAAUAGAAGACUAUCUUUUCUACCGAUAGAGUCGAACUACAAGCAGUCUGAUUCCCUGAGUCUCGGGGAUAUGUAAGCUGGGCUCUAUGUAGAAAACUCAACUGAAUUCCAACCUCCCCCCAAAUCCCUCUAUUCCAUAGCUUUUUGAUUUUGUCAAAAACUCCAAAAAUCGAGACAACUUGUGAAUUUUUUAAAAAUCAUGCUUUAAAUCAUGCUUUAUGAACUACAAGUGGCCUGAAUUCUCAUGCCACCUGAGAUAUGUAGGAAACCUGAUGCCAAGGUUCGGCCAUAACUCAUUAAACUCGUGCUUAAGCCAACCUUUUUCAGAUGUGAAUUUGUGAUCAAACAAAAAUUAGGAACGUCAACCUCCCUUUGCCUAGGAUUACUUGCAUCCACCCUACCCAAAGGGAGGGGGCAGUUGUUGACACCUAAUUUUUACCCCCCAUAACUAAGUUUAAUUCCGAGUUCUUUAAUUUUUAAUAAGAUUACAACAUUUAUUUUAUAGAAUAAAGGAAAUUUUCAAAAAUAUUUAUCGAGGUAAUUUCGUCACUUUAAGUAGCAAUAACAUGUUAUCGUGCCCGACUAUAUGAAAUUAUAUGCUUUGGUUACUUAAAUGGCUAUUUUCUAUAAAAUAAUCAAAGUUUGUCUUGAAAUAAUUUCGAAUGGUUAAAAUCUUGGUCUAAACAUAAUUUAAUCUCAAAAAUAAUUUGUUCAUAUAAAUAUUUGUUUAGAUUUUAUUAAAUCAAGAAGCUCGAAAUUAAAGGAGAUAUUAAUUGAUUUCAAAUUUUGAUUCAAUUCGGCUAACCUGUCAGCUUCGACCACAAUUGAAAUUAGAUUGGUCAUUAUUGCGAGCAAUUGGCCAAUCGAUUUUAAAUUUGGCCAAAAUUUGAAUAAAUCAGCCAAAUCUCCAAUUACAUAAUCAACCCAUUUAAAUCAGUUUUGUCCCAUUUUGUAAACUACAAACAGCAGCCCACUUUCUUAAUUUAGCUUACUAGCUUUGCCAACCCAAUAGUUAAGAUAAGCCCUUUCCCCUUUCAGUUGGGCCAUACAGUUGGGCCGUUAAUCCAAAACUUUCAGAUGACCCAACAAUUUUCAAAUGACAUCAAACCCAACCCAUUUCCUCAGUAACCUUUUUCUUUAAUUAUAUUGACCGCCCCAGCCCAACAACAACAUCCAAUUCAUAACCAGGCCCAAUUUCAGCAUCCCCACCAGCCUAUUUUCCUCUUUAUUCUCAAACAGGCCCAAAUCAACCACCUGUUACCCAAUCCAGCCCAAUUCUCUUUACCUCCUUUAUCUUCUUUCUCUUCAAACCAAGGGAAAACCAAAAACAGUUGUAAUACUACGACACCACCACCUUCAUCGACAACAUAAGCAACCAACAAUGGCAAAAAAUUUGAAUCCAUCAACCAGAUAACCCGAAUCCACCAUCCCCAACCAUUUUGUUUGCUCUCCACAUGCGUAUCAGGCAUCAAAAAGACGAGAAAAGAAUCCAAGAAAAAAAUAGUCUCAAAUCUUCUAGAACGAGCCUAGGUGUCAUCCCCAAUGGUUCAAUCUCGUGUUUCUCAUAUAAGAUUGUACGAUUUCGUACAGAGUUGGAUGAUUUUCAUUGGUUCUUGAAAAUAGUCCAUUUUUCCUAAAUGGUAUUAGUCCACCUGUGGCAAAUUUCUCUAAAAAAAUCCAAAGUUGGUACGUUUUGGGCUUGAAAAUGAGGCUGUGGGAGAAUGGGAUUCUGAAUUUUGAAUUUCUCUUUUUUUUUCAAUCCCUAGAUUACCCCGAACUCAUUCCAUAUAUAAGAAUCCAUCGGGUUACUGUGAUGGGGGGAUUUUUUUUUUAGACGGGCUUCUCCUCCUUCUUUCUAGGUUCGCAACCUUAGAGGUAAAGGGAUUCCAACUAGGAGGUUUGGAAAAUUUUGCAGAAGUAUCGAGGGUUUUGGGGCCAAAAAAUUUUAGGGGAAAACUUCUUAAAUUAGGAAAUUGAUAGAGAGGGCUAAGUUCAGAAACCAAGGAGGAAGUUUCCAUAGAAAGAAAACAAAGUUUUUAGUAUAGGUGUCUUUGGUCGACGACUACUUCGAGCUUUCGUGGUCACCGUGUUAAACUUUCUAGUGGUAUUGAAAUCCUGUCGUCAGUUCGACAACCUAUUUUGAUGCUCCGAAACAGGUAAACGCGCCUUUUUCUUUGAGUUUGUUUUGCUUCUUCAUCUCAUUCUUUGUAGUUUUGUAAUCAUAGUGAUAGUGAGAUGGUUUAUUGUAGAUGGUUGUUAUGGCCAUAGGAUUUUCUUGCAAAGAUUGUCGUUAUGUUGUUCGUUGCAUAAAUGUCUACACUCUAAUCCUUCGCUCCACUUUCGAUUACGUAUGUUUCGAUUUGAUCGUUUUGACUCACCAUAUUAUUUUCAUGUUGUUAGUUAGUUUCAAUCCAUUCUUAAUAGUAAUCAAUAUUGUCAUGGCGGUAUUUUUUUUAGCAUAAAUGUUGCUGAUUUUUUCAGUUUAAAUAGUAUUACUUUCAAGCCAGAAUAUUGUUAUUUUUUUAGUCUAAGUAUUGUUGGGUUUCAACCCCAAAUAUUGUUGUGUUUUUUAGUCCAAGUAGUGCUGUUUUUAGGCCUGUUUAUUGCUGUUUUUUUAGCCUAAAUAUCGCAGGUUUUUAGCCUGAAUGAUGUUUCGGAACUUAAAUAUUUUUCCCAGACCUUGAACAUCGUCGUUGAACGCUUUGGAUUUGUUUUGUUGCGCCAAACAUCUAAAAUUUUCUUACGUAGCAUACAGUUGAGUCAGAUCUUGUUUGGUUGUCUUUAGAAUCGAUCAAUAACAUGUUUGUUGUUUUGUUUCGAUUUAAAUCGGUCUUCCUUUCAAAUUAUAGAUGACCAAAAUAGAUAAUGUGCUUCUUUCUUCUUGAAAAUGACGUUCAAAACUGUUUGUGCUUGAGGCGUUGAUUUAUUUUUCCUUUCCCCCUUUGUUAAAAAUAUGUCCAAUUCAUCUUUUUGUGUCGAUUAGAACAGUGGCUUGUCAAUAUCCUAUUCUUACGUUGGUCUGAUUUUCGCUCAUAGGCUUAAAACUCUUAAGGUUUUGCAAAGCUAUUAUGUAGAAAACAACGAUUCUAUUGUCUUUUGGAUACGAAUCUGCAUCCUCAAUAUUUCUUCCGAUAAAUUGUUUCGGAGUCUAUCGUUUUCUCUUUUUGUCUUUGUUAAUAUGUGUCAUUUGCUACUACUUGUUGAUUCUUUGUUUGUAAUACUUGUUUUUCGGUUAUCUUCUACCCUGUUUAAUUAUCUGGUUCAAUAUAUUAAUUUUUUUUAGCUUCAAGAAUCUUGUGAUGAACUAUCACUUGCUGGUCAUUGAUAUCAAAAUAAAGCAAGAUGUGUUCAAACCAAGCUAUAUAAUUGGUCUUUUCUCUUAAGUUUGUGCUUUCUGGUUGAUAAAUUUUAAGGUGAUAUUUCUAUGGGUGAAAUGAAUCAGGAGCUUUACAUGAUAUUUCUUUUAAUUAGAUCACACUAGUACUGUUUUAUUCAUGCACCAAAUGUAUUCUUUUCCAUGUCAUCACUUAUUUGUUAAGUAACCAACUUUCAAACAUAUAUUAAUUUUCUUACUUUUUACUUUGCAUGUGGAUACGUUUGAGUCCUAAACGGACUCCUUUUCACCUUUGCAUCCUCUCUAUGGGUCCUUGAGGCUCACCUCGUUGAACUAAGCCCAAAAGAAGGUCCAAAAGCCCAUCGUUUGAUGUAUGGUUACGAGAAGACGGAAGGAAAGGAAAUGGAUUAAAGCCCUACGUGUGAAGCGGCUAAGAGACAAAAGUCUCAAUUAUUAUUUCAUUCUACUUAUUGUUGCUUUUUUUUUUUAUUUAUUUUAUUUGUUUGUUCAUUUUAUUCAUUCAUUUGGUCCACGAAGUCGAAGUUGUAAAUUUAAUACAGGUGGAGCGAGACUCGAGCUAAAGACUCGAAAAACAUAGAAUUAGGAUAGGUGCAAAUGGGUCGAAAUCCUAACUAGAUUAGGAUAGGGUCGACGGUUUGGGCUUAAAAGCCUAAAUCAUUACUUUCCCACUUUUUUCCUUUUUUCUUUUCAUUUACUUGUUUGCUUGUCUCUUUGCGAAGUUAGUUAAAUCCCUAACUAAGUCACUAAAAAAUUGAUUUUGAAUGUCAAUAUCCUAUUCUUACGUUGGUCUGAUUUUCGCUCAUAGGCUUAAAACUCUUAAGGUUUUGCAAAGCUAUUAUGUAGAAAACAACGAUUCUAUUGUCUUUUGGAUACGAAUCUGCAUCCUCAAUAUUUCUUCCGAUAAAUUGUUUCGGAGUCUAUCGUUUUCUCUUUUUGUCUUUGUUAAUAUGUGUCAUUUGCUACUACUUGUUGAUUCUUUGUUUGUAAUACUUGUUUUUCGGUUAUCUUCUACCCUGUUUAAUUAUCUGGUUCAAUAUAUUAAUUUUUUUUAGCUUCAAGAAUCUUGUGAUGAACUAUCACUUGCUGGUCAUUGAUAUCAAAAUAAAGCAAGAUGUGUUCAAACCAAGCUAUAUAAUUGGUCUUUUCUCUUAAGUUUGUGCUUUCUGGUUGAUAAAUUUUAAGGUGAUAUUUCUAUGGGUGAAAUGAAUCAGGAGCUUUACAUGAUAUUUCUUUUAAUUAGAUCACGCUAGUACUGUUUUAUUCAUGCACCAAAUGUAUUCUUUUCCAUGUCAUCACUUAUUUGUUAAGUAACCAACUUUCAAACAUAUAUUAAUUUUCUUACUUUUUACUUUGCAUGUGGAUACGUUUGAGUCCUAAACGGACUCCUUUUCACCUUUGCAUCCUCUCUAUGGGUCCUUGAGGCUCACCUCGUUGAACUAAGCCCAAAAGAAGGUCCAAAAGCCCAUCGUUUGAUGUAUGGUUACGAGAAGACGGAAGGAAAGGAAAUGGAUUAAAGCCCUACGUGUGAAGCGGCUAAGAGACAAAAGUCUCAAUUAUUAUUUCAUUCUACUUAUUGUUGCUUUUUUUUUUUAUUUAUUUUAUUUGUUUGUUCAUUUUAUUCAUUCAUUUGGUCCACGAAGUCGAAGUUGUAAAUUUAAUACAGGUGGAGCGAGACUCGAGCUAAAGACUCGUAAAACAUAGAAUUAGGACAGGUGCAAAUGGGUCGAAAGCCCAACUAGAUUAGGACAGGGUCGACGGUUUGGGCUUAAAAGCCUAAAUCAUUACUAGAUUAGGACAGGGUCGACGGUUUGGGAUUAAAAGCCUAAAUCAUUACUUUCCUGCUUUUCCCCCCUUUUCUUUUCAUUUAGUUGUUUGCUUGUCUCUUUGUAAAGCUAGUUAAAUCCCUAACUAAGUCGCUAAAAGUUUGAUUUUGCAAAAAAAUUUUCCUUAAUCAACUAUUUUUCUAGCAAAUUAAUUUUCCAAAGUUAAUCAAAAGAAUGUUUUUAAACAGUCUGGGUAACCGCAAGUUAACGGACGUUUUAGGUUCCUAACACCUUCCUAAAACGUUAAUAGGAACCGCCUACUUAGAAUCUCUUAACUUAAACAAUUUUCCUGUUUUGAAUUGUUUGAAGUAAUUCUCUAAAGGUUUCUUAAUUCCUUUUCAAAAUUAAGUGGCUACUCUCUUUCAAAAUUCAAAAUUUUCGCAAAACAAUUAACUGUCAAAGUUUGAAUUUUGAAAUUCCGACCGAGCCACAUAAAUAAAACAGAGGGAGUAGUAAAAAGAUUAUGAAUUUGAUUACAUACAUAUUUAAUGAAUUUUUUAACACAUAUACAUAAUUUGGGCCAAAGCUACUUGGUUCUGUCAAACAGUAUGCUGAAGGCUACUCUGCCCCUGUUAAUAAGUGAUAUGAUUGUAUUAGUACUUUUUAUAAUGUCAAUGCAUAGAACUUAAUUUCCUUUCUAGUAAGUGUCAUGUAUAGCAUACUUUUAUCUUCUUCUUACUAUGUCCUUUUGGCUUUGGUCAUUACUAUGUGCCAUGUUUGGAACGAUGCCUCACUCUGUUAAAUAAGUUGUCACAUAUGCAUGCAAGGAAGGAACAGUAUACAAGAAAUUUAUGAAUUUGUUCAAAUUAAAGAUGCAUGGUUGAGCGGAGAUUAAGGAAGGUCAUGUCUAUUUCGGAGAAUCAGUUUGGAUUUAUGCUUAGUCGCUCGACGACAGAGGUAAUCCACUUGGCCAGGAGANNNNNNNNNNNUGGAAAGAAAGAGGGAUCUACACAUGGUGUUCAUCUACCUGUAGAAGGCGCAUGACAAAGUCCCUAGGGAAGUUCUUUGGAGGUGCUUGAAGGUGAGAGGGGUCCCGAUGACGUAAAUCAGAGUCAUUAAGGACAUGUACAAUGAAGGGAAGACUCGGGUGAGGAUGGCGGGCGGAGAAUCAGAUCAUUUUUUGGUCGAGACAAGGUUAUAUCAGGGAUCGACUCUCAGUCCGUGUCUGUUUGUGUUGGUGAUGGAUGUGUUGACGCAAAGUAUUCAAGGUGAGGUGCCUUGGUGUAUGUUAUUUGCAGAUGACGUAGUGUUGAUUGAUGAGACACUGGGAGGUGUAAAUAAAAAAUUAGAGGUUUGGAGGCAUACCCUUGAGUCUUAGGGGUUUAGGUUGAGUAGGUCAAAGAUAGAGUAUAUGGAGUGCAAGUUUAGUGACUCGAAGCAGGAGGCCGAAGUGGUGGUAAGGUUGGAUUCCCAGGAUGUUUGCAAGAGGGAUAGUUUUAAAUAUCUCGAAUCUAUGAUUCAGAGGAAUGGCGAGAUUGAUGAGGAUGUCUCUAAGCGUAUUGGAGCAGGUUGGAUGAAGAGGAGGCUCGCCUCGGGAGUGUUGUACGAUAAGAAGGUGCCCUUAAAGCUUAAAGGUAAGUUCUACGGAGUGGCAAUCCGCCCGGCCGUGUUGUAUGGUGCGGAGUGUUGGCCAGUCAAGAACUCCCAUAUUCAAAUAUUGAAGGUAGCGGAAAUGAGAAUGUUGCAUUGGAUGUGUGGGCUUACUAGAAGGGAUAGAGUUAAGAAUGAGAUUAUCCGGAAGAAGGUGGGAGUGGCGUCGGUGGAAGACAAGAUGAGGGAAAAAAGACUGAGAUGGUUUGGGCAUGUGAUAAGGAGGGGCACAGAUGCCCCAGUUCGUAGGUGUGAGAGACUAGCUUUGGAUGGUUUCAGGAGGAGUAGAGGCUGACCGAAGAAAUAUUGGAGAGAGGUGAUUAGACAUAACAUGGAGCUGCUACAGCUUACUGAAGACAUUACCCUAGAUAGGAAGGUGUGGAGGUCGCGAAUAAGGGUGGAAGGCUAGUGCGGGUGUGGGUUGUGACUUGUAGUUAGGGAGCUCUUCUGUAGUCGAUUUAGUAACCCUAGGACUGUCCUUUGGUAGGAGCCGCUAGUGUAUUCUACUACUAGGUGAGUGUCCUUGUCUUAUUUCUUAUUUCCUAUUUCUUAUUUUCGUAGUUCGCUUAUUUUCGUGUCGCUCUUAUUUUUAUUAUUAUUGUUUCUUAUUUCUUAGUUUUUGGUUAUGUCACCCAUCUUGUUUCAUGUAUUAAUAUGACCUUGUUAAUUAUUCUUUAUCUAGAGUCGGGGGUCUAUCAGAAACAACCUCUCUACUUCUUUGGAAGUAGCGGUAUGGACUACGUACAUUCUACCCUCCCCAGACCCCACUUGGUGCAAAUACACUGGGUUUGUUGUUGUUGUUGUUGUUGUAAAGAUGCUAAUUAAAUUAAGGUACACAUAAACCUAAGUAUUAUGACUUGGAAACUCACAUAGUAGUACUUGCUACGUUCAGACUACAAAACACAUUGAUUUUCCCUUUUAACUGAAAUGUCAUUGAUCUAGUAGUAAAAUGUUACGAUGAUCCUCUUUCACUUCUUGACAGAAAAAUGAGGAAUCAUGCAAUAAGCUUAUAUCGUUCAACAUUAUUAUUUGCACUGAUUUUGAGUAUUGCUUCUUGAGAAUUAAUUGAAUUCGAUAAGUUCCUCCGGUCUGUAAAUUUAAGUUUAAGCUUUUAACAGCUUUAUAGUUUUUCUAGUUACCAUAUCCCAAAUGUAGCUUCGGUCGUUUUUGCUAUGUUCUUUUUUUUUUCCUUUGAUAUGAAAGUGGCACUAUAUGAUUCAUGUCUUUGGAAAGUGAAACUCAGAACUACACCAUCAUUGGAAUAUAUCAAACAUUUAUUCUAUUGUCAACUCAAUCACAAUAACUUUACAAGGCCAUCAAGCAAUCAAAUUUUAAGAAUUAUAUGAUGAUAUUCAUUUUCCGGGAACAAAAUUUGUGGCGUAGGCCCAGGCAUUGUUGUUAACCGGAUCUGCUAGGUGGUCAGCAAGGUUCUCCAAUGGACCCUUUCCUGUAACAAUGGCCUGAACAAAGAAUCCAAACAUAGAGAACAUAGCAAGUCUACCGUUCUUGAUCUCCUUUACCUUGAGCUCAGCAAAUGCCUCUGGAUCAUCAGCAAGACCUAAUGGGUCAAAGCUGCCACCGGGAUAGAGUGGGUCGACAACCUCGCCAAGAGGCCCACCAGCAAUACGGUAUCCCUCAACGGCUCCCAUCAAGACAACUUGGCAAGCCCAGAUGGCCAAGAUGCUCUGUGCAUGGACCAAACUUGGGUUGCCCAAGUAGUCAAGUCCACCCUCGCUGAAUAUCUGGGAUCCAGCCUUGAACCACACAGCCUCACCAAACUUGACACCAUUACGGGCCAAGAGCUCGGGGAAAACACAUCCAAGAGCACCAAGCAUAGCCCAUCUGCAGUGGAUCACCUCGAGUUCACGGUUCUUGGCAAAGGUUUCUGGGUCUGCUGAAAGUCCAGCGGUGUCCCAACCAUAGUCACCAGGGAAUUCACCGGUCAAGUAGCUUAGGGGCUCACCAGAGAGUGGGCCCAAGUACUUAACACGGUCUGGGCCAUACCAUGGGCUGCUAGAUGGUGCAGACUUGAGAGCCCUUCUCAUAGAGAUUCUUCCAUUUCCAGUGAUUUCUGAGGGAGAGGGUGAGAGUUUCACUGCCUGUCCAGCAAAAGAAGGGGAAGAAAGAGCCAUUGUAGAAGCUGCCAUGGUUUUUCUCAAGAGAAAGGUAAGUGUUUGAUGGUAUGAAAUAUUGUUGAAGUUGGCUGUGAUGAGGUGAAGUUAAUUACAAGGGGCUUCACCAUAUAUAGGAGGAGUAAGAGCGGUAGAGGCCUUUAUCUAACGAUAUCUACAUCUUUUUCUUUUGGUGUUAACGAUAUCUGUAUCUGUGAUCUCAUUGGGUAAUAAGAUCACAUGUGUAGAAAUUAAUGCACACUUGGCAAUCUCCAGACUCCAAUCCAUCAAUUUUCCAAGAUGUUUACUAAAGGGACCCAUCCAAUAUUGUCCUCCUUUGUGUGGAUACGAGGGUAUUGACUCUAUUCUGUGAUUUGUUGAGCUUACAAUAAGAUAUCUCUUAUCGUUAUCCAUUGGGAAUUUCUCCGGAUUUUAUCUAAUAGCUGGGAAUAAGUUACCAACACUAUAGCUCAUUCAAUGUAGAAGUAGAAACUAGAACUAUGUUUUAAGCAUUCCACUAAAUAAAUUGUGGAAAAACUGAAUUUUUUAAAUCAGAUUGUCAGUUACUAAUGUUUAUCAAAAGAUUAAUUUGUAGUAAUUACUUAAUAAGCAAAAGUGGAUCAGAAUUUGAACUUUUAUGGGUUCUGUAGUCUAGGACGACGACCUUAAAUUCUACUAAAUAGUUUCUAAAUUUAACUUUUCUACAUAUUUAAUAAGUUUAUUAAAACAUACAUGGUUUGGGCCAAAGUUAGUUCUGUCAAACCGGUUUGCUGAAGGGUACCUCUGCGCGUCCAUGUUAAUAAGUGAUAUGAUUGUGUUAUGCGUAAGUAUUUUUACAAUGUCAGUGCAUAGCGUCUCUAUAGGGUCGUCUAUACCUUGUAUCUUCUGCUUACAAUGUCCAUUUGGCUCUGAUCAUUGCUAUGUGAACAUGUUCUUCUCUAAAGAUAGUACCGCAUGCAUGUAAGGAAGGAGGACUACACAAGAAAUUCAAGAAUUUGUUCAAAUCUAAGAGGCUAAUUAAAUUAAGGGCACAUUAGUAUAAUGACCUGGAAACUCAUAUAUUACUUGCUACGUUCAUAUUACAAAACAUAUGCAUUGGUUUUCCCCUUAUCAUUUAAAUGUCAAUGGCCUACGUAGUAGUGAAAUAAUAUUAUGUCCUCUUAAUUUAUCUCACUUCUCUACAGGAAAAUAAGGAAUCAUGUAAAUAGCAUCAUGUUGUUCAUUGUUAUUCUUGGCACUAAGAGUAUUGCUUCAUGAGAAUUAAUUGAAUUUCAAGCUUUACCACAUCCAAAUGUAUCUUGGGUUUUUUGUUUUGGCUCUGUCAUCUUUUUUUCUCGCCUUGAUAUGAAACUGGCAGUAUUUUAUUCAUGCCAUUGGCAAAUGAAAUUCAGGACCAUACAAUAGUUGGAAUAUAAGAAAAAUCCAUUCUAUUGUUAAGUAAACUCACAAUUACAACUUUACAAGGACAUCAAACAAUGAAAUUUUAAGAUUGUUUUAUGAUAUUCAUUUUCCAGGAACAAAGUUUGUGGCGUAGGCCCAUGCGUUGUUGUUAACUGGAUCUGCAAGGUGGUCAGCGAGGUUUUCCAAUGGACCCUUUCCGGUAACAAUGGCCUGAACAAAGAAUCCGAACAUAGAGAACAUAGCAAGUCUACCGUUCUUGAUCUCCUUUACCUUGAGCUCAGCAAAUGCCUCUGGAUCAUCAGCAAGACCCAAUGGGUCAAAACUGCCCCGGGGUAUAGUGGGUCGACAACUUCACCAAGAGGCCCACCAGCAAUACGGUAUCCCUCAACGGCUCCCAUCAAGACAACUUGGCAAGCCCAGAUGGCCAAGAUGCUCUGUGCAUGAACCAAGCUUGGGUUGCCCAAGUAGUCAAGUCCACCCUCGCUGAAGAUUUGGGAUCCAGCCUUGAACCACACAGCCUCACCAAACUUGACACCGUUACGGGCCAACAGCUCGGGGAAGACACAUCCAAGGGCACCAAGCAUAGCCCAUCUGCAGUGGAUCACCUCGAGUUCUCGGUUCUUGGCAAAGGUUUCUGGAUCUGCUGAAAGUCCACCGGUGUCCCACCCGUAGUCACCAGGGAAUUCACCGGUCAAGUAGCUUGGGGCCUCACCGGAGAAUGGGCCCAAGUACUUAACACGGUCUGGGCCAUACCAUGGGCUGCCAGAUGAGGCAGGCUUGGUGACAGCCUUUCUCACAGAGAUCCUUCCAUUUCCAGUGAUUUCUGAGGCAGAGGGUGAGAGUUUCACUGCCUGUCCAGCAAAAGAAGGGGAAGAAAGAGCCAUUGUAGAAGCUGCCAUGGCUUAUCUCAAGAGAAAGGUAAGUGUUUGAUGGUAUAAAAUAUUGUUGAAGUUGGUUGUAAGGAUGCUGAAGUUAGUUGGGUUCAGAAUGUAUAGGGGUUAAGUAGAGAGAAAAAAUCCUCUUAUCUAGUGCUGUCUAUAGCUAUGAUUUCAUUGGGUAUCAAGAUCCCAUGUAUAGCAAUUAAUGCACUCUUGGCAAUCUCCAAUCCAUCAAUUUUCCAAGAUGUUCACUAAGGGGAACCCAACCAAUUUUGUCUUCCUAUAUGUGGCUGCAAAGCUUGAAAUCUAUUCUAUGAUUUCUUGAGCUUCAAUAUGAUAUCUCUUAUCCAUUGAGAAUUUCUCAAGAUUUUAUCCACCAGGAGUAUAGCUCAUUCAGUGUAGAACUAUGGCUUAGCAUUUCACUAAUUAAAUUGAGGAAAAGCUGAAAUUCAUUUGUAUCAGAUCAUCAAUUACUAAUGUUUGUCAAAAGAUUAACCUGUAAUUGCUUAAUAAGAAAAGGUGGAUCAAGAAUUGAACUUUAUGAGUUCUGAAAUCCUGGACUAGACCUUAAGUAGUAUAUCCUCCGCCUCAAUUUAUGUGACACAAUUGAAAUUUCGCGAGUCUACCAAGUUUUUUUUUGAUGGAAAUAUCUUUGUAUGUCUUUUAAAUAUUUCAAGUUGUUAAUUAUUGAUAGUAGUACUUUUUGUUUUUAGAUGACCGUGGUGUCCCAUACUUGCCACCUCCCACCAACAUGGGAUUUGAACCUAAAACCUUUGAGGUUCUCAACCCACUUCAUUGACCAUUAGACCUUGGGUGCAUUGUGAUUUACAGUAUUGUUUUAAUAGUUUCCAAGUACAUAGAUUUUAUUUCAAAAAACUUAAAACUUUUGUGUCCAAAUUGACUGUUAAAAGUUUGAAUUUUGAAAUUCCUACCGUGCCACAUAACAGAGGGAGUAAUAAAAAGAUUCUGAAUUUGAUGUACAUACAUAUUUAAUGGUUUUUGUAACACAUAUACAUAAUUUGGGCCAAAGCUACUUGGUUCUAUCAAACAGUAUGCUGAAGGCUACCCCUGCACCUGUUAAUAAGUGAUAUGAUUGUAUUUAGUAUUUUUUAUAAUGUUAAUGCAUAGAACUUAAUUUCCUUUGUAGUAAGUUUCAUGUAUAGCUUACUUUUAUCUUCUUCUUACUAUGUCCUUUUGGCUCUGGUCAUUACUAUGUGCCAUGUUUCGAAGGAUGCCUGCCUCUGUUAAAUAAGCCGUCACACAGGCAUGCAAGGAAGGAAGGAAGAGUAUACAAGAAAUUUAUGGAUUUGUUCAAAUAAAAGAUGCUAAUUAAAUUAACGUACACGUAAACCUAAGUAUUAUGACCUGGAAACUCAUAUAGCAGUACUUGCUACAUUCAGACCACAAAAAUAUUGGUUUUCCCUUUUAACUGAAAUGUCAUUGGUCUAGUAGUAAAAUAAUAUGAUGAUCCUCUUUCACUUCUUGACAGAAAAAUGAGUAAUAAUGUAAUAACAUCAUAUCGUUCAACAUUAUUCUUUGCACUCAUUUUGAGUAUUGCUUCUUGAGAAUUAAUUGAAUUCCAUUAGUUCCUCCGGUCUGAAAAAUGUAAGUUUUAGCUUUUAACAGCUUUAUAACUUUUCUAGUUACCAUAUCCCAAUUGUAGCUUCGGUCUUUUUCUGCUAUGCUCUUCUUCGUUUUUCCUUUGGUAUGAAAGUGGCAAUAUAUGAUUCAUGUCUUUGGAAAGUGAAACUCAGAACUAGACCGUCAAUGGAAAAUAACAAACAUUUAUUCUAUUGUCAACUCACUCACAACAACUUUACAAGGCCAUCAAACAAUCAAAUUUUAAGAAUUAUAUUAUGAUAUUCAUUUUCCAGGAACAAAGUUUGUGGCGUAGGCCCAGGCAUUGUUGUUAACCGGAUCUGCUAGAUGGUCAGCAAGGUUCUCCAAUGGACCCUUUCCUGUAACAAUGGCCUGAACAAAGAAUCCAAACAUAGAGAACAUAGCAAGUCUACCGUUCUUGAUCUCCUUUACCUUGAGCUCAGCAAAUGCCUCUGGAUCAUCAGCAAGACCUAAUGGGUCAAAGCUGCCACCGGGAUAGAGUGGGUCGACAACCUCGCCAAGAGGCCCACCAGCAAUACGGUAUCCCUCAACGGCUCCCAUCAAGACAACUUGGCAAGCCCAGAUGGCCAAGAUGCUCUGUGCAUGGACCAAACUUGGGUUGCCCAAGUAGUCAAGUCCACCCUCGCUGAAUAUCUGGGAUCCAGCCUUGAACCACACAGCCUCACCAAACUUGACACCAUUACGGGCCAAGAGCUCGGGGAAAACACAUCCAAGAGCACCAAGCAUAGCCCAUCUGCAGUGGAUCACCUCGAGUUCACGGUUCUUGGCAAAGGUUUCUGGGUCUGCUGAAAGUCCAGCGGUGUCCCACCCGUAGUCACCGGGAAAUUCACCGGUCAAGUAGCUUGGAGACUCACCUGAGAAUGGACCCAAGUACUUGACACGGUCUGGCCCAUACCAUGGGCUGCCAGAUGAGGCUGGCUUGGAGACAGCCUUUCUCAUAGAGAUCCUUCCAUUUCCAGUGAUUUCUGAGGCAGAGGGUGAGAGUUUCACUGCCUGUCCAGCAAAAGAAGGUGAAGAAAGUGCCAUUGUAGAAGCUGCCAUGGCUUAUCAAGAGAAAAGUAAGUGUUUGAUGGUAUGAAAUAUUGUUGAAGUUGGCUGUGAUGAGGUGAAGUUAAUUGCAAUUAAUGCACUCCUGAGAAUCUCCAAUCUAUCAAUUUUCCAAUAUGUUUAUAAAGGGGGACCUAACCAAUUUUGUCCUCCUAUAUGUGGCUGCAAGGCUUGAAAUCUAUUCUAUGAUUUCUUGAGCUUCAAUAUGAUAUCUUUUAUCCAUUGGGAAUUUCUCAAGAUUUUAUCCACCAUGACUAUAGUUCAUUCAGAGUAGAACUAUGUCUUAGUAUUUCACUAAAUAAAUUGAGGAAAAGCUGAAAUUCAUUUGUAUCAUAUUAUCAAUUACAAAUGUUUGUCAAAGAUUAACCUGUAAUUGCUUAAUAAGAAAAGGUGGAUCAAGAUUUGAACUUUAUGAGUUCAGUUCUGAAAUCUAGGACUAGACCUUAAGUAGUAUACCCUCCGUCCCAAUGUAUGUGGCACAAUUGGAAUUUCGAGAGUCAAUCAAAUUUUUCUUUGAUGAAAAUUCUUUGUCUUUUAAAUAUUUCAAGUUGUUAAUUAUUGUGAUUUGUUGUAGUACUUUUUAUUUUUAGAUAACCGUGGUGUGAGGUAUUUGCCACCUCCCACCAACAUGGGAUUUGAACAUAAGACCUUAAUCCACUUCAUGGACCAUUAAGCCAUAACCUUGGGUGCAUUGUGAUUUAUAGUAUUGUUUACAUAGUUUCCAAGUACAUAAACUUUAUUCUUCAAAAAACUUAAAACUUUUUUGUCUAAAUUGAUUGUCAAAGUUUAAAAGUUUGAGUUUCGAAAUUCUGAUUGUGCCACAUAAAUAAAACAGUGGGAGUAGUAAAUAGAUUCUGAAUUUGAUUUAUAUAUCUAUUUAAUGAUUUUUUUAACACAUAUACAUAAUUUGGAUCAAGGCUACUUGGUUCUGUCAAACAGUAUGCUGAAGGCUACGUCUGCCCCUGUCAAAUAAGUGAUCUAAUUUUAUUAAUAUUUUUUAUAAUGCCAAUGCAUAGAACUUAAUUUCCUUUGUAGUAAGUGUCAUGUAUAUCUACUUUUAUCUUCUUCUUACUAUGUCCUUUUGGCUCUGGUCAUUACUAUGUGCCAUGUUUCGAAGGAUGCCUGCCUCUGUUAAAUAAGCCGUCACACAGGAAUGCAAGGAAGGAAGAGUAUACAAGAAAUUUAUGAAUUUGUUCAAAUUAAAGAUGCUAAUUAAAUUAACGUACACGUAAACCUAAGUAUUAUGACCUGGAAACUCAUAUAGUAGUACUUGCCAGUAGGGCUGGGCAUAUUUUGGUUUAAACCGAAAAAACUGAAAAAUCAAAUCGAAAUUUUAAUUUCGAUUUAGUUUUUCGAUUUCUUGGAUCGGUUUUGAUUUUCAAUUUUUGAAAUUCGGUUAAACGGUUUGGUGUUCAUUUUUUCAAAAAACAAAAAAUUUGGAUAAACCGAUUAACCGAAAUUCUAUAAAUAAUUAAUAAUAUAUAUAUAUAUUAUUUAAUAUAUAAUAAAAUAAUAUAAAUAUAUAAUAGCCACCCUAAUAACUAAUAAGUAAUAGCACGCCACAUACAGCUAAAAACAUACAUCAGUCCAAUAUUAGAACAAUCGAUUGAACCAUCGACCGCCAGCGAGAUCGUCGUCUGUACAACGACACUAGAGCGGGCGACCAGACGACCACUGUGGGCUGCAGCCUGCAGCGCCGUCUGUGGUCUUUCCGGCAGCGACCACUCUUCCGAGUUUCGACUGUUUAUGCAAACUUAUGUUAUUUUCGUUUGUACUUCGGGUACACAGAAUCUGUAUAUGCAGAAACAGCAACUUCAACUAAAGUUCAAGUAUAUAAACAAGAACACAAUGAAGUAUAUCAAAUACCCUCAACACAAGAUCAAAAUGACCUUUCCAAGAGGUGUAUUUUAUUUUUCAGAAAAUAGAUGAAACAGAAAUGAAUAAGACCAAGCAGUCCGAAUUCACGGACUUUCCUUAAGGAAUAAUGCCCCUCACUGUAUCCGAGGUUAUGGAAUCUUCCUCCCAGGAUAAAAUGGCCUUCAAUCCGACUAUAGCGGUACCUCAAAUAAGCGGAUUCUUCAAACACACAGAACGCUUUGAUUGAUCACACAGAAUAUUUGUAAAGAAAAGAAGAGAGUUUUUAUUCUGCAAAAUUUUUAUAUCAAAACCUGUAAAGGUAAGCAGGUUUAUAUAGCCUAGCAAAUGCCUCUUCGAAAAGGUGGCAUUGGUUCACUUAAAUGGUGUGAUAUUUCUGAAAAUGCAUGUCUGCAACAUUUUUGCUGAAGCAGUAUACCAUUUCACCAAACAGUGCACCUGUUCGAAACAGUACAUCACUUCAUUGAAGAAUUGUAUCUGUUCAGUCGAAGCAAAAAUAGUAUAUCAGUUCAGUGCAUGCAUCAGUUCAGUCAAAACGAAACAGUACAUCAGUUCAGUCAAAACAGUGCAUCAUUUCUGUUGAAACAUUGCAUCUAUUACAGUUACUACAUGUAUUUCGUUAAAUAAAGUUUGUCCAAAAAAGAUAGAUCUCAUCGAUCUAUCAUUUUCCAAAUUCGAAUCCAAAUUCGAAGCCGAGAGAGCGACGACGACGACGGCACGAGGCAUCUCUUAUUUCUUGCCUCACUUAUCAUGUGGAGUAAGUAUUCAUCAUUAUAAACACUCCAAAGUUCCCUUCUCCCAUAAAUGUGGGAGAAUUAGUGAACUUUUUAAUUUUGGGAGUAUACUUUCCAAAUUGGUGUCUCCUCUUCUCCACCAUUUUUUUCUCUAUUUUCCAUUCACACUUUUAUGAAACUAACAAUCCCCCACAUGAAUGGGGAAUGGCUAUUUUUUGUAAAAAUUUUACGGACAAGAAUAUGAUCAUCAAGCAAAGACUGAUUUCAUCUGGAUAAGUGGGUUUCCCUUUGAACUUUCCGUAGUGAACAUGCAUCAGAUGCACUCGGUAAAUUGAUAGAUUUGAUAUCUUUGAACCGUCGAGCUUUAAUGUACACCUAGACAACACAUAUCACACAACCAUCCUUUUAACAUUUAUGGUUCUUACAAUUUUGUUCUUUUCAUCCAUGAACACGUCCCGGUUUUCAUGAGGGCUUAGAGAAUAGGCCUUUACUAACAUUCUCCUUGAAGCGGCUUUCACUUCACCCUUACAUAGGUGAUUUCUAAACGUUCUAUCCUGCAGAUUAAAAUAUUUGGUCAAAUCUGCCAAAUUUAGAUAAUCAUUAAAAGACUUUUCACCUUAAGUUUUAUCCUAGUUUACUAUACAUUAUCUACAUCAUGAGAAUGGGUUGGGUAAUUGACAAUGUUGAACCUGUCAGACACAACUUUGUUUGAUCUCCUUUAACCUAGUUGGGAUCGCCAGUCUGCUAGGUAGAGUUAUCGCUAUGCUGACUCGUCCUAGGCCUUAAACCCAUUCUCUUGGAUGUUCUUUCCACUCCUUCUCUAGAUAGGCCUUUUGUAAGUGGAUCCGACACAUUAUCAUUUGACUUUACAUAGUCAAUAAUGAUAAUUCCACUAGAGAGAAUUUCCCUAACGGUAUUAUGUCUCCGUCGUACGUGACGAGAUUUACGGUUGUACAUCAUGCUCCCUGCCCUACCUAUUGCCGCUUGGCUAUCAUAGUGUAUACAUACUGGUGCCACUGGUUUGGGCCAAUACAAAAUAUCUCCCAAGAAAUUUCGGAGCCAUUCUGCUUCUUCACCAGCUUUAUCUAAUGCGAUAAAUUCAGAUUCCAUUGUAGAGCGAGUGAUACAAGUCUGUUUGGAUGAUUUCCAAGAAAUUGCUCCUCCACCGAUAGUAAAUACAUAUCCACUUGUGGAUUUUACUUCGUUCGAUCCGGUGAUCCAAUUUGUAUCACUAUGUCCUUCAAGUACCGCAGGAUAUUUAUUAUAAUGCAAAGCAUAGUUUUGAAUGUAUUUUAAGAUACCCCAAAACUCUUUUCAUUGCCAUCCAAUGAGUUUUGUUGGGAUUACACCUGUACCGACUCAAUUUUGUAGUUGCACAUGCUAUGUCCGGUUGUGUACAGUUCAUUAUAUACAUUAAAAAUCCCAAUACUCUUGCGUACUCCAAUUGUGAAUCACUUUCACCUUCAUUCUUUCGAAGUGCAAAGUUCACGUCCAAUGGAGUCAUGGCAAUACCGAAUUCCAUAUCCUUGAACUUGUCAAGUACUUUUUCGAUAUAAUGAGACUGUGACAAUGCUAACCCUUGUGGAUUUUGAUGGAUUCUUAUACCUAAGAUUACAUCUGCAACUCCAAGGUCUUUCAUAUCAAACUUGCUCUCGAGCAUUCGUUUGAUUGCAUUUAUGUCACAAAUAUAUCUGCUGAUGAUCAACAUAUCAUCCACAUAUAAACAAACAAUGACUUGGUGAUUUGGUGUGUCUUUAAUAUAUAAACAUUUGUCACAUUCAUUUAUCUUGAAUCCAUUUGCCAACAUGGUUUGGUCAAACUUUGCAUAUCAUUGCUUAGGUGCUUGUUUUAGUCCAUAAAGUGACUUAACAAGUUUACACACCUUAUUUUCUUUUCCUGGCACCACAAAACCCUCAGGUUGUUCCAUGUAUAUUUCUUCCUCCAAAUCUCCAUUUAGGAAUGCGUUCUUCACAUCUAUUUGAUGGAUUUGAAAAUCAUAUACCACCACCAAGCCAAUUAACAUUCAAAUCGAGGUUAUCCUUGUUACUGGUGAGUAUGUAUCAAAGUAAUCAAGGCCUUCCUUCUGUUUGAAGCCUUUUACUAUAAGUCUUGCCUUGUAUUUGUCAAUUGUACUAUCUGCCUUCAUUUUUCUUUUGAAGAUCCAUUUAGAACCUAACGGUUUAUUUCCUGGAGAAAGGUCAACCAAUUUCCAUGUAUGGUUGCUUAAGAUUGAAUCUAUCUCACUAUUGACUGCCUCUUUCCAAAAGGAUGAGUCUGACGAUGGCAUCGCUUCUUUAAAUAUUUGAGGCUUAUUUUCUUAGAGAAAUGUUACAAAAUCUGAUCCAAAUGAAGUUGACAUUCUUUGAUGUGUACUAUGUCUUGGAUUUUCUUCAUUAUGUACAUUCUCACUUGGUUCAUCUCGAGGUCGCUUAGAUCCUCCACUAAACUGUUCAUGUCUAAUUUUAUACGGGUAAAUAUUUUUAAAGAAUUCAGCAUUGUCUGAUUCAAUAAUUGUAUUUUCAUUAAUAUCCGAAUGUUUGAAUUUAUGAACCAAAAAUCGACAUGCUUUACUACUUUUAGCAUAUCCUAUGAACACACAGUCCACUGUUUUAGGUCCUAUCUUAACCCUUUUAGGUACAGGAACUUGAACCUUCACUAGACACCCCCACACUUUGAAAUAUUCAAGCUGGGUUUCCUUCUUUUCCAUUUUUCGUAAGGAAUUGAUUGUGUCUUACUAUGGAAAACUCUGUUGAGUAUACGAUUGGCCAUAAGAAUAGCCUCCCAUCAUAAGUUUUGUGGUAAAGCAGAACUUAUAAGUAAGGCAUUCAUCAUUUCCUUCAAAUUUCGUUUUUUCCUUUCCGCAAUUCCAUUAGAUUGAGGUGAAUAUGGGGCCGUAGAUUGAUGGAUUAUUCCAUUCUCUACACAUAUUUGCGCAAAGGGAGAUUUAUAUUCUCCGCCCCUAUCACUUCUUAUCAUUUUGAUCUUUUUNNNNNNNNNNNNNNNNNNNNNNNNNNNNNNNNNNNNNNNNNNNNNNNNNNNNNNNNNNNNNNNNNNNNNNNNNNNNNNNNNNNNNNNNNNNNNNNNNNNNNNNNNNNNNNNNNNNNNNUAAACGCAUCUAUUGCUUCAUCCUUACUAUUUAUCGAGUAGACAUAACAGUAUCUAGUGCAAUCGUCAAUAAAAGUUAUGAAAUAUUUUUUCCCACCACGAGAUGGUGUUGACGUUAUAUCACAAAUGUCAGUGUGUAUUAAGUCUAAGGGAUUGGAAUUCCUUUCAACGGACUUAUAAGGAUGCUUUGCAUACUUCGAUUCCACACACGUUUGACACUUUGAUUUAUUGCACUCAAAGUUUGGCAAAACUUCUAAGCUAAUCAGUUUUCAUAACGUUUUAUAAUUAACAUGGCCUAAACAUUCAUGCCAUAAUAAGACUCAAGAAAAUAAGAAGAAUUCAAACUUUUAUUUAUUUCAACAGUCAUUACAUUCAUCUUAUAAAGUCCUUCGGUCAAAUAGCCUUUUCCUACAUACAUUUAUCCUUUGCUAAUUACAAUUUUUUCAGAAACGGUUACACAUUUGAAUCCGUUCUUGUCUAGAAGUGAAACAGAAAUUAAAUUCCUACGUAAAUACGGAACAUACAAGACAUUGUUAAGUGUCAAGACCUUUCCGGAAGUCAUAUUUAAGAAAAUUUUUCCUAUUCUUUCUACCUUAGCCGUAGCGGAGUUAGCCAUGUAGAUCAUUUCUUCUACUUGAGCAGAAGCAAAUAACGAAAACAGCUCCUUGUUGGCACAUACAUGGCGGGUGGCACCAGAAUCCAUCCACCCUUCACUAGGAUUCCCCGUCAAGUUGCAUUCUGAGAACAUAGCACACAGAUCAUCGAAUUCUUUGUUGGAUUCAAUCAUAUUUGCUUGAUCCUUCUUCUUUCCUUUCUUUGGGGCACGACAAUCUGUGGACUUGUGGCCAAUCUUGCCACAGUUGAAGCAUUUUCCCUUGAACUUUUUCUUGGUUUGAUUGCUUCCUUGUUUAGCUUUCUUCCUUUUCUUGAAAUUGUUUUGGUCAUCUUCUACAAUAUGUGCUCCAUUAAUUGUAGAAUUCCUCUUUGACCUUCUUUCGGAAGCUUUAUUAUCCUCUUCAAUACGAAGUCGGACAAAAAGUUCUUCAACAGUCAUCUCCUUGCGUUUAUGCUUUAAGUAGUUUUUGAAGUCUUUCCACAAAGGUGGUAGCUUCUCAACUAUCACUGCUACUUGGAAAUCAUCAUUCACAAUUAAACCUACAAUACAGUUUAUGUGAGUAUUAAGAACAUUUUUAAUUUGUUCAACUAAGGUAUUUUUCAAAGAUAUACCUUCUGCUAAGAGAUCAUGUAUGAUGACUUGCAACUCCUNNNNNNNNNNNNNNNNNNNNNNNNNNNNNNNNNNNNNNNNNNNNNNNNNNNNNNNNNNNNNNNNNNNNNNNNNNNNNNNNNNNNNNNNNNNNNNNNNNNNNNNNNNNNNNNNNNNNNNNNNNNNNNNNNNNNNNNNNNNNNNNNNNNNNNNNNNNNNNNNNNNNNNNNNNNNNNNNNNNNNNNNNNNNNNNNNNNNNNNNACAUAAAGUGGUGAGGUAAAAGAACAUCUUUUGCUGCCACCGCUUGAAGUCAAUGCUUGAAAAUAUUUUGGGCUACUCCGUCAGUGCCAUUGUUGGCGGAGCAUUUGUGUGACUUGAUGUGGCAAUAUUAGUUACCCCCAUAGACGUUGUCGCAUCUAUUAUUUCACUUUCGUUAGUCAUCUUUCCUGUCAACACAAGACAGAAAAAUUUAGUAUUUUCAGAAUAUUACUUAUAAAGUUAAAUAACUUUUCAACUUUUCUUCUUGUUUCUAAUUAACGACGAAGCUUUUAUAACUUCAAAUCGUCAACUGAGUGAACUUUAACUUGUGAUGAAGAUUUUAUGUCUUCUAAUCACUAGUUAAAUUCAAGCGGAGUAAAAAGUUUAAAGCUUUAAUCUCCAAAAACAAGUUAUACAGAUUCUGUAAAAGGAAUUAUUCCUUAAGAUUCUUAUUUUUGUUUUACUUUGGGUACACAGAAUUUGUAUAUGCAGAAACAACAACUUCAACUAAAGUUCAAGUUUAUAAACAAGAACACAAUGAAGUAUAUCAAAUACCCUCAACACAAGAUCAAAAUGACCUUUCCAAGAGGUAUAUUUUAUUUUUUAGAAAAUAGAUGAAACAGAAAUGAAUAAGACCAAGUCGUCCGAAUUCAUGGACUUUUCUUAAGGAUUAAUUCCCCUCACUGUAUCCGAGGUUAUGGAAUCUUCCUCCCAGGAUAAAAUGGCCUUCAAUCCGACUAUAGCGGUACCUCAAAUAGGCGGAUUCUUCGAACACACAGAACGUUUUGAUUGAUCACACAGAAUCUUUGUAAAGAAAAGAAGAGAGUUUUUAUUCUGAAAAUUUUUUAUAUCAAAACCUGUGAAGAAAAGCAUGUUUAUAUAGCCUAGCAGAUGCCUCUUCAAAAAGGUGGCAUUUGUUCACUUAAAUGGUGUGAUGUUUCUGAAAAUGCAUGUCUGCAGCACUUUUACUGAAGCAGUAUACCAUUUCACCAAAUAGUGCACCUGUUCAAAAUAGUACAUCACUUCAUUAAAGAAUUGCAUCUGUUCAGUCGAAGCAAAAACAGUAUAUCAGUUCAGUGCAUGCAUCUGUUCAGUCGAAAAGAAAUAGUACAUCAGUUUAGUCAAAAUAGUGCAUCAAUUCUGUCGAAACAUUGCAUCUGUUACUAUUACUAAAUGCAUAUAAAUGGAGUAUUUAUCAGAUUUCAUCAAAUAAAAUUUAUCCAAAAAGACAGAUAUCAUCGAUCGAUCAUUUUCCAAAUCCAAAUCCAAAUCUGAAGUCGAGCGACCGACGACAACAGUGGCGCGAGGAAUCUCUUAUUUCUUGCCUCACUUAUCAUGUGGAGUAAGUAUUCAGCAUUAUAAACACUCCAAAGUUUCUUUCUCCCACCAAUGUGGGAGAAUUAGUGAACUUUCCAAUUUUGGGAGUACACUUUCCAAAUUGGUGUCUCCUCUUCUCCAUAAUUUUUUUCUCCAUUUUCCAUUCACACUUCUAUGAACCCAACAAUCCCCCAUAUGAAUGGGGAAUAUAUAUUUUUCGUAAAACUUUUACGGACAAGAAUGUGAUCAUCAAGCAAAGACUGAUUCCAUCUGGAUAAGUGGGUUUCCCUUUGAACUUUCCGUAGUGAACAUGCAUCGGAUGCACUCGGUCAAUUGGUAGAUUUGAUAUCUUUGAACCGUUGAGCUUUAAUGUACACCUAGAUAACACAUGUCACACAACCAUCCUUUAACGUUUAUGGUUCUAACAAUUUUAUUCUUUUCAGUCAUGAACACGUCCCGGUUUUCAUGAGAGCUUAGAGAAUAGGCCUUUACUAAUAUUCGCCUUGAAGCAGCUUCCACUUCGCCCUCACAUAAGUGAUUUCUAAACGUUCAAUCCUGUAGAUUAAACUAUUUGGUCAAAUCUGUCAAAUUUAGAUAAUCAUUAAAAGACUUUUCACCUUAAGUCUUAUCCUAGUUUACUAUACAUUGUCUACAUCAUGAGAAUGGGUUGGGUAAUUGACAAUGUUGAACCUGUCAGACACGACUUUGUUUGAUCUCCUUGAACCUAGCUCUUGGGAUCUCCAGUCUGCUAGAUAGAGUUACCGCCACGUUGACUCAUCCUAGGCCUUAAACCCAUUCCCUUGGAUGUUCUUUCCACUCCUUAUCUAGAUAGGCCUUUUGUAAGUGGAUCCAACACAUUAUCCUUUAACUUUACAUAGUUAAUAGUGAUAAUUCCACUAGAGAGAAUUUCCCCAACGGUAUUAUGUCUCCGUCGUAUGUGAUGAGAUUUAUGGUUGUACAUCAUGCUCCCUGCCCUACCUAUUGCCGCUUGGCUAUCACAGUGUAUACAUACUGGUGCCACUGGCUUGGGCCAAUACAAAAUAUCUCCCAAGAAAUUUCGGAGCCAUUCUGCUUCUUCACCAGCUUUAUCUAAUGCGAUAAAUUCAGAUUCCAUUGUAGAGCGAGUGAUACAAGUCUGUUUGGAUGAUUUCCAAGAAACUGCUCCUCCACCGAUAGUAAAUACAUAUCCACUUAUAGAUUUUACUUCGUUUGAUCCGGUGAUCCGAUUUGCAUCACUAUGUCCUUCAAGUACCGCAGGAUAUUUAUUAUAAUACAAAACAUAGUUUUGAAUGUAUUUAAGAUACCCCAAAACUCUUUUCAUUUUCAUCCAAUGAGUUUUGUUGGGAUUACUCCUAUACCGACUUAAUUUACUAAUUGCACAUGCUAUGUCUGGUCGUGUAUAGUUCAUUAUAUACAUUAAACAUCCCAAUACUCUUGCAUAUUCCAAUUAUGAGUCAUUUUCACCUUCAUUCUUUUGAAGUGCAAAGUUCACAUCCAAUGGAGUCUUGACAAUACCGAAUUCCAUAUCCUUGAACUUGUCAAGUAAUUUUUUGAUAUAAUGAGACUAUAACAAUGCUAACCUUUGUGGAUUUUGAUGGAUUCUUAUACCUAAGAUCACAUCUGUAACUCUAAGGUCUUUCUUAUCAAACUUGCUCUAGGGCAUUCGUUUGGUUGCAUUUAUGUCACAAAUAUCUCUGCUGAUGAUCAACAUAUCAUCCACAUAUAAACAAACAAUGACUUGGUGAUUUGGUGUGUCUUUAAUAUAUAAACAUUUGUCACAUUCAUUUAUCUUGAAUCCGUUCGCCAACAUGAUUUGGUCAAACUUUGCAUGCCAUUGCUUAGGUGUUUGUUUUAGUCCAUAAAGUGACUUAACAAGUUUACAUACCUUAUUUUUUUUUUCUGAAACCAUAAAACCUUCAGGUUGUUCCAUGUAUAUUUCUUCCUCCAAAUCUCCAUUUAGGAAUGCGGUCUUUACAUCCAUUUAAUAGAUUUGAAGAUCAUAUACCGCCGCCAAGGCAAUUAACAUUCGAAUCAAGGUUAUCCUUGUUACUGGUGAGUAUGUAUCAAAGUAAUCAAGGCUUUCUCUUUCUGUUUGAAGCCUUUUACUACAAGUCUUGCCUUGUAUUUGUCAAUAGUACCAUCCGCCUUCAUUUUCCUUUGGAAGAUCCAUUUAGAACCUAACGGUUUAUUUUCGGGAAGAAGGUCAACCAAUUUCUAUGUAUGGUUGCUUAAGAUUGAAUCUAUCUCACUAUUGACUGCCUCUUUCCAAAAGAAUGAGUCUGACGAUGGCAUCGCUUCUUUAAAUGUUUGAGGCUUAUUUUCUUAGAGAAAUGUUACAAAAUCUGAUCCAAAUGAAGUUGACGUUCUUUGACGUGUACUACGUCUUGGAUUUUCUUCAUUAUGUACAUUCUCACUUGGUUCAUCUCGAGGUCGUUUAGAUCCUUCACUAGACUGUUCAUGUCUAAUUUAUACGAAUAAAUAUUUUUAAAGAAUUCAGCAUUAUCUGAUUCAAUUAUCGUAUUUUCAUUAAUAUCCGGAUGUUUGGAUUUAUGAACCAUAAAUUGACAUGCUUUACUAUAUUUAGCAUAUCCUAUGAACACACAGUCUACCAUUUUAGGUCCUAUCUUAAUCCUUUUAGGUAUAGGAACUUGAACCUUCGCUAGACACCCCCACACUUUAAAAUAUUCAAGUUGGGUUUCCUUCCUUUCCAUUUUUUUUAAGGAAUUGAUUGUGUCUUACUAUGAGGAACUCUGUUGAGUACACGAUUGGCCAUAAGGAUAGCCUCCCAUCAUAAGUUUUGUGGUAAACCAGAACUUAUAAGUAAAGCAUUUAUCAUUUCCUUCAAAGUUUGGUUUUUCCUUUCCGCAAUUCCAUUAGAUUGAGGUGAAUAUAGGACCAUAGUUUGAUGGAUUAUUCCAUUCUCUACACAUAUUUGCGCAAAGGGAGAUUCAUAUUCUCCGCCCCUAUCACUUUUUAUUAUUUUGAUCUUUUUGUCUAAAUGAUUUUCAACUUCAGUUUUAAUUGCCUAAAUGCAUCUAUUUCUUCAUCCUUACUAUUUAGCAAGUAGACAUAACAAUAUCUAGUGCAAUCGUCAAUACAAGUUAUGAAACAUUUUUUCCCACCACGUAAUGGUGUUGACUUCAUAUCACAAAUGUCAGUGUGUAUUAAGUCUAAGGGAUUAGAAUUUCUUUCAACGAACUUAUAAGGAUGCUUUGCAUACUUUGAUUCCACACACGUUUAACACUUUGAUUUAUUACACUCAAAGUUUGGCAAAACUUCUAAGUUAAUCAAUUUUCGUAACGUUUUGUAAUUAGCAUGGCCUAAACGUUCAUUCCAUAAAUCAUAACACUCAAGCAAAUAAGAAGAAUUCAAACUUUUAUUUAUUUCAACAGUCAUUACACUCAUAUUAUAAAGGCCUUCGGUCAGAUAGCCUUUUCCUACAUACAUUUCUCCUUUGCUCAUUACAAUUUCUCCAUAAAUGGUUACACAUUUGAAUUCGUUCUUCUCUAGAAGUUAAACAGAAAUUAAAUUCCUACGUAAAUACGGAACAUACAAGACAUUGUUAAGUGUCAAGACCUUUCCGAAAGUCAUAUUUAAUCAAAUUUUUCCUAUUCUUUCUACCUUAGCCGUAGCGGAGUUAGCCAUGUAGGGAGCGAAUGACGAAAACAACUCCUUGUUGGCACAUACAUGGCGGGUGGCACCAGAAUCCAUUCACCAUUCGCAAAGAUUCCCCAUCGAGUUGCAUUCUGAGAACAUAGCACACAGAUCAUCGCAUUCUUUAUUGGAUUCAAUCAUAUUUGCUUGAUCCUUCUUCUUGCCUUUCUUUGGGGCACGACAAUCUGUGGACUUGUGGCCAAUCUUGUCACGGUUGAAGCAUUUUCCCUUGAACUUUUUCUUAGGUUGAUUGCUUCCUUAUUCAGCUUUCUUCCUUUUCCUGAAAGUAUUUUAGUCAUCUUCUACAAUAUGUGCUCCAUUAAUUGUAGAAUUCCUCUUUGACCUUCUUUCGGCAGCUUUAUUAUCCUCUUCAAUACGAAGUUGGACAAUAAGAUCUUCAAUAGUCAUCUCUUUGCGUUUAUGCUUUAAGUAGUUUUUGAAGUCUUUCCACAAAGGUUGUAGUUUCUCAAAUAUCAUUGCUACUUGAAAAGCAUCAUUCACAAUUAAACCUACAAAAUAGUUUAUGUGAGUAUUAAGAACAUUUUUAGUUUGUUCAACUAAGGUAUUUUUCAAAGAUAUACCUUCUGCUAAGAGAUCAUGUAUGAUGACGUGCAACUCCUGUACUUGAGAGACAAAAGAUUUGCUAUCUAUUAUUUUGAAGUCCAAGAACUGUGCAACAAGAAAUUUUUUAAUUCCCGCAUCCUCCGUCUUAUAUUUUCGUUCAAGCGCCCCCCACAGUUCCUUUGAUGUCUUGGUUCCACUAUAAACAUUGUAGAGGUCGUCUUGGAAACUACUCAAAAUAUAAUUCCUGCAAAGAAAGUCCGAAUGUUUCCAAGCUUCUACAAUAACGAAGCGUUCUUUGUCCGAGGUUCCCUCGGGCACCUCAGGAGCGUCUUCGCUAGUGAACCAUUGCAAACAUAAAGUGGUGAGGUAAAAGAACAUCUUUUGCUGCCACCGCUUGAAGUCAAUGCUUGAAAAUAUUUUGGGCUACUCCGUUGGUGCCAUUGUUGGCGGAGCAUUUGUGUGACUUGAUGUGGCAAUAUUAGUUACCCCCAUAGACGUUGUCGCAUCUAUUAUUUCACUUUCGUUAGUCAUCUUUCCUGUCAACACAAGACAGAAAAAUUUAGUAUUUUCAGAAUACUACUUAUAAAGUUAAAUAACUUUUUAACUUUUCUUCUUGUUUCUAAUUAACACUGAAGUUUUUAUAACUUCAAAUCGUCAACUGAGUGAACUUUAACUUGUGAUGAAGAUUUUAUGUCUUCUAAUCACUAGUUAAAUUCAAGCGGAGUAAAAAGUUUAAAGCUUUAAGCUCCAAAAACAAGUUAUACAGAUACUAUAAAAGGAAUUAUUCCUUAAGAUUCUUAUUUUCGUUUAUACUUCGGGUACACAGAAUCUGUAUAUGCAGAAACAACAACUUCAACUAAAGUUCAAGUAUAUAAACAAGAACACAAUGAAGUAUAUCAAAUACCCUCAACACAAGAUCAAAAUGAUCUUUCCAAGAGGUAUAUUUUAUUUUUCAGAAAAUAGAUGAAAGAGAAAUGAAUAAGACCAAGUCGUCCAAAUUCACGGACUUUACUUAAGGAAUAAUUUCCCUCAUUGUACUCGAGGUUAUGGAAUCUUCCUCCCAGGAUAAAACGGCCUUCAAUCCUACUAUAGCGGUACCUCAAAUAGGCGGAUUCUUUGAACGCACAGAACGUUUUGAUUGAUCACACAGAAUAUUUGUAAAUAAAAGAAGAGAGUUAUUAUUUUGAAAAUUUUUAUAUCAAAACCUGUGAAGGAAAGCAUGUUUAUAUAGCCUAGCAGAUGCCUCUUCGAAAAGGUGGCAUUUGUUCACUUAAAUGGUGUGAUGUUUCUGAAAAUGCAUGUCUGCAGCACUUUUGCUGAAGCAGUAUACCAUUUCACCAAAUAGUGCACCUGUUCAAAAUAGUACAUCACUUCAUUAAAGAAUUGCAUCUGUUCAGUCGAAGCAAAAACAGUAUAUCAGUUCAGUGCAUGCAUCUGUUCAGUCGAAAAGAAAUAGUACAUCAGUUCAGUUGAAAUAAUGCAUCAGUUUUGUCGAAACAUUGUAUCUGUUACUGUUACUAAAUGCAUAUAAAUGGAGUAUUGAUCAGAUUUCAUCAAAUAAAGUUUGUCCAAAAAGAUAGAUCUCAUUGAUCGAUCAUUUGACAAAUCCAAAUCCAAAUCCGAAGCUGAAGCCGAGCGAACGAUGACGAUGACGACGCGAGGCAUCUCUUAUCAUGUGAAGUAAGUAUUCAUCAUUAUAAACACUCUAAAUUUUCCUUCUCCCACCAAUGUGUGAGAAUUAGUGAACUUUUUAAUUUUGGGAGUACACUUUCCAAAUUGGUGUCUCCUCUUCUCCACCAUUUUUUUCUCUAUUUUCCAUCCACACUUCUAUGAACCCAACAAUCCCCCACAUGAAUGGGGAAUGACUAUUUUUCAUAAAUCUUUUAUGGACAAGCAUGUGAUCAUCAAGCAAAAACUAAUUCCAUCUGGAUAAGUGGGUUUUCCUUUGAACUUUCCGUAGUGAACAUGCAUCGGAUGCACUCGGUCAAUCGGUAGAUUUGAUAUCUUUGAAUCUUCGAGCUUUAAUGUACACCUAGACAACACAUAUCACACAACCAUCCUUUUAACAUUUAUGGUUCUUACAAUUUUGUUCUUUUCAGCCAUGAACACGUCCCGAUUUUCAUGAGAGCUUAGAGAAUUGGCUUUUACUAACAUUCUCAUUGAAGCAUCAUCCACUUCGCCCUCACAUAGGUGAUUUCUAAAUGUUCAAUUCUGUAGAUUAAACUAUUUGGUAAAAUCUGUCAAAUUUAGAUAAUCAUUAAAAGACUUUUUACCUUAAGUCUUAUCCUAGUUUACUAUACAUUGUCUACAUCAUGAGAAUGGGUUGGGUAAUUGACAAUGUUGAACCUGUCAGACACAACUUUGUUUGAUCUCCUUGAACUUAGCUCUUGGGAUCUCCAGUCUGCUAGGUAGAGUUACCGCCAUGCUAACUCGUCCUAGGCCUUAAACCCAUUCCCAUGGAUGUUCUUUAGCCUAGUAGAUGCCUCUUCAAAAAGGUGGCAUUGGUUCACUUAAAUGGUGUGAUGUUUCUGAAAAUGCAUGUCUACAGCAUUUUUGCUGAAGCAGUAUACCAUUUCACCAAACAGUGCACCUGUUCGAAACAGUGCAUCACUUCAUUGAAGAAUUGCAUCUGUUCAGUCGAAACAGAAAUAGUAUAUCAGUUCAGUGCAUGUAUCAGUUCAGUCGAAAAGAAAUAGUACAUCAGUUCAGUCAAAACAGUGCAUCAGUUUUGUCGAAAUAUUGCAUCUGUUAUUGUUACUGCAUGCAUAUAAAUAAAGUAUUAUCGAAAAAGAUAGAUCUCAUCGAUCAUUUUCCAAAGCCAAAGCCGAGCGAGCGACGACGACGACAGAGCGAGGCAUCACUUAUUUCUUGCCUCACUUAUCAUGUAGAGUAAGUAUUCAUCAUUAUAAACACUCCAAAGUUCCUUUCUCCCAGCAAUGUGGGAGAAUUAGUGAACUUUCCAAUUUUGGGAGUACACUUACCAAAUUAGUGUCUCCUCUUCUCCACCAUUUUUUUCUCCAUUUUCCAUUCACACUUCUAUGAACCCAACAACUUAUACAUAAUAAAGUUAUAUAUUAUGUUAAACUAAUGGUUAUAUCAUUUAAUUUCAUCUAUGUUGAGUUAUUUAUAUUUGGAAAUGAAAAAUAGGUUUGAAAAUAAUUAUUUUAUAAGAAAAAUCAUUAAUUUUAAAUGUCCAGUCAUAACAAAGAGGGGUUCACUAGUUUAAUCUUCAAAAUAAAAAUAAAAAUCUGAAAUAAUCGAACCGAAUUUGUAGAAACCGGACCGAACCGAAUUUAUUUCGGUUUGAUUACGGUUGUCAUUUUUGUCAAUUCAAAAAUCGAAAAACCAAACCGAUAUUAAACUAUCAAACCGAACGAACCAAAUGUCCAUCCCUUCUUCCCAGGGGCGAACCUACGUAGAUUCAAGUGGAUUCAUAUGAGCCCACUUCGUCGAAAUAUCACACCGUAUGUAUCAAUGUUUGAAAAUGUACAAGAUAUAUAUUAAUUUUUUAACCCAUUUUAAAUAGCUCAGCCUAGUGGAAAGGCGGGUUCAAGAUUUUUGAUAGGUCAAACUUUCCGACACCAACAACCUUUUUGUUAAAUGUCAGAUAAUUUUUUCUUUCUAAUUUUUUUUUAUUAUAAUAUAACUUUAAAAUUUAUUUAAUCAAAAUUUGUUUAUUUAUUUCUCUGGGUAUUCAUUUUUUAUAUAUUUGAACCCACUUUCCUGAGCAGAAUCUAUGUUGCUAUUAUUGUAUAUUUGAACCCGCCACUGGUACUUGCUAUGUUCAGACUACAAAACAUAUUGGUGUUCCCUUUUAACUGAAAUGUCAUUGCUCUAGUAGUAAAAGGUCAAAGUCAUCAAUAGACACUCAAACUUAUUGUCAAAAUUCACUUAGACACCUAAACUAAGGCAUGUUCCUAUCAGGCCCCUAAACCCCCCACAUUUUGUUCAAAUUGGGUUUUUUUUGCCCUAUCAGCAAAAAACUCAAAGUGUGUUGCACACAAGCGAUGACAUGGCAAAAUGAGCUAAUUAGAAGCUGACACGUGGCAUUAUGGGUCCAAUAAUUAUUAAAAAUUAAUUAUAAUUUUAAAAAAAAAAAGUAUAUACAAAUGGCAUUGAAUAAAUUAUUAAAAAAUAAUUCUAAAAUUAUUUAAAAAUAAAACUGAUUAUUUAAAAAAAAUUAUAAAAAUUUUCUAAAAAUGAAAUAAAUUAUUAAAAAAUUAUUUUAAAAAACAAUUAAUUAAUAAGAAAAAUUAUAAUUUUUUUUUAAAAAUGGCGAGGAUAUAAAUUAUGAAAAAAUAAUUAUAAAAUUAUUUGAAAAAUAAAAAUAAAAAAUUAAUUAUUUUAAAAAAAUAUAAAUUUUUUAAAAAAUGAAAUAAAUUAUUAAAAUAUUAUUUAAAAAAUAAAAACUUAAUUAUUAAAAAAAAUAAAAUUUUUUAAAAAUUGAAAAUGAAAAAUGGCAUAGAGGAUAUAAAUUAUGAAAAAAUAAUUAUAAAAUUAUUUUUUAAAAAAACUAAUUAUAAAAUUAUUUUUUAAAAAAACUAAUUAUUAAAAAGAAAUCUUAAAUUUUUUUAAAAGAUGAAAAUAAAGAAUUAAUUUUUUUUAAAAUUCAGUUUAUUAAAAAUAAAAUAAAAUUGGGGCCUUCUAAUGCUUUUUGGGGCCUUUAGUGUUUCAAAAAAAAAAGAAAAUUUGUUAUUAAAAAAAUUUUGGGGCCCUCAAUGCCACUUGACAACUUUUUAUUCGUAAAUUAGUAAAAAAAAAUGCUCCUCACACGCCUUCCACAAUGGCACUGCACACGUAGUGUCACAUAGGCAAAAAAUGUCUAAUUGGAACAAAAUUCAGGGAUUUAAUGGUCUGAUAUGAACAUGUCUUAGUUUAGGGGUCUAAUUGAAUUUUUGCAAUAAGUUUGAGUGUCUAUCGAUGAGUUUGACCUUUUCAAAUUGACACAUGCGUAACCAAUUCUCUAAAUACCAAUUAUUUCUCCUUCAAGUGAUGUCAUCUUCCACAUGGUGGACCCCAUGAUCCUAAGAAUUAUUUAAAAAAUAAAAAAAUAAUUAUUAAAAAUAAAUUAUAAAUUUUUUAAAAAAAUAAAAAUCCCCCACCUAUCCCAGCCCCCAACGUAUUGUUUUAUUAAAAAAAAAAAUUGGAACCCCCUAAUGCUUUUUGUUUUAUUAAAAAGUGUCUUUAGUGUUUAAAAAAAAAUUGUUAUUAAAAAAAUUUUGGGGCCCUCAAUGCCACUUGGCAUCUUUUUAUUUGUAAAUUAGUAAAAAAAAUUGCUCCUCACACGCCUCCCACGAUGGCACUGCACGCGUAGUGCCACAUAGGCAAAAAAGGCCCAAUUGAAACAAAAUGUGGGGGGUUUAGGGGUCUGAUAGAAACAGGCGUUAGUUUAGGUGUCUAAGUGAAUUUUGACAACAAGUUUGAGUGUCUAUCGAUGUCUUUGGCCAGUAGUAAAAUAAUAUGAUGAUCCUCUUUCAUUUCUUGAUAGAAAAAUGAGGAAUCAUGUAAUAACAUCAUAUCGUUCAACAUUAUUCUUUGCACUAAUUUUGAGUAUUAUGUUAAGGUUUUUAAACUGAUUUUCUUAUCAAAAUUAAGUUUUACUUUUUUCUUGUAAGGAAAAUAAAAGUAAUCAUAAAUAUUUUUACUUUUCAUAAAAGAAAAUAUAAAACUUUUUCAUAUUUGGCAAACCUCUUUCUUAGAGGAAGGUUUUGGACAUCUAUAAGAAUUAAGAUCCCCUCUUCAUACCAUAACAUUGUAACAUUCUCAAUGUAGUCAUUGAAGAGUCUUUGUUUAUGAGUGAUUUCUCUCAAUAGGUUUAAUGUUUUUCGAUAUUAGGUUUUAUAAUAUGCAGGCCGAUUGGCCAAAACAUAUAAUAAUUUUAUGUUUUUUAAUAUUGUUUUCUUUGUCGCCUGAUUUAUCAUCUCAUAGUUUGCAACUAAUAGCUUCCGCAUGACAUCCUCUCGUUUUUGAACCCAACAAAUGGUAUCAGAGUCGAUGGUUCAAAGAUCCGAUGGUUCGAUUGAGGACUUUUUAAGAUCAAAGUUGCAAUCAAUUUGGCGAUGAUGAAGCUUUUGUCAAAAAAAAAAAAAAAGGUUCAAAAACUACAUGUGGAGAAAAAGUUUCAAACAAAAUUUCAACAAUCUUGGUGCUAAUCCAUCUUUAAAACCAAAAUCAAUUUCAACUCAUAUUUAUGACUUCAAUUUUCAAUCUAUACUUGCUUUAACGCUUGGGCUCCUUUCAACUCGUGCAUUUAUUUUUAAUGCAUGAGCUCCACUCUUAACCUGUGCUCACUUUCAAUGCACAAAGUUCUACUUUCAAUCUUAUCAACCGUGCUUUUAUUUUUAAUGCAUAGGACUCUAAUUUUAACCCAUAUCAAUUUUUAAUCAUGGUUGACAGCAGUGAUAUAUGAAGAAUAUAUGAAAAACGAAGAUCAUGCACAAGAAAAAGGAGGAUCAAGAAUAUUUUGCAGAAAAUCAAGCAAAAAAGGGAGAUUUGUUAGGGUUUUUACUCUAAUUUUCUUACCAAAAUUAAGUUUUACUUUUUCUUAUAAAAAAAUAAAAGUAAUCAUAAAUACUUUUAUUUUUGUUAAAAGAAAAAUAUAAAACUUUUCUAUAUUUGGCAAACCUCUUUCUUGGAGGAAAGGUUCUGGACAUUAGGAUACUCUUCUCAUGCCAUAAUACGGUAGCAUCCACAAUGUAGUCAUUGAAGAGUUUUGUUUAGGGAAAUUUAAUGUUUUUUCGAUAUUAGAUUUUAUAAUAUGCAGGCCGAUUGGCCAUAACAUAUAAUAAUUUUAUACUUUUUAGUGUUAUUUUCUUUGUCACCUGAUUUAUCGUCCCAUAAUUUGCAACUAAUAGCUUCCGCAUGACGCUCUCUCGAUUACGAUCCCAACAUAUUGUUUCUUGAGAAUUAAUUGAAUUCCAUAAGUUCCUCCGGUCCGUAAAUUUAAGUUUUAAGAUUUUAACAGCUUUAUAGUUUUUCAGUUACCAUAUCCCAAAAUGUAGCUCCGGUCGUUUCUGCUAUGCUCUUUUUUUUUUUUUUUUCCUUUGGUAUGAAAGUGGCAAUAAAUGAUUCAUGUCUUUUGAAAGUGAAACUAAGAACUAGACCGUCAUUGGAAAAUAACAAACAUUUAUUCUAUUGUCAACUCACUCACAACAACUUUGCAAGGCCAUCAAACAAUCAAAUUUUAACAAUUAUAUUAUGAUAUUCAUUUUCCGGGAACAAAGUUUGUGGCGUAGGCCCAGGCAUUGUUGUUAACCGGAUCUGCUAGAUGGUCAGCAAGGUUCUCCAAUGGACCCUUUCCUGUAACAAUGGCCUGAACAAAGAAUCCAAACAUAGAGAACAUAGCAAGUCUACCGUUCUUGAUCUCCUUUACCUUGAGCUCAGCAAAUGCCUCUGGAUCAUCAGCAAGACCCAAUGGGUCAAAGCUGCCACCGGGAUAGAGUGGGUCGACUACCUCACCAAGAGGCCCACCAGCAAUACGGUAUCCCUCAACGGCUCCCAUCAAGACAACUUGGCAAGCCCAGAUGGCCAAGAUGCUCUGUGCAUGGACCAAACUUGGGUUGCCCAAGUAGUCAAGUCCACCCUCGCUGAAUAUCUGGGAUCCAGCCUUGAACCACACAGCCUCACCAAACUUGACACCAUUACGGGCCAAGAGCUCGGGGAAAACACAUCCAAGAGCACCAAGCAUAGCCCAUCUGCAGUGGAUCACCUCGAGUUCACGGUUCUUGGCAAAGGUUUCUGGGUCUGCUGAAAGUCCAGCGGUGUCCCACCCGUAGUCACCGGGAAAUUCACCGGUCAAGUAGCUUGGAGACUCACCUGAGAAUGGACCCAAGUACUUGACACGGUCUGGCCCAUACCAUGGGCUGCCAGAUGAGGCUGGCUUGGAGACAGCCUUUCUCAUAGAGAUCCUUCCAUUUCCAGUGAUUUCUGAGGCAGAGGGUGAGAGUUUCACUGCCUGUCCAGCAAAAGAAGGUGAAGAAAGUGCCAUUGUAGAAGCUGCCAUGGCUUAUCAAGAGAAAAGUAAGUGUUUGAUGGUAUGAAAUAUUGUUGAAGUUGGCUGUGAUGAGGUGAAGUUAAUUACAAGGGGCUUCACCAUAUAUAGGAGGAGUAAGAGCGGUAGAGGCCUUUAUCUAACGAUAUCUACAUCUUUUUCUUUUGGUGUUAACGAUAUCUGUAUCUGUGAUCUCAUUGGGUAAUAAGAUCACAUGUGUAGAAAUUAAUGCACACUUGGCAAUCUCCAGACUCCAAUCCAUCAAUUUUCCAAGAUGUUUACUAAAAGGACCCAUCCAAUAUUGUCCGCCUUAGUGUGGCUACGAGGUUAUUGACUCUAUUCUGUGAUUCGUUGAGCUUACACUAAGAUAUCUCUUAUCGUUAUCUUUUGGGAAUUUCUCCAGAUUUUAUCCACCAGCUGGGAAUAAGUUACCACCACUAUAGCUCAUUCAAUGUAGAAGUAGAAGUUAGAACUAUGGUUUAGCGUUGCACUAAAUAAAUAGUAGAAAAGCUGAAUUUUUCAGAUUAUCAGUAACUAAUGUCUAUCAAAAGAUUAAUUUGAAGUAAUUGCUUAACAAGCAAAAGUGGAUCAGAAUUUGAACUUUCAUGGGUUCUGUAGUCUAGGACGAGUUCUACUAAAUAGAUUCCAAAUUUAACUUUUCUACAUACUCGCUCCGUCCCAUUUUACCCGUCCCAAAUUGGCUAAGUUGAUGUUUCAUUUUAGUUGUCCCAUUUUACUUAUCAAGAUAAGACAAACUUUUCUUUCCAUGUUUUACCCUUUGCAUUAAUUAUCUUUUCUUUAAAUUAAAAUGUAAACAUCAUUUAAUAGGGGUACUUGGGUAAACUAGCCAUGUUAUAUAUUAUUUUUCUUAAUUGUUGUGCCAUCCUAAUUUGGGACAAGUAAAAUGGGACGGAGAGAGUAUUUAAUAAGCUUAUCAAAACAUAUGCAUGGUUUGGGCCAAAGUUAGUUAGUUCUGUCAAACUGGUUUGCUGAAGGCUAUCUGCGCAUGUUAAUAAGUGAUAUGAUUGUGUUAUGUGCAAGUAUUUUUACAAUGUCAAUGCAUAACCUCUCUAUAGUGUCCUGUAUAGCUUGUAUCUUCUGCUUACAAUGUCCUUUUGGCUCUGGUCAUUGUUAUGUGAACGUGUUCUUCUCUAAAGAGAAUACCACAUGCACGUAAGGAUGGAGGACUAUACAAGAAACUCAUGAAUUUGUUCAAAUCUAAGAUGCUGCUUAAAUUAAGGACACAUAAGUAUAAUGGCCUGGAAACUCAUAUAUUACUUGCUACGUUCAAAAUACAAAACAUAUACAUUGGUUUUCCCCUUAUCAUUAAAAUGUCAAUGGUGUACGCAGUAGUGAAAUAAUAUUAUGUCCUCUUAAUUCAUCUCACUUCUCGACAGGAAAAUAAGGAAUCAUGUAAAUAACAUCAUGUUGUACAUUGUUAAUCGUGGCACUAAGAGUAUUGCUUCUUGAGAAUUAAUUGAAUUCCAUAAGUUCCUCUGGUCUGUAUAUUCAAAUUAUAAGCUUUUUGUCAAAAAACAAAGGGAGCGGUAGAGUUAAGCUACAAGGAGAAAAAUAUAAGGAAAUUGCAGCUGUAAAUUGCUACAAAAAAGACUGCAGUAAAGAACAAGAAGCUGAAACUUUUUGAGUGUUUUCUAUUUUUUGGAUAGUUAUAAAUGUCUAAUGUCAUCCCUUAUUUAUACUUAUGUAGGGAUGAUUCUAGAUACUACAAAUCUAGAGUGUUCGUAUACAAAUAUCUCCCUCAAAUAUCUAGCACCCUCUAGAUCUUUCCUAAAUAUAAAUAUCAAAUAUACUACACUAUUCCUUUCUAGAUUCUUCUAACUAGAAUUACCUAAAUAUCUAGAUAUUUCUUUAGCAUGAUCAUCCUAGAAAUUUUACUAGACUAUUCUACAGACUGAACUAGAAAUCUAUGAUUCCAAAAAAUCUACUUUAAUAUUUUCACACUCCCUCUUAAAGUGAUUUUUUUGGAAGCUAUCCUAAACUUGUUGCGGAAGAACUCAAGUGAAGCUUUGAACCGUACUUUAGUGAAAAUCUUGAUAGUUUUUGCAUGACUCCUCUUUCUUCUUCAAAUGAUGAAGAUUUCUCGUUAAUGAUUGGCCCUUGUUGAGUUUUAUCAUAUUGAGUUCUCGAGCUCCCCCUUUCUCUGAACUCCUCCGUAACUUCAUUAUCUGGUGACCCAAAUAUGAUGGAAAAGUUUGAAACUCUAGGAUUGAAGAUUUUAGAACUUACUCUUUCUGAAGCAACUCCAUAACACAAGAAUAAUUUUUUGGUAUCAACCUCCUUAUUUGAUUUGAUGACGAUCUUUUGUUCGGGCCUAUCAACUAGCUCCCAAGUAUUAUUUUUUUAUCAUGGCAAGCUCCUCAUCCAUUGCGGAAAUCCAAGUUUCAUGACUUCUGCUUCUUCAAAAGAAGAUGGUUCCACAAGAGCAAAAUUGCAUUGCUCAUAAACUUCAGGUAGUGACCUGGUCUUCAAAAUAGGAGAAUCUGAAGUUAAUUCAACAUCUGAAUUGUCUUCUUUUUCAAUAAGAGGAUUGGAAGAAAUAUUACACGUCUGUGGAUUUUGAGCUGCAACUGAAGUACACUCAUCUUGGUUCUUUACAACAAUAUCUCGAUCCUAAUCAUAGUGGCUAGACUCAUCCACCGCAAGAUCUCUACUGAUAAGCACCUUUUACGCACGAACAUUAUACACUUUCUACCCUUUUGCAGCUGUGUUAUAGCCCAACAAAAUACAAAGUCCUGCCUUGUUAUCCAAUUUACCUCUUUUAGCAUCAGGAACAUAUGCAUAACAGACUGAACCAAAAACUUUUAAGUGUCUCACAGAUGACUUUAUACCUUUCCAUGCUUUAAAUGGUGUCAUGUCUUGGAGUGCUCUAGUUGGUAAUAUGUUUAGUAAAUAGACUGCAGUACUGACUGCCUCAGCCCAAAAACAUUUGGGUAUCUUCUUUUCUGCUAGCAUACAUCUCACCAUCUCCAUCACGGUUCUGUUCUUUCUCUCAGAAAUACUGUUUUGUUCUGGAGUGUAGCUCACAGUAAAUUGUUGUUGAAUGCCCACAUCUUUACAAUACUUGUUGAACUAAUGCGGAGUAUAUUCAGUUUCAUUAUCUGACCUGAUAUACUUCAAUCGGCAACCACUCUUCCUUUCUACCAUAGCCUUGAAUUCUUUGAAAACAGAAAACACCUGAACUUUGUUACUUAAAAAUAGACCUAUGUCAUUCGAGUUAGAUCAUUUAUAAAGAGAAUAAAAUAUUUAUUCCCACUCAAAGAAGUUGUCCUCAUUGGUCUACAUAUAUUUGUAUGAACCAACUCUAGUUUUUCCUUCGUCCUCCAAAGACUUCUUUUAGGAAAGAAUUAUUUAUGCAAUUUACCAAAUUGACAUGACUCACAAACAUCUCGGCACAUGUCAAUUUUGGGUACAUCAAGCACCAUACCCUUGGAUUGCAUAUACACCAAUGAACUAAGAUUGUAAUGACCGAAUCUUUUGUGCCAAAGCCAAAUAUCAAUUAUUUCAACAUUGAAAGAGCAACUUUCAACAGAAUAGCAUGAAAUUGGAAAGGAAUUACCAAUCAUGCUAAUUUUAGCUACUUCACAACCUUUAGGAUCAUAAAUGACACAUUUUUUAUCCUUAAAAAUAAGUGAAUAAUUAUUGUGAAGUAACUGAGCAACACUCAACAAGUUUUGAGUCAAGCUUGGCACAUAAAAAACAUCGUUUAUGAUUUUCAUACCUUCGUCCGUAGGAAAUUUCACUGAUCCUCUUCCUUGAGCUUGCACCAGUGCACCAUCUCCUAGCUUCACUUUGAUCCUAUCAGACCUGUCCAGGCUAACAAAUAGAUUUUCAACAAUCGUCAUGUGCCUUGUGCACGCACUAUCGACAUGCCAAUUAUAUCGAUCGACAUGUGAUAUGUGUGAAGCCAUGAAUACCUCUUCCUCUAUUUUUUGAACUUGGUGAUCUUCCGCAAAAUUUACUCAUUGAAAAGACUGACCAAUUUGAGUUUGCUUUUGCCUGCAAUGCUUCUCAAUGUGCCUAUACUUCUUGCAGUAUCUGCAUUGAAUAGGAGACCUCUUGGACUUCUGCCAACAAUUUUUCUAUAAGUGGUUUGUCUUCUUACAAAUACCACAAGGUGGAAAUUUUUCUCUCCUCAACGAUUCACCUUGGUAUCCACCAGAUUUCACCUCUCCAGAGUGGUCUAAAAAGACUUUUUUGCCUUCUUUUUGUUGCUUGAAAGGCAUAUUCGACUGUUCCUUCGAUUCUCAUAGUUACCCAUUGCUCUUGGAUUUGCAAUUUAGAGAUCAACUCAGCUAUUGAAAGAAUAGUCAAGUCACAGGACUCUUUAAUAGCUGAGAAUUUGUAUUUAAACUUGUCUGGAAAGCUGACCAUAAUCCCCUUUAUAACCUUCUAAUCUAAAAAGUUUUCACCAAGUAUCCUUAUGUGGUUCACAAUAUCCAUUAGCUUAGAAGAGUAUUCUUUUACACUAUCCGGAUCCUUCAUCUUCAAGAGCUCAAACUCCCUCUUCAAAGCUAAAACCUUAACAGACUUAACUCUGUUGCUGCCUUCAAACUCCUUCUUUAGCUUAUCUCAGGCUUCUUUAGCUGUCUCACAAGCCAUAAUCCUUGUAAAUAUCACUUCCGUAAGGGUUGAAUGUAUGCAAGUGAGUGCUCUUGGAGAUCUAGUCACCAAUUCAUCAUACUUUUUGAUAUCAUUUAGAGUUGAGUUGUCUCUCAAUGGCUGGACAGCAGGUUCUCCUCUCUAAACAAUAUCCCACAAGUUGAGAGUCUUCAAAUAAGCCUUCAUUUUAAUGGUCCAAAUAUGAUAAUUCUCCCCCGAAAAAAUCGAAGGACCCAUUGUUGGUUGAUUUUCUGGUGCCAUGUUUUUUCAGUAAAUAGAUUCAAGAAAGGAGCUAAAAAUAAGAUGAGUCAAUCAACAAAAAACAUAUUCAGAUCCCGUAAGAAAUGGGCUCUGAUACCAUGUCAAAAAAUAAAGGAAACGGGGAGAGUAAAGCUACAAGGAGAAAAAUAUAAGGAAAUUGCAACUGCAAAUUGCUACAAAAAAGACUGCAGUGAAGAAGGAGAAGCUGAAACUUUUUUAGUGUUUUCUAUUUUCUAGAUAGUUAUAAAUGUCGAAUGUAAACCCUUAUUUAUUCUUAUGUAGGGACGAUUCUAGAUACUACUCCCUCCAUCCCAUUUUACCCGUCCCAAAUUGGGAUGGCACAGCUAUUAAGAAAACAAUGAUUGGUAAUGUUACUUUACCAUUUUUUCUCUCUUAAUUGUGUCUUGUUGUUAGUUCCAAUAUUGAUGGAUGACCAAUACAAAAGCACCAUUUAUAUUCUUAAUGGUGUACUCCUAAUGGUACUCUUCUUUGCAACGUUUUUCAAAAAUGUUAAUAACAAGGAGUAAGCAAUUACACUGAGGAUAAAAUGAAAAAAAAAGUUGUCUUAUCUUGAUAAGUAAAAAAGGACAACUAAAAUGGGACAUCAAAUUAGAAAAUUUGGGACGGGUAAAAUGGGACAGGGAGUACAAAUCUAGAGUGUUCUUAUACAAAUAUCUUCCUCAAAUAUCUAGCCCCCUCUAGAUUUUUCCUAAAUAUAAAUAUCAAAUAGACUACACUCUUCCUUUCUAGAUUCUUCUAACUAGAAUUACCUAAAUAUCUAGAUAUUUCUUCAACAUGAUUAUCCUACAAAUUUCACUAGACUAUUCUAGAGACUUAACUAGAAAUCUAUGAUUCCAAAAAAUCUACUUUAAUACCAUCACACUUUUACCACAUCCAAAAUGUAUCUUGGGUUUUUUUUUUUUUUGGCUUUGUCAUCGAUUUUUCUCCCCUUGAUAUGAAACUGGCAGUAUUUAUUCAUGCCAUUGGAAAAUGAAAUUCAGGACUACACAAUAACUGGAAUAUAAGAAAAAUCCAUUCUAUUGUCAAGUAAACUCACAACUACAACUUUACAAGGGCAUCAAACAAUGAAAUUUUAAGAUUGUUUUACGAUAUUCAUUUUCCGGGGACAAAGUUUGUGGCGUAGGCCCAUGCGUUGUUGUUAACUGGAUCUGCAAGGUGGUCAGCGAGGUUCUCCAAUGGACCCUUUCCGGUAACAAUGGCCUGAACAAAGAAUCCAAACAUAGAGAACAUAGCAAGUCUACCGUUCUUGAUCUCCUUUACCUUGAGCUCAGCAAAUGCCUCUGGAUCAUCAGCAAGACCUAAUGGGUCAAAGCUGCCACCAGGGUACAAUGGGUCGACUACCUCACCAAGAGGCCCACCAGCAAUACGGUAACCUUCAACGGCUCCCAUCAAGACAACUUGGCAAGCCCAGAUGGCCAAGAUGCUCUGUGCAUGAACUAAGCUUGGGUUGCCCAAGUAGUCAAGUCCACCCUCGCUGAAGAUUUGGGAUCCAGCCUUGAACCACACAGCCUCACCAAACUGGACACCGUUACGGGCCAAGAGCUCGGGGAAAACACAUCCAAGAGCACCAAGCAUAGCCCAUCUGCAGUGGAUCACCUCGAGUUCUCGGUUCUUGGCAAAGGUUUCUGGAUCUGCUGAAAGUCCAGCGGUGUCCCACCCGUAGUCACCAGGGAAUUCGCCGGUCAAGUAGCUUGGGGGCUCACCCGAGAAUGGGCCCAAGUACUUAACACGGUCUGGGCCAUACCAUGGGCUUCCAGAUAGGGCAGGCUUGGAGACAGCCUUUCUCAUAGAGAUCCUUCCAUUUCCACUGAUUUCUGAGUUAGAGGGUGAAAGUUUCACUGCCUGUCCGGCAAAAGAAGGGGAAGAAAGAGCCAUUGUAGAAGCUGCCAUGGUUUAUCUCAAGAGAAAGGAGAGUAUUUGCUGGUUUGAAAUAUUGUUGAAGUUGGCUGUGAUGAGAUGAAGUUACAAGGGGCCUCACUUUACCAUAUUAUAGCAAGUAAGAGGGGAAGAGUCCUUAUCUAGUGAUAUCUAUUUCUAUGAUCUCAUUGGGUAUCAAGAUCCUUUGUCUAGCAAUUAAUGCACACUUGGGUAUCUCCAAUCCAUCAAUUAUCCAAGAUGUUUGCUAAGGGGACCCAUCCAACAUAGUCCUCUCACAUGUGGCUACAAGGCUUGAACAAUAUUCUGUGAUUUGCUGAACUUACAAUGCUGAUAUCUCUUAUCAUAAUCCGUUGAGAAUUGCUCCAGAUUUUAUUUAUCAGCACUACAGCUCAUUCGAGGUAGAACUAUGGUUUACCGUUUCACUAAUUAUAUUCAGGAAAGUUCAUUACUUGAUAUAUAAAUUGUGUAAAAAUUAAUAAUACAUGUUUGGAACUUUAUUAUAUAAGACCUUAAUAUAUAGUAAUAUAAGAGUCAGUAGCAUAGUAAAUUAUUUAACCUGCAAUUCAUAUAAAAGUGAAGAUACUGUUUUGGGGGUUUUACAAAUUUAAUAUUUACAGGUGCAUGCAAAGCAAGAAUAUGAUCUUCCCUUUCAAAACAUUUAACAUAGGUUCAUGCUUGGAUCUUUAUUAAUCUGAUCAUGAAGAGGUAUAUUAAGUUCUAUAUAUGUUGCACUGUUAAUUUCAUGUUUAGAUAUUUAAUGACGGGUUAGAUUCAUUUUAACUACUGCACAGUGCUUAGACUAAUUGGAAAGAACUUGUUCAUGAGCGGGGGUUGGCAAACGGGCGGGUUGACUCAGAUAUAAACAAAUCAAAAAUGAGCCAACAAAAAUGGAUAAAAUAUCCGACCCACCUGUAUUUGAUAUGGAUGAAAAAUGAGAAACCAACGGGAUAUUAUUUCAUAUUAUGUAAAAGAAAUAAGUACUUCCAAUAUGAGAAAGGCAGAGUAUGUACAUGGAUUAAUUAAUUAAUUGGGAUUCACCAGCAGCACAAUAUGACCAAUUAAUUGUGUUAAGGGCAGGAACAUUUGCCAAUAAUGGAUCAGGUUAUUUACGGGUUUGGAUAAAAGGAACUUUAACUUGACACCAAAUUAUAACUAUGUGCUUUUAACUUUGUUAGUACACAAGUAGACCCUUUAACUAUAUAAAAAUCAAAUAAAAAAAUAGUCUAAUUCAGCAACUUACAUGCGUAAAAUUCAAUCACUCCUACGUGGAUUAAUAAUCCACUCAGAUGCUGCCACCUAAUAAAAAAGACGCAUUAUAACUAUGAUCAUUAACUUUGCGCACAAAUAGACGCUUUAAUUAUACAAAAGCUGAAAAAAAAAACACUUCAAUUUUAACUCUGACGCUCGUGAUUUUGAGUGUAUACAUGCAUUUUGCCAGGUUACGAUUGGAGUGUUUGUUUGUUCAACUUUUGUAUUGUUAAAGGCCUACUUGUACAUUGAUAAAGUUAAAGAUCAUAGUUAUAAUUUGAUAUCAAGUUACAUGUUUAUGUACUGAGUUUAAGUUCUGUGCACCGUCAGUGCACAAAAUAUUUUAUACUAUCAGUUAACUUGACCUGCUAUUGCAGGUUACCCAAUUAUUUAUAUAAAAAUUUAAAAAUAAAAAAUUGUUAUUGCAGGUUACCCAAUUAUUUAUAUAAAAAUUUAAAAAUAAAAAAUUAGAUAACCUGCAAUAGCAAGUCAAGUUUACCUAAUAGGAUAGAAUAUUUUGUACACUGAUGGUGCACAAAACUUAAAAAUUUAGGUAUUAUGCCUAUUUACAACUUAUGGAGUAAAUAUAAGUUGUAAAUAUUCUCUUUUUUCACACAGUAAUUUUUAACUUGUAAUAGCUGAUAAGUCCCCGUUGUUACAAGAAACUUUAAGAUUUUUUCCAAAGAUGCAUCAAAUUAAGGACAUAAUUAUAAUGGUCUGGAAACCUAUAUUAUAGCAUGUUGAUUACUACUUGCUAUACCUUCAGACUACAAAACAUAUUGGUUUUCACUUAACAUUGAAAUGCCAAUGGUCUAUAUGGUAGUGAAAUAAUAUUAUGUCCUCUUAAUUGCUCUUUCACUUCCCGAUAGGAAUCACGUAACAACAUCUAUGCUCAACAUUUCUCUGUGCACUAUUCUCUGUGCACUAAUUUAAUGUGUUCCUUCCUGGGAAUUAAUUGAAUUCCAUAACUUCCUGUGGUCAGUAAACUUAAGUUUGAAGCUUAUAACAGCUUUAUAGUUAUUCUAGUUACCACGUCUCAUAUUAAUCUACAGUUUUUCUUUACUAUGUUCUCUUUCUUUAAUUCCCCUUUAGUAUGAAAGUGGCAAAAAAUUUUAUUCAUGACUUUGGAGAAUGUAACUCAGAACUACACAAUUAUUGGAAUAUGAGACAAAAAUCCAUUCUAUUGUCAAGUAACUGCUCAUAACAACUUUACAAGACCAUCAAACAAUGAAAUUUUAAGAUUGUUUUACGAUAUUCAUUUUCCGGGAACAAAGUUUGUGGCGUAGGCCCAGGCAUUGUUGUUAACCGGAUCUGCUAGGUGGUCAGCAAGGUUCUCCAAUGGACCCUUUCCUGUAACAAUGGCCUGAACAAAGAAUCCAAACAUAGAGAACAUAGCAAGUCUACCGUUCUUGAUCUCCUUUACCUUGAGCUCAGCAAAUGCCUCUGGAUCAUCAGCAAGACCCAAUGGGUCAAAGCUGCCACCAGGGUAUAGUGGGUCGACUACCUCACCAAGAGGCCCACCAGCAAUACGGUAUCCCUCAACGGCUCCCAUCAAGACAACUUGGCAAGCCCAGAUGGCCAAGAUGCUCUGUGCAUGGACCAAACUUGGGUUGCCCAAGUAGUCAAGUCCACCCUCGCUGAAUAUCUGGGAUCCAGCCUUGAACCACACAGCCUCACCAAACUUGACACCAUUACGGGCCAAGAGCUCGGGGAAAACACAUCCAAGAGCACCAAGCAUAGCCCAUCUGCAGUGGAUCACCUCGAGUUCACGGUUCUUGGCAAAGGUUUCUGGGUCUGCUGAAAGUCCAGCGGUGUCCCAACCAUAGUCACCAGGGAAUUCACCGGUCAAGUAGCUUGGGGGCUCACCAGAGAGUGGGCCCAAGUACUUAACACGGUCUGGGCCAUACCAUGGGCUGCCAGAUGAGGCAGGCUUGGCAACAGCCUUUCUCAUAGAGAUCCUUCCAUUUCCAGUGAUUUCUGAGGCAGAUGGUGAGAGCUUCACUGCCUGUCCGGCAAAAGAAGGGGAAGAAAGAGCCAUUGUAGAAGCUGCCAUGGCUUAUCUCAAGAGAAAGGUAAGUGUUUGAUGGUAUGAAAUAUUGUUGAAGUUGGCUGUGAUGAGAUGAAGUUACAAGGGGCCUCACUUCACCAUAUUAUAGUAAGUAAGAGGGGAAGAGUCCUUAUCUAGUGAUAUCUAUUUCUAUGAUCUCAUUGGGUAUCAAGAUCCUAUGUGUAGCAAUUAAUGCAUACUUGGGUAUUUCCAAUCCAUCAAUUUUCCAAGAUGUUUGCUAAAGGGACCCAUCCAACAUAGUCCUCUCACAUGUGGCUACAAGGAUUGAACAAUAUUCUGUGAUUUGCUGAACUUACAAUGCUGAUAUCUCUUAUCAUUAUCCGUUGGGAAUUUCUCCAGAUUUCAUUUAUCAGCACUACAGCUCAUUCGAUGUAGAACUAUGGUUUACCGUUUCACUAAAUAUAUUCAGGAAAGUUCAUUACUUGAUAUAUAAAUUGUGCGGAAAUAAAUAAUACAUGCUUAUGUUUGGAAAGAAAUGCGUUUGGAACUUAAUUAUAUAAGACCUGAAUAUAUAUAAGCAAGAGUCAGUAGCAUAGUAAUUAUUUACCUGCAAUUCAUAUAAAAGUGAAGAUACUGUUUUUUGGGGUUUUACAAAUUUAAGAUUGACAAGUGCAGGCAAUGAAAGAAUAUGAUCUUCCUUUUCAAAAUAUUUAACAUAGGUUCAUGCAUGUAUAUUUAUUAAUCUGAUCGUGAAGAGGUAUAUAAAGUUCUAAAUAUGUUGCACUGUUAAUUUCAUGUUUAGAUAUUUAACGACGGGUUAGAUUCAUUUUAACUACUGCACAAUGCUUAGACUAAUUGGAAACGCGCAGAUUGAGUCGGAUAUGGACAGAUCAAAAAUGAGCUAGUGAAAAUGGAUAAAAUAUCUAAUUCACCCGUAUUGAUAUGGAUGAAACAUGAGAAACCAACGGAUAAUAUGGAUAUUAGUUCAUAUUAUGUAAAAGAAUAAGUACCUCCAAUAUGAGAAAGGCAGAGUAUGUACAUGGAUUAACUAAUUAAUUGGGAUUCAUCAGCAUCACAAUAUGACCAAUUAACUUUACGAGAAUUGUGUUAAGGGCAAGAGCAUUUGCCAAUGAUGGAUCAAGUUAUUUACAUCUUAUGCCUUAUGGUGUAAAUAUAAGUUGUAUAUAUUUUCUUUUUGGCAUGAUACACAAAUAUGAUCCUAAACUUAUAUCAAAUUAUAACUUUGACCUUAAACUUUGAUAGUGCACAAAUAGGACCUUUAACUAUUCAAAAUUUGAACAAAUAUGACCUCCGAUUUUGCAACCUCCAUGCGCGAGUUUCACUCGCGCCUAUGUGGAAAGCUCAUCAAUCACACGGUGCCACGUCGUUAAAAGGGCUGACUUGGAGGGAGGUCAUAUUUGUGCAAUUUUGAAUAGUUAAAGAUCAUAUUUGUGCACUGUCAAAGUUUUGCUUUUUGUGUUAAAACAACGUUGUUUUAUUAUUAUUAUUAUUAUUAUUAUUAUUAUUAUUAUUAUUAUUAUUAUGAAUAUUACUAUUUAUUUUUUUAAUUUUAUUUAUUUAUUUCUAUAGCAGCUAGGGGUGGGCGUUCGGUAUUCGAUAUUCGGUUCGGUAUUUUCAAAUUUCGGAUUCGAUAAUUUGGUAAUUGGUAUUUGAACGUAGAUACCAUAUACCAUACUAAUAAAUAUCGAUUCGGUAAUCGAUAAAUUAAAUUUCGGUUCAGUACGGUAUUUGGUAAUACCAUAUUAAAAUUGAAGAUGUGCAAAUAUACAUUUAAACUUCAAAGAGUAUAUUUAAAAGAAACCCUAUUUAGCAUUAUUUUGUUGCUUUUUACGAAUAUAUUAUCAAGGUCUAAGAGAUUCUUUGAGAUGACUAAUACUAUUGUUUAUUGGGUUGGUUAGACAUAUAGUAUAUAUAUAUAUAUAUAUAUAUAUAUAUAUAAUUCGGUAUUCGGUAUUUACCGAAUACAAAACGGUAUUAAUAUCUUGUACCAAAUUCAAUCCCGAAAUAUUAAAAUUUUAUUCUCAAAUACCAUACCAAAUACAAAAUUUUUUGAUUCGGUUCGGUAAUUCGAUUUUCGGUAUUUUAUGCCUAGCCCUAAUAGUAACAACACCUAACUUUUUUUAAUUAAAAAAAAAAAACCACUAGCAGGGAUCGACCCCACGCAGUAGGUUGAAGGAAGCACCCAAGAAGAGCAAAUAACACCACUGGAUUAUCUAAGUGCAAUGUUUCAUGUGGUUCAACAUUAAUAUACGUACAUAAAUAUAGAUUAUCUACCUUAUAUAUACAACAUAAUUUUUUUACCGAGGGGGUUCGGGUGAAUCCCAUGGCGACCACGUAGGUCCGCCCCUGCGUUAAUUUAAUAACGUUAAUUUAAUAACAUUUUAAUAACGUUAAUUUAAUAUACUACUAUUAUUAUCUUUAAUAACGUUAAUUUAAUAACAUUUUAUUAAAACUAUAAUUUUUUUAUUAUUAGUAUAGUUUCAUCUUUAAUUUAAUAUUUAAAUAAAUUAUAUUUCGAUAUAUUAUAUAACAUAAAUUCUCCCUCUGCUUUAUAAUAUGUAUAUAUACCCGCAAUUUUUUCGUAUGAGGCUAACCCACUUAAUUAAUAAAUCUUCAAUAUUGCACUUUUUCCGCAAUGACAAAAGAAAUUGAAUGUCAUUUUCAUCUUUGAGCUGAAAAUAAUGAAAAAUAAUAGUGAAAAGUCAUUUAAAGAUUAUAUUUGUGCAGUUUUGAAUAGUUAAAAGCCACAUUUAUGCACUCUCAAAAUUUAAGGUCAAAGUUAUAAUUUGGUGUCAAGUUUAGAAUCACAUUUAUGUAUUAUGUCCUUAGAUUUUAAACAGGACGCGCCCAAUUUUGCAUGUUGAACACGCAUUUUACCACAUAGGACCGAAGGUUAUAUUUAUGUAAUUUUAAAUAGUUAAAAAUUAUAUUUUUGCACUAUCAAAAUUUAAGGUUAAAAUUAUAAUUUGAUGUUAAAUUUAAGGCUUUAUGUAUUAUGCCUUUCUUUUUUCACACCAUCAUUAAAUUUUAAGUUGUAAUAGUAGAUAAGUCACCAUUGUUACACGAAACUUUUAGAUUUUUUCCAAAGAUGUUAAUCAAACCAAGGACAUAAUUAUAAUGGCCUGGAAACUUAUAUUAUAGCAUUUUAAUUACUACUUGCUAUACCUUCAGACUACAAAACAUAUUAGUUUUCACUUAUCAUUGAAAUGUCAAUGGUCUAUAUGGUAGUGAAACAACAUUAUGUUCUCUCAAUUGCUCUUUCACUUCUCUACUGGAAACAUAUAAUAACAUCAUAUUGCUCAACAUUUCUCUUUGCACUAAUUUACUGUGUUCCUUCCUGAGAAUUAAUUGAAUUCCACAAGUUGCUGUGGUCAGUAAACCUAAGUUUAAAGCUUAUAACAGCUUUAUAGUUUUUCUAGUUAUCAUAUCUCAUAUGUAUCUACCAUUUUUCUUUACUAUGUUCUCUUUCUUUAAUUCCCCUUUGAGAUGAAAGGGGCAAAAAAUUUUAUUCAUGGCUUUGGAAAAUGUAACUCAGAACUACACAAUUAUUGGAAUAUGAGAAAAAAAUCCAUUCUAUUGUCAAGUGACUGCUCAUAACAACUUUACAAGACCAUUAAACAAUCAAAUUUUAAGAUUUUCAUUUUCCGGGGACAAAGUUUGUGGCGUAGGCCCAGGCGUUGUUGUUAACUGGAUCUGCAAGGUGGUCAGCAAGGUUCUCCAAUGGACCCUUUCCAGUAACAAUGGCUUGAACAAAGAAUCCAAACAUAGAGAACAUAGCAAGUCUACCGUUCUUAAUCUCCUUUACCUUGAGCUCAGCAAAUGCCUCUGGAUCAUCAGCAAGACCUAAUGGGUCGAAGCUGCCACCGGGGUAGAGUGGGUCGACGACUUCACCAAGAGGCCCACCAGCAAUACGGUAUCCCUCAACGGCUCCCAUCAAGACAACUUGACAAGCCCAGAUGGCCAAGAUGCUCUGUGCAUGAACCAAGCUUGGGUUGCCCAAGUAGUCAAGUCCACCCUCGCUGAAGAUCUGGGAUCCAGCCUUGAACCACACAGCCUCACCAAACUGGACACCGUUACGGGCCAAGAGCUCGGGGAAAACACAUCCAAGAGCACCAAGCAUAGCCCAUCUGCAGUGGAUCACCUCGAGUUCCCGGUUCUUGGCAAAGGUUUCAGGGUCUGCUGAAAGUCCAGCGGUAUCCCACCCAUAGUCACCAGGGAAUUCACCAGUCAAGUAGCUUGGGGGCUCACCAGAGAAUGGGCCCAAGUACUUAACACGGUCUGGACCAUACCAUGGGCUGCUAGAUGCGGCUGGCUUGGAGGCAGUCUUUCUCAUGGAGAUCCUUCCAUUUCCAGAGAUUUCUGAGUCAGAUGGUGAGAGCUUCACUGCCUGUCCGGCAAAAGAAGGGGAAGAAAGAGCCAUUGUAGAAGCUGCCAUGGUUUUUCUCAAGAGAAAGGUAAGUGUUUGAUGGUAUGAAAUAUUGUUGAAGUUGGCUGUGAUGAGGUGAAGUUAAUUACAAGGGGCUUCACCAUAUAUAGGAGGAGUAAGAGCGGUAGAGGCCUUUAUCUAACGAUAUCUACAUCUUUUUCUUUUGGUGUUAACGAUAUCUGUAUCUGUGAUCUCAUUGGGUAAUAAGAUCACAUGUGUAGAAAUUAAUGCACACUUGGCAAUCUCCAGACUCCAAUCCAUCAAUUUUCCAAGAUGUUUACUAAAAGGACCCAUCCAAUAUUGUCCGCCUUAGUGUGGCUACGAGGUUAUUGACUCUAUUCUGUGAUUCGUUGAGCUUACACUAAGAUAUCUCUUAAAGAGCCAUAGUAGCAGCUGCCAUGGUUUAUAAAGAGGAAAGUGAGGGGGUUACUAGUUUGAUAUGUCAAAGUUGGUUGUGAUGAGCUGAAGUUUGUUGGGGUUCAGAAUAUAUAGCAAGGAAGAUGGGAAGGGUCCUUAUCUAGUGAUAUCUAUAUCUAUGAUCUCAUUGGCUGCCAAGAUUACUCUUCAUGCACACUUGGCAGUCACAAAUCCAUCAAUCCUCCAAGAUUUUUACAAGGGGGACCAACAAAUGUUGUGUGGCUACAAAGAUUGCUCUCUGUCUUGUGUGUUGUUUGGCUAACAGUAAGACAUCUUCUACUUUUUCAUUGGGUAAUUGUUUAGAUAUUUUUCUGCCGGCAUGGUAAAAGACACCACCAAUUACAGGUAUUUUCAAGUAAUUACAGUUCAAAUUUAUCCCUUCUUAGUGGGAAAUCAAAAGCUGAAAAAGAAAAAGAACCACUUGGUUAGUUCAUUGUCAUGGUUCUGUUUAAAAAAAAAACUGAUAUUAGCUGUGAAAUUUGUCGGUAAUCCAUCACUAAAUUGCUGGUUGCUAUUUAACUAUGGAAUUUCUCUGUUGCUGAUUACUAUUUCUUUUUGUAGCAGUAGGCAUAUAAUUCACAAUUCAUACAGGUGGUCCUGCCUAGGCACACACAAACAUGUGAAAUGCCAAUGCUAUCAAAAUGUGAUCCACCAGCUGAACAGAGAAAUAAGGACCUAGUGCCAUGCCAGCCCAACCAUAUUUAUUCUCUUAUGUUUGGUUACCUAUAGAGGUUUUUUUCUCUUUUAAUACUCCCUCCAUCCCAUUUUAUCAAUCCCAAAUUGGGAUGGCACAGCUAUUAAAAAAAAAAAAGGUAAUGUAACUUUACUAUUUUGUUCCUUUUAAUUAUGUUUUGUUAUUAGUUCUAAUAUUGAUAGAUGACUAAUAACAAGGAGUAAUCAAUUACAUUAAGGGUAUAAUGAGCAAAAAAAAAUUGUUUUGUCUUGAUAAGUAAAAAAGGACAAGUAAAAUGGGACAUCAAAUUAGGAAAUUUGAGACGGAUAAAAUGGGACGGAGAAAGUAUCUUAUAUAUUACUCUAUCUAAAGUAGCUCUAGGGCAAUAUCAAUCCACCACAAUGAAAUGGAGACCAAAGAAAUUUGGAUGAAAUUUGAUUUUUCUCAUCUGGUGAUUCAACUAAUUAUUACUAUUUCAGUAAGUCUGAAAGGAGAAAAAGGUUUGUGUGACAAACCUCAUAGGUAAAACAUUGAGGAUAAGGAAGGGUUGAUUUCUCAAAUAAUCAUCCACUUUCUUUGUUGAAAAAAAUUGGAAUCGAGAAGGCACCUUUCUAAGAUAAUAACUUAUUUUUCACCGUUAUACGUAAACAAAUAAAUACUCUUUCCACAAAACUUCAGCAGUUAUGUUUUCUCCCAGUUCCAUUAUUCAAUAACUCUUAUUAGCAAAUAUAUGAUCCAAGGUAUAAAACAGACACCAGGGAAGUCACUUGCAUUGAUAGAUCAUCAUUCAACCUUCUAAAAUCAAUUUUGGAUGCUUUAAGUUCAUUGAGUAGUAUGAAGUACAAACGCUAGCAUAAAAGAGAAUGUGAAGAAUACUAGAUCAAGUUAAAGCAAUCAAAUAAAAGAUAGCUCAACGCCAAAAUAUUAUUUCAGCACAAAGGGAUUGGAAAGUUAAAGGGCAUAUCAAUUAUUGAACUUUCGAAGAACAUUAGGUGGUUCAAAAUUUUUAAAGGCAUUAGCUGAACAGACUCUUGAAAUCCAAAUGAAGUUGUAAAUUCUAGUGUUGAUCUUUUACACAUAUUAGUUUUACUAAAUGAAUGAUAAAAUUGAACCAAAUCAACCUCAUUUCUAGGGAAUUAAAUAAAAGGAACUUGGUCUUUCCGGUAUUAAAAUUCAACUAUCCACCACUGACAACGGAAUACAACAUAACCAUGGUAACCUCACAAUGCAAUUCCGCAAAUGCUACUGCUGAUUUCAUUUUACUUUUGACCUUCUUUCUAAAUAUGUUUUGUUUCAAAUUAGUUGUCCACUUUCACAAAUCAAGAGUGUUAUAUUACUUCUUUUCCAUAUUAUCCUUAGUAUUAAAUAGCUAAAAAAAAUACUCCUUCCGUUUUGAAUUAGUUGGUCCGUAUGGCGUUGACACCUCCAUUAACAGCCCAAUAAUUAGAAGUGUAUUUUACUCUUUUACUCUUAUUUGCAUUUUAAAGUUCAAUAAUUAAUGCAAUAAUUAAACAUAGAAAUUUGGUGCAAUUACUCCAUUUCAUGCAUGCACCAACUGCUUGUUUGUGAUUGCUUAUUUCCUGCCAAAAGCACUUAUUUUGAGAAAAAAAUAUCUUUUUUAAAAGAAGGGUGUUUGGUAAACCCGCAAAAGUGUUUUUAAAAAUAAGCAGAAACAGUUUUCUAUUUCUGGGAAGAAACAAAAAAAAAAUUACUUUUAAAAAAAACAGAAGUAAAAAAAUAUUUUUUUAUGAUAAAAAUAUUUCCAUCACACACACAUCCCUUGUUAAUUAAUUAACAUAUCUUAUAAAUUUGAUUAAAAUUUAAUUUUAAAAUUUUAUAUUUCAUAUUUACAUCAUAAUUUCUUAUGAUUUAUAUAUUGUUAUUUUAUUUUGACUCAUUUUCUUCAUAUAAAUUUGAAAAUAUUCAUUUUUGUUUGAUAUUUUUAAGUAAUGUUUAAAUUAUUUAAAUAAUAUAUCACUAUUUAAUAUUUUUUAAUGUAUUAAUGUAUAUAAAUAUUCGUUGUAAAUUUUAGAAUAUGUACUUUUUAAUUAAAUAAAUAUAAAACUUUAAUUAAAAAUAUUAUAAUNNNNNNNNNNNNNNNNNNNNNNNNNNNNNNNNNNNNNNNNNNNNNNNNNNNNNNNNNNNNNNNNNNNNNNNNNNNNNNNNNNNNNNNNNNNNNNNNNNNNNNNNNNNNNNNNNNNNNNNNNNNNNNNNNNNNNNNNNNNNNNNNNNNNNNNNNNNNNNNNNNNNNNNNNNNNNNNNNNNNNNNNNNNNNNNNNNNNNNNNNNNNNNNNNNNNNNNNNNNNNNNNNNNNNNNNNNNNNNNNNNNNNNNNNNNNNNNNNNUGUAUUCAUUUUUGUUUGAUGUUUUAAGUAAUGUUUAAAUUAUUUGACCAAUAUAUCACCAUUUAAUUUUUUAAUGUAUUUAUAUAUAUAAAUAUUAAUUAAAAAUUUUAGAGUACAUGCUUUUUAAUUAAAUUUAAAAAGAUUAAUUAAAAAUAUUAUAAUAGAUAUUUAAAAUAAAUUUUCUUUAUAAAUUGAUUUUAGUAAUAAAAGUCAUUUGAUACAUGUCUUUUUUGGUUAUUUGUUUAAAAAAAAAAAAACACUUCUUGAAAAAAACUAUUCAAACACAAUUUGUUUAUCAAAAAAACUUUUCAAAUGAAUUUAUCAAACAAAAAUUAUUAUUUUCAAAAACACUUUUCUGAUCCUGGAUAGGAAGGUGUGGAGGAGGCGAAUUAGGGCAGAAGGUUAGUCUGGGUUAGGAUAUUGUAUGUUUUGAUGUAUACUUGGAGUAUCUUGCUUUAGGUAUUAUUGUGUAUGCUAAUUUCAAUUGCAUCUUGUUCUAUUACUAUUCCUUAUCUUAUCCUAGAUUGCUAUAUUUUAAGUCGGGGGUCUCUUGGAAACAACCUCUCUAUCUCACAAUUGAGGUAGUGGUAUAGACUUCAUACACUUACCCUCCCCAGACCCUACUUGAUGAAAAUAUACUUGUUAUUGUUGUUGUUUCUCAAAUAAACAGUUUUAUAACAGCAAUUUCAAACGGACUCCAAGUCUAGAACCUACAAAUUUAGAAUUGAAACUAUAAUGAUAGUUUUGAAAAUGUAAUAUUAUUUAAUUUCAAUAAUCUUGAAAAAUAAAUAGUAUUGAUUUAUAACUUGCACAAUUAAAAUGGAAUAAAUACUUUUAGCAAGAAGGCCAAUUAAUUCAAAAUGGAGAGUAGUAGUAAUAGUUUGAGCCCGUUUGAAAUUACUGUUACAAAAUUACUUAUUUGAGAAAUACUUUUAUAAAAUAACUUUUCAAAAAAUUACUUUUCGAGAAAAGCAAUUUGUGUUUGGGAAAUUCAUUUGAAAGUACUUUUGAUAAACAAACUGUGUUUGAAUAAUCUUUUUCAAUAAGUGUUUUUUUGGGGAUAAAUGAUCAAAAAGGACAUGCAUCAAUAGAUUUUAUUACUAAAAUUAAUUUAUAGAGAAAAAUUAUUUUAAAUAUCUAUUAUAAUAUUUUUUUAAUUAAAAAAUAUUUUUAUUUGAUUAAAAACUACGUACUCUAAAAUUUUCAAUCAAUAUUUAUAUAUAAAUACAUUAAAAAUACUUAAAAUGAUAUAUACUUAAAUGAUUUAAAUAUUAUUUAAAAAUACCAAAUAAAAAUAAAUAUAAAAAUUAUUCCAUAAAUUAAAUCACUACAUCUGAACAAACUAACGACAAAAAUAAUUAGUCUUUCAUACAUCACAAAAAUUUUAAAUGAUUUUAUUCCUAAUUUUAUCAUGCAAUAUCUCCAUACUAGUAGAAGAUCUGUUUUGUAUUUCUAAAGAUAUAUCAAAAUGCUCAUGUCCUUCUAUGAUCUUUGUGAUGAUGUCUUCGUUAACAUAAUAGUUAAAUUAUUUAUCAAUAAUAGAGCGUUGUCGUAUGAAAUAAAGUAUAGCCAUAGUAGUUGUAACAAGAUAAACUUGAUUGUCGAAUUUAAAAGAUGGCAUUGAACAUAAAAAAAACAAAUUUAUUUUUUCAAGCUCCAAAUAUUCUUUUAGUUGUACAUCUCAAACUGGAGUGAAAGAAAUUGAAAGUCUUAUUUGAAUUUUUGAAGUUAGAGUUACAUCUGAAACCAGGGAGAUGAUAACGGUCCCCUUUAUAUAUGAUCCUAAAUAACUAAUCUUCGUUGAAUAAUUUGAGUCCACUAAAUAAUAUUUAUCUACACUAAAAAAUUAUGAAACCAAUCGUUGUUAGAUAAUUCGAGUCCAUUAAAUAAUAUUUAUCUACACUAAAAAAUUAUGAUGUAAAUAUAAAGUAUAAAAUUUUAAAAUUAAACUUUAAUCAAACUUAUAUAUGUGUGUGUGAUAGGAAUAUUUUUGUCAUGAAAAAAAUAAUUUUCUGUUUCUGUUUUUUUGUAAAACAAAAAUUUUCUGCUUCUUUCCAGAAGCAAAAAAAUUGCUUAUACUUCACUCUACUUUCUAAAAGAAUGUCUUUUUCUCUUAUUUAUAAGAGGCAGUUUAGCAGCUUAAGCAGGCAAGAGGUCGAUAUGCCUGCUUCAGCUGCUUCAAUUAUGAAUUUACAAUAUUAUUCCUAAUUAAUUAUUAUAAGUCAUUUAUGUAUUAAAAAUAAUAAUAUUUAAUAAAAAAAUAAAAUAAAAAUUUAUGACAUGUCUGCUUCAGCUGCUUCAAUCGUAAUUUUACGACAGCACUCCUAAUUAAUUAUUAUAUCCCUAAUUAAAUAUUAUAAGGCAUUUACAUAAUAAAAAAAAUAAUAAUAUUUAAUUAGAAAAAAUAAAAUAGAUAUUUAUGAAAUGUCUGCUUCAGCUACUUCUACCAUAAUUUUACUGUAUCACCCUUAAUUAAUUAUUAUAAGUAAACUAAACAUUAAAAAAUUAAUAAUAUUUAAUAAAAAGGUAAAAUAGACAUAAACUGGAAAUUAACUAUUGAUGUUCUAAAUUAACUUGACGACUUAUAUGAGACUUUCUUAAACUUUUUUCACAGGUAUUUCUUUAAAGUAAUUUUGAUAAAUGGAGUUCAUCAGCUGAAGCAGGCAGCAAAUCGAUAUGUCUGUUUCAGCUGUUUCAAUCGUAAUUUUAUUGUAUCACCACUAAUUAAUUAUUAUAAGUCAUCUGCUUCAAUCGUGAUUUUACUAUAUCACCCAUAGUUAAUUAUUAUAAGUCAUCUAAGUAUUUAAAAAAUUAAUAAUACUUAAAAAAAAAAACAGAUAUAAAAGAUAAUUUUACUAUGUCACUUCUAAUUAGUAGAAUGGAUGAAAAAAUAUUAUAAAUCACAAUAAUUUAAAACUUAAAUUAUUUUUAAAAUAUAAUUGACUAUCAAUGCCACAAAAAAAUGAACAAGGAAAGUAACAUAUAUUAUUUGAAAAUUACAUAAAAAAAUACUAAAAAUUACAAUAGUUAACAACUUAAAAUAUUUAAAACAUAUUAAAAUUAUGAUUAAUUAUAUAAAUUUUAUCUGUAUCACAUAAAUUGAAGCAAAAAAAAAUAAUUUAUGUAUCUAGUUCUUAAAAUAAGUAGUACUAUUGUUUUAGAAAACUAAGCAAUCCCAAACAAACACUUAACCACUCAAAACGUGGUAGUGUGCAAAAAUCGAACCAACCGAUAAAUCGAACCGAUAAAAAUGCUAUUGGGCUAUUGGUAUUGGUUUAUUUGGUUAAUGGGUUUUUAUUGGUUUUAUAAAAAAAUUUAUUGGGUAAACGGUUCGAUUUUGAUUUUAGCUUAUUGGGUUAUCGGUUAAACCGAUAACCUUAACCGAUAACCCAAUAAGGAUUCACUAAAUUAUUAUUUUAUUCCUAUUUAUGUUAUAUACAUAAAUAUCUAAAUUACUUCUAUAUCUAUCUAUCUCUAUAUGCACUAUUUAUUCACAAUUCAGUGAUUCACAAAGUAUUAAGCUAUUCAGUGCAACAAAGGAACAAUAUAAAGCUCGAGUAUUAUCGUAUUAGAAAGCUUGAAGCAUUUAGUAGUUUCCAACAAUUAGGAUUUAGUUUUUUUCCAAACUAACAUUCAGUUCAAGUUUGAAGAUUCUUGUAAAUUAAAAUGCAUUGUAUAGGAUUUUAGUGGUAACUAAGAUUUUAUUUUUUAUGUGAGUUGUUACUAUUUUUAUUUUAUGAGUAUUUUCUUAUUAGUUAAAUAAAAAACAAACUAUUAAGAACCAAAAACUGAUAAAUCGAAACCGAUAAAAACGUAUCUUAUUGGUUGGAUAUUGAUUCAAUUGUCCUCUUCAGCAGUUGGCGCUCUUUUCAUUCCUUUCUCUUCUUUACCCUAACCCUAAAUCCCAAAUUCAAAUUCUGAUUCUGCCAAAAAAAAAACACAGAAGAAAUGCAAAGACCUUCUCCACAUUCCAAUUUCUUCUCUUCUCUCAAACAAUUGGAGAAAAGAUUGAAACUUGAGAACAACCCAUCUCAAAAAGAAGCUAUCAACACACCGACCCAGUCUCUGAUGAGCCCAUUGUACCUCAACUGUGAUGACUCCAUCACCAGCAACACAAACCUCAAAGAAAGCGAAACCCCACUUCGGUUUCUCUCUAAUUCCCCGCUUGACCAAGAAACCCCACCUCACAUAAGUCCUAAACAAGUUCAAGAAAGAGUUGGUGUGGUUGAAGCUGAUGGCGAUGGGGUUGAUGAGAUUCAACUGUUGAUGCAGCUAUUGGGUUUAACGGAUCGUAAAAGGGAGGGAUCCAAGAAGAUGGAAGUGGAAUUUGGUUGUGAUGAUGCAUUUUAUGGAAAGGUUGUUGGGGUUAAGGGACCAAAAAGUGAAAAAGAAGUGGAGAGGUUACAAGGUUGGAUUGAGCAUUUUAUGGAUAGGAAUAGUGGAGAGCGGAGAGAAUCGUUCAGGUUGGCUCAUCUGCUUUUAGGCAAAGCUGC